AUACACUGCGGAUGUUCCAUUCGUUAUGAUCGAUCUCAACAACAUGAGAUCUAUAGACAUAGACGUAGCUAAAAGGACUGCGUGGGUGGGGACAGGCGCUGUGCUUGGUGAGCUUUACUACAGUAUUGCACAGAAGUCCAACAACACCUUGUAUUUCCCCGGAGGUACAUGGCCUACGGUGGGGAUCAGUGGGUUGAUAGGUGGUGGUGGCACCGGAAACCUGUUAAGGAAAUAUGCUACAGCCGGUGAUAAUGUUUUGGAUGCUCGUAUCAUAGAUGUCAAUGGAAGGAUUCUCAAUAGGAAGUCGAUGGGUGAAGAUUUGUUUUGGGCGAUUAGAGGAGGUGUUGCUUCCAGUUUCGGAGUCGUUGUCUCAUGGAAGUUGCAGUUGGUUCCUGUUCCAGAAAAAGUAACUGUCUUUAUAGUGAAUAGAACUCUCGAACAAGGUGCAACAGAAAUUUUCUUUAAAUAUCAGUCUCUUGCGACUUUUGAAGAUAGAAAUUUGUACAUAAGAUCCCAGGCAGCUUCGGAGUUUAUUGGAAACACCACACAAAAAACCAUGCGAAUCAUCUUCCAAGGAAUUUAUCAGGGCACAACCAACGAAUUGAUUCCAGUAAUGGACAAAGUUUUUCCAGAGCUCGGUGUUACACGAGAGAUUUGUCAAGAAAUGACAAGCGUCCAAUCGACACUUGUGUUUUUUGGAAGGCCAAGCACCACCCCGCUUGAGAUUCUUACAAACCGAUCUGCCAUACCCAAGUCAAACAGCAAAACUAAAUCAAACUUUGUCAGGACACCGAUCCCCAUAUCUGGACUGGAAAAAAUCUGGAGUAAGUUUUUUGAAAACGAUUUGUCAGGUGGUUUGCUUAUCAUUCCUUCUGGUGGAAGAAUGGAUGAUUACGCAGAGACAGCAACACCAUAUCCUCACAGAGCUGGAACCUUGUACUUGUUGGCUACUAGUGUAAAUUUUGUAGGUCAAGCUAACGAUACAACCCCUGUAUCGCUUAGAAGAUUAGCCUGGUUGCAAAGCUUGGAAGAGUUGUUGACUCCUUAUGUGUCACAGAACCCGAGGGAGUCGUAUGUCAAUAACAAUGAUCUGGAUAUCGGUGUUGGGGCUGCGAAUUAUAAGGAAGCAAGUGUUUGGGGUGAGAGGUACUGGAAAAGGGAGAAUUUCAAGAGGUUGAUUCGAAUCAAGGCUAAAGUUGAUCCUAAGAAUUUCUUUAAGUUCCCACAGAGUAUCCCCGUCUUUAAACGCCGAGGUCUCCCACAAUAAAGAUAAUAAUAAUAAUAAUCGAGAAUAAUAAGGUUUGUUGCCAUUUUGUGAAGCUCUAUAUAUCAAGUCUACUCAGGUGUUGUUGCUUUUCCUCAUUUAUUUUAUAGCAUUUUAUAUGGCAAUUCAUAUUUUUUGUCUGUUGUUUCCUGUUUGUGUAAAGAAUAAUAAUAAUGGAGAAUAAAUUGAUUUCUUUUAAUUUAUGUCCUAACUACACUCUAUGUAGCAGUGUAAUUUUUUGAUUGAUUUAUAACCUUCAAUUCAUUUACUGCUUACACUAUUUCUACAUAGAUCGCUAGACUUCAAGGGGCUUCUUUUUCAAGACCUGAUUUUACUUGAGUUACACGACACCGAAAGCAACCUGAUGUAAAUUUUUCUCUACAUAAUAUCAUGCAAGUUGACUUAUUUAUAGGGCGACGAUUUUGGCCGUAAGGUAAACUUUCCUUCAUACAUGUCCACUAAAUGCCUUUGUAUUUGAAAAGUUCCAAGCGAGGGGUUGAUUUUCUAUAAACAUUUACCUCAAAAAAAUGACGGGUACGUGAAUAUGUUUCAUCAUUUAUGAACAAUUGGAUUCUUUGUGACAACAAUACACAACCGGGAAAGCAUGCGUGUUUUCUCCUAUAGAAAUUUCUCCUCCGGAAAUGCCGACUGUACAUCAACGAAAUACCAAUAGUAAAAAGAUCAUAAAUUAGCAACGGAUGGAUAGCCGUGGGAAUUAUACCGAUUUACCGUAGAAAAUGUAAUUUUAUAAAUUAAUUAUCCGUUGAAAUAACAUUGGUUAUACAAAUAAUUGUGUCCCCAAAGAGAUCAAGACUAGACACCAUGACCUCUCAAAUAACACACACUUGGACUAUUUGUAGGUCUCAUUCAAUUAUUUAUUCCCUUCUUUAAUUGUAUAUUUUAUCAUCCAGUAAUUAAAUGAAUGUUUCAUGUAUAUAUGUUUGGUUUCUAACUUUAUUUUUCAAGUCAAACUUAUAUUAUGGUAUUAUUUACGGUUUUAGUUUCCGCUAGACUUAAAAGAACUACAAUGCCCGUAUAUCAUUGCUUUUCAAUCACUACUAGAAUAUAUGCCCUUAAUGACACGCAAUUUACGACACGCACUAAUUACUGUUACGCAAAACAGACUGUCCUUAAAAUAGUAUCAUCUCUCAAAAAACUUUAAGGAUUUACGUCACGCAUUAUUGUGUGCCCUUAAAUUAGUGUCUCAAGAAAAAAAAAUGAAAAACACGGAGGUCGCUUUAUCUUAAAGCGUGCGUCGUCUGUUCCCGUUGCUUUAUAAUUUUAAUGAAACACGCGUUUAGAAGACAAGGGGGGAAACAAAAUCCCCAAAAUUUUGAAAGUCCGCCUUGUUCUUUCUACCUUCUUUCUAUCUUUCAUCUUCCCAAUCGACUCUACCCUCUCCCUACUUCUCUCUCCUCUCAUAUCUGCUUCUCCGCUGCUCCAGACCUCCUUCUUAUCGGUCUCAUCAAACAUCUUGUUUCCUCACCUUUGCCGUUGACUGCUGGUCCUUCCCCAACGAAGACAUUAACAAACUGAAAAAGAGACAAAUAACGAAGGCAAAUCGGAGUAAGACCAAUGAUGCCGUCACUAUUACGUUAUCGAGGAAGAGGAACAUUAUAAGAAUCAUAUUAUCUGUAACGAAACUUUAAAGAGAGGUUCGGGGCGAGAUUUACGGAGUUUGCGGUGGGAACAUCAUAAUAAAUUGUGAUACCUUCUUCGACAACUGAUUCGGCGUCAAAAUUGGGAUUAAGCGUCUGACGUGUUGAGCGUGUUGUUGAAGGGGAUGCACAUGGAGAACAGUUUAUCGACCUCCCUGCGAUACUCUCUCCUCUAGAUCUCCCUUCAUUCUCUACUGGGUUGUUUCCGCUUCACUAUGCUCAAUUCCAUCAUCAUCUGAAUGUCGAUCAUCUACAUCGGAAUCAUCCAUUGGCUUCACUGGAAUUGGUAUUUCAUUCUCUAUAUUCGAUUUUUAGGGUUCUAGUUGUACUCUGUCUUGAUUGUGUAUAUUUGCUUUAUAGUUUUAGUGAUCAUUAUGCUUUUUUGAGGUGCCUAUAUAAUAUGUACAUAUUAAUUGACUCAACUCUUGUUUUGACCAUAGUAUUUACAAAAGUACUUCAUAAUUACAGGAAGCAAUCACUCAACUUCAAGAUUUAGGCGAACGUGAUCUGUUCUCAUGCCCUGUGUGCUUCGAACCACUUAUAAGAAUAUGUUAUUUCUUGCAUUUAACCCUUCUUUUUUAUAUCUCUUACACAAACACCAAAUUGCGAUUUCUAAUUUUUGUGAAUUAGUUUACUGACUACUGCUGAUGUUGUUGUAGUUCAAUGAAGAAGCACGAUCUCCUUUUGUGAAGAAGUUUAAAACCAUUAUUCAUCCUGGAGAGGUAUUCUCUAUUUUGUUUAUGAUGUUUUUAAUAAGAUUAAGAUUUAAAUAAUUACCAAAUUUAUAAGAAAGAUUAAGAUUAAAAACAUAUUAAUUUGACAUUUAAUUGUAUUUAUGAAGGUAAACCGCAUCAGGGAGCUUCCUCAAAAUAGCAAAAUAGUAGCAGCACACACAGACAGCCCUGAUGUACGCAUUUGCUUUCCAUUUUUCAUUUUUGGUCCUUUAUUUUAUUAGUUUUUGAUGUAUUCUUUUAAUGUAAUAUAAUUUUAUUAAACCAAGACCUAAUGGGGUGUUGAAGCUCAACCCAAUCGCCAUGCUGUCCUUGGAGCCACAUAGUCGCGUCCUAAUUUGGUGGUCCUAAUGGGUCUAUAUGAUUUUAUCUAAAGUUGAUUCCUUUUUUACCCUUACUUUUAGUGGAGAAAGCUAUGUUUGAUAUUAGUAUGUUAAUCUUCCCCUUGUCUUUUAUCCUUUUUGUCCCACAAGGUUUCCUUUUAUUUUACUUGUUAAAUUACUUAACUGUCCAUUGCCAUCUUUUGCUUUUUCCCCCAAGAUUCUUGUUUAUCAUUCAUGAUGAGAGUAUAUUUAGACAAAACAAGAAAAGCAGAACUUCGACCAUUUCUUUCACUACCCCUGUUGUUCACGUCUUGCUUAUUCACAUUUACUUUCCUUCUUUGCCCCUCCUUGAAUACGUGAAUAAUGGAUGCCUCUUCCGGAGCUUAUAUUUUUACAUUUUUCUGCAUAUCCCAAAUUGCCCAUCUGUUACAAGCCUCCACAACUGAUGCUUUAAAAUUGUUUUAUUGUAGUCUUCUAUUUUUAUGGACAUGUUCUGCCCCUUUUGUUUUUUUUUCUUUAACAUAUCCCAUAUUUAUUUAGCUGAGUCACAUAUAUUUUCAAACAAACUUAAAGAGAUAUUGGUGUAUUGUAUUGCCAUCUACUUGUUUUCAUAGCAUUUAGUAUCAGAUCUAUAUAUAUUUUCUUUAAUGAAGUACAACUUAUCUGAUACCAUUUACUUUCAUCAGGUACUCAUCAUAUUUUCUUUAAUUCACUUCUCUUGAAUUUUAAUUUAUAAUCUUUUAGGCAAGAACCAUACAAGAAUUAGAAAAAAGGGACUUUGGGAAUUUGAGGCAAGAGGGUGAAGAUGGCGAGCUGCAACCAAAAGUAGUGAAACGAGGCAGACUGCCAAGUAAGCACCUGAAAAACCACCUGGCAGACACCCAUUGGAUCAUGCCGGUCCAAAGUCUGCCACUCUGGCAACUCCUAAAGACAACACAACCAAGUCUACUCCUUACAAUCUAAGAAGAGGACCCAUGUUGCAUAACAGCUGCAACAGAGAACAACCCUACUCUAAAUUAUUAUCAGAGUGGAAUGAAGAGUUUCCAGGUUCGAUCAUCACCUUUUUAAUAAUACUUAAAUACCCAAAACGCCCUUCCAUAUUAAACUAGUUAUAUUAUGAAUUUGCAGUGCGCAUUUGGAGGGCGAAUAUGAAAUAUGGAAUUAUUAAAGAUUUUAUUGUAGAUGAGAGUAGGCAUGACACUUACAAGCAAUGUUAUGUCUCCAACUUUUGUGGAGAAAAGAAGCAGUUAAUGGUGGUAGGUGAUGGUGAUGGUGAUGGUGAUGGUGAUGGUGAUGGUUAUGCAAGAAGUUUAACUUGUUUUGCUGCUAAUCUUGGCCCUGUUGUCUGGAAAGUUGCUUUAAAGAAAAUGGAUAAAGCUUUACCUUGUGUUGAUGCACAAGGUACAACAGUAGAAUCUGAGGGUAUUUUUGGGAAAUCAUCUUGUUGGCAGCAGGUAAACAGUUGAUGGUUGGAGUCCUACUUCUACCUUGAAGCUUUGAUUUCUACGCCGACUACUGACCUUUGUGUGUUUGACAGCUUGAAGAGGGCAAUGUAGGUUAAUGAGGGAUGAGAUUGAAGUGUUGUAGGUAAUAUAGAUAAACGCAUGGGAAAUAUUAAGGUAUAUUGAUUUUAUUAAAGGUUAAGGUUUAAUGUUUUUUCUUGGAUGUUGAUAGUUAAGUAGUGGACUGAUAAAUUUUAAUGUUCACAAUUUGCUUUACAGUUAUGCUCUUUUUUCGUUGGUUUUAUUAAUAUUCAAGGUUGUAGUUUGUAGAGUUUAUGCAGUUUGGACCUUUUUAUCCCUGCUUGGUUUCUUUGGUGUAGAGAUGUUUUGAUGUUAUUCUUUUAAUGUUUCCCUUCUUCUUGGGUGUUGCUUUCGUUGGAUGUUUGUUGGUGUGUGGAAGUCUCAUUGCUAAUAUUGCAUGAAGUUUCAAACGGAUUGUGAUUGUGAUGCUUCUAGUUCUGUGUGGAUGGCGUGUGACUAUUAUGCAACCUAAAAGAUCUCAAGUUGGUUAUUUUUUGUGUGGCUUUUCUUACAACUAGUUGAUGCCAUCGAUUUACUCCUUUCAAGCGUUGAUGUAAACAUAAAAUUUAUAAGGUAUGGCUUUUCUUUUUAGUCCAUCUGUCUAUAUUUGCCUCUUUCUAAAUAGUGAUUUUUUUAGUUAAGUUAGCUGAGGCCAUCUCCUUUCAAUCUAAAUAGUGAUUUUUUAGAGAGAUGGAACACUCGAUUCUAAAUCAAAUCUUUUAUGUUCGACCGUAAACUUCAAAAUACUAUCGAUACUGUAAAGCUUUAUCUAUCGAAAUUCAAGCUUAAUCAUUGAAAAUCAUUAUUUGACCACAAUUUUCGAUCCUCAAAUGCACAUUCAAUUGGCGACUUCAUAAUUAAAUUGAAACUCCAAACUUACAAUUCUGCCUUUGACCCAAUCAAUACGAAGUGUCUCCAUUCAAACUACAUCAACCGUUACCAACAUGAACAAAAUUUGAGUCAAAAUUUACUGAAUUAACAAAUAAAACUUCGAUUUUGACUUUUUGUUUGACUUUCAAUUUCAAGCAGUCACUGUUGAUUCCAACUCCUUUUUGUGUAAGCCUAAACUCCUUCAAUUUCUUUCUAUUUUAAUAAUUAAAUAUAAAAGAUUUUAAAUUUAUAAUUUUACCAUGUAUAUUGUCAGGGUAUACCGGAGCCAGCAGAACUCCCGCCAGCUACCGGAGUUUCACCACUGCCAGGUCUACAGGCUGCCCAGCCCCCGCCAGCUACAGUUGUUCCUCCAAGUGGACCAAAUUCAAACCCUUUGGAUCUCUUCCCUCAUGUAUUCAGUAUUUUGUUUUGACUUUCAUUUUGUCAAUUUUCGUUUUAGACCCUGUAGAUUGUAAUCUUGUCGUGUUUGGUCUAGGGACUUCUUGUAUGGGCACAAAUGCUCCUGUUGGUGUUGUUGGCAACUUGGAUUUUCUACGUAACAGUCCACAGGUAUUUACUUAUUUAUUUAUUUAUUUAUAAACUAGUCAACCAUAUCUACAUACAUAUUAAUUAUUAAUUAUCUCAAUAAAAUAAAAAUAUAAUUUAUAUUAGUGUUCCAGUUUCAAGCACUUCGAGCCAUGGUGCAGGCUAAUCCCCAAAUCUUGUAGGUAUUUCAUAAAUACAAAUCAAAAUACUUCUCAAAGACAUAAAUGGUAGUUUCUCUUUUAUCUCAUUUCUUAUGAUUUACAGGAACGUUUUGAUUCAGAACAAUUUCAAGAUCAUCAUUUAGUUGAGGUAAUAAUAUCAUUAGUUCUUACAAUUUUAGGUAUUUAGUUUCAUGUUUUUUUCUCUUUUAUCUCAUUUAUUAUGAUUUAUAGGAAAGUUGGGAUGCUGGAUUUAACGAUGAUUGGAACAUUGGGAUGCUUGAAGAGUUGAAGGCAGAAGAUAGUGAGGGUAUUAUUGGUUCACAAUCACAUGUUGAAAAAAGUUUAGAUAAGUUGAAUGCUAGAAACCAAAUUCUUCGUGACCAAUUUGGGAUUGAUAUUGAAGCUAAGAGACAUGAUGAAGGGUUUUAGAGCUUCUUCAGACAGCUUAAUGACGAGUUACUGAAACAAGAAGGUGCCCCUUUAUAGCAAUGUAGUAUUAGGUUAUAUUGUUAGGGAAAACCUCUUAAUAACAAUGUAAAUUUAAUUUAUAUAUUGUAAGAACUAGAAUUGUAUGACAUUAAAUUUUAUGCAAUGGAUUGUAUUUUUUGUAUAUGGUAUUUUAUUUCUAUUAUGAGACAUUAAAUGCAAAUUUAAUUUAAAAAUUAAUAAAUAUAUUUUUUUAAACAUUUAAAUUUACGAUACGCAAAAAUGUGUGCCAUCUUCAUUUAUGACAUGGCCUUUCUUGACAGGGCUUUUAAUGAUACGCAUUGUGUGUCAUUAACACGCGCGUCGUAAGGUUACGACACGCGAAAGCGUGUCGUCUUCCUUUAUGACAGGGUCUUCCUUGAUACGCAUUGCGUGUCAUAAACGCGCGUCAUAACUGCCCGUCGUAAAUGCGCGUCGUCUCUCUUUAUGACAGGGCCUUCCUUGACGCGCAUUUGCGCGUUGUCUGAGCCUUUUACGAAACGCAAUGAGCGUCGUAAAAGGCUGUUUUUCUAGUAGUAAACUAAUUUAAUAUUUUGUUUAUUUCUAAUUAAAACACAAACAUAUCCCACCCAUAUAUAACACAUCUCUCACAUCCUCCCACUCUCACAUCCACUUUCUUCUCGAUGAUCAACCAAUUAUAUACAACAAUUCGACCUAGAAAAUCGAACCUACAACAAUUAUUCAAACCCAAUUUCUUAGAAUAAACUAAGACACUAAAUCAUACUUUGAUUCACAUAAUCCCUCGUCUCCUCAUUCUAUAAUGGUAUCUGGUUGUUCUUUACCCCUAGACCUAAUCGAUAACAUAGAUGCUCACCUCUCACUCCCUUGCUUCUUCUAUCUAGAACGUUGACUCAUUUCCCCAAUCACUUUCUGUAAUUUCACUUCAGCUUUGGUUGAUUAAAUGAAGUUGAACCUAAUGAUUGAACAUUCAAAUCUGGUUUUAAAAAAUUCAAUGGUAUGAGGUGGAAUGGAUAACAACGUAUAUAACAUCCAUUCACAUGUCCCUAGAGAAAAAAAGGGAGAUUAUCAGAGGUAGGGAAGUGUAACAAUUAUUAAGGAAAAUGAGGAUGCCAAGACCCCAAGGGAUCAAACAUUUAGGCCCAAUUUGGUAGGCUAUUUGAAAGUUGAUAGUUGAUAAUCGAGCUUAUGAAUAAUAAUGUUUGGUAAAAAGUAGCUUAUAAGUUCUAUUGUAAACAUAAAAUAACAUAAAUGGGCAUUUAGAUUUAUAACUAAAAGAAAAAAGAAGAAAUAUAAUUAAGGGUAUAUUUGAAAUAUUUUUGAAAAAACUCCAUAAGCUUAUCAAAUGCUAUGUCAAAGUAGCUUAUCAAAACCUAACUUAUAAGCUAGUUUAUAAUCUAAAAUAAGCUAUUUUGUGGCUUAACAAAAGAGUAAAUCACAAUAUACUAGCAUAUUUUUGUCAAACAGGGUCUUAAUGGAAUCGAGUAUGUAUAAUGCAGUAUUAUCAUGUAACAUCCAGAAAUCAUGUAUAUCUAUUUAAUCCCUUUUCUUUUCCAAGCUGUCAAAACUAGUCCAUGGAAGGAAAUGGUAGCAAAUGAGUAUGUUGGGCGUACUAAAGAGUACGUUGCGCGUACUCAUGAGCGUGAUCUUGACGCGGGUGCUACCCAGUACGUUGGGCAUACCAUAGUGUACGCUGGGCGUACUGGACUCGGUCAUGAAACCCUAAAUGAGACUUGUGCACUGUAAAAGGAAUGUUAUGGCCUCCAUCCCAACCACCAUUCCAGUAAGUGAAACCCUAGAGGAGCUAAACCUUCGUUCUAAACUUGUGUGUGUGUGACAUCCCCAUUUUCACGGCCUGAAAAGACCGAUUUUGUUUAUGCUUUAGGAAAAUCAGAGUACCUCUUUUAAUAAAAAUGUUGCGGAAUUUAUUCUCAAAAAAACACGAUAAAUACGUUAUCAAAGUAUUUCUGAAGAAAUGUAUUUUUAUUUAUUUUAAAACAUUUGGGAUGUUAUCGUCAAUAAAGAAACAUAAGCAUAAACAGAACUUACAUUCAUUAUCACUAGUGAUCAACAUCUCUUUUAAAUCUCUCAGUGUAAUGUAACAUCAUAUCGACACCUGUGAUACAAAUAAACUGAGUGGGUCAGGUUGGGAAACCUGGUAAGUACAUAGGGUUUCAACCCACAAUAAUAUAAUUAUUAUGUUUAAACAUCAAACAAUCAACCCUACCCAUACCCAUUAUCUUCUUUACUCUUAAGGAUCUACCCUAAGAAUCAGUUAUUCUUAUUCCUAAGGAUCAUCCUAAGGAAUCGUCACGAAGUCCAUCGUUGCCACGGUUUACACAACGGGCACUAAGUCUUCAUAGUCGCCAGGGGUUAGGCAUCAAGUCUGCAUGAUCGCCAAGGUUUACACAAUGGGCACUAAGUCUACAUAGUCGCAAGGGUUUAGGCAUCAAGUCUGCAUGAUCGCCAAGGUUUAGGCACCAAGUCUGCAUGGUCGCCAAGGUUUAGAGUACAACGGGUGAACACAUCGUUCACAACACCUACAGGUUGCGAGCCUGUUAGUGUUCCGCUGGACUGUCUAGAAUAGUCCAUGGUUGUCAUCCAUACUCUGCUGAAUGACGGGGCCAUCAUUUGGGAAAAAGGCUUCUCACAUCGUCCACCUCUCACCCUCACCUCACGGUCUAUAACACCUCUCAACUCAUUGUCCAACUCAUAUUCCAUCUAUUACAUCUAUCCAUGUUUUACCCCAACAUUUUCGUAGAUAUAAAAUACAUAUACAGUUUAAAUCAUUUAAAACGUGUAUAAAAUCGUUCAUCUAGCAUAGACAACAAGUAUUCAGAUAAUAUGCACACAUAACAUGUAAUUUAUAUAAAAUACUUUAUAUCUAUGUGUAAGAUGAAAGUAACUAUGCACUCACUCGAUAAGGUGUUGACUCGGUACUCGGACAACGCUUCGUUUACUUUAAAAUAAUUUCCUUCUACGAAACCUAGUAUUAUUACCACUAGAUUUUAGUCUAAUAUUUAUNNNNNNNNNNNNNNNNNNNNNNNNNNNNNNNNNNNNNNNNNNNNNNNNNNNNNNNNNNNNNNNNNNNNNNNNNNNNNNNNNNNNNNNNNNNNNNNNNNNNNNNNNNNNNNNNNNNNNNNNNNNNNNNNNNNNNNNNNNNNNNNNNNNNNNNNNNNNNNNNNNNNNNNNNNNNNNNNNNNNNNNNNNNNNNNNNNNNNNNNNNNNNNNNNNNNNNNNNNNNNNNNNNNNNNNNNNNNNNNNNNNNNNNNNNNNNNNNNNNNNNNNNNNNNNNNNNNNNNNNNNNNNNNNNNNNNNNNNNNNNNNNNNNNNNNNNNNNNNNNNNNNNNNNNNNNNNNNNNNNNNNNNNNNNNNNNNNNNNNNNNNNNNNNNNNNNNNNNNNNNNNNNNNNNNNNNNNNNNNNNNNNNNNNNNNNNNNNNNNNNNNNNNNNNNNNNNNNNNNNNNNNNNNNNNNNNNNNNNNNNNNNNNNNNNNNNNNNNNNNNNNNNNNNNNNNNNNNNNNNNNNNNNNNNNNNNNNNNNNNNNNNNNNNNNNNNNNNNNNNNNNNNNNNNNNNNNNNNNNNNNNNNNNNNNNNNNNNNNNNNNNNNNNNNNNNNNNNNNNNNNNNNNNNNNNNNNNNNNNNNNNNNNNNNNNNNNNNNNNNNNNNNNNNNNNNNNNNNNNNNNNNNNNNNNNNNNNNNNNNNNNNNNNNNNNNNNNNNNNNNNNNNNNNNNNNNNNNNNNNNNNNNNNNNNNNNNNNNNNNNNNNNNNNNNNNNNNNNNNNNNNNNNNNNNNNNNNNNNNNNNNNNNNNNNNNNNNNNNNNNNNNNNNNNNNNNNNNNNNNNNNNNNNNNNNNNNNNNNNNNNNNNNNNNNNNNNNNNNNNNNNNNNNNNNNNNNNNNNNNNNNNNNNNNNNNNNNNNNNNNNNNNNNNNNNNNNNNNNNNNNNNNNNNNNNNNNNNNNNNNNNNNNNNNNNNNNNNNNNNNNNNNNNNNNNNNNNNNNNNNNNNNNNNNNNNNNNNNNNNNNNNNNNNNNNNNNNNNNNNNNNNNNNNNNNNNNNNNNNNNNNNNNNNNNNNNNNNNNNNNNNNNNNNNNNNNNNNNNNNNNNNNNNNNNNNNNNNNNNNNNNNNNNNNNNNNNNNNNNNNNNNNNNNNNNNNNNNNNNNNNNNNNNNNNNNNNNNNNNNNNNNNNNNNNNNNNNNNNNNNNNNNNNNNNNNNNNNNNNNNNNNNNNNNNNNNNNNNNNNNNNNNNNNNNNNNNNNNNNNNNNNNNNNNNNNNNNNNNNNNNNNNNNNNNNNNNNNNNNNNNNNNNNNNNNNNNNNNNNNNNNNNNNNNNNNNNNNNNNNNNNNNNNNNNNNNNNNNNNNNNNNNNNNNNNNNNNNNNNNNNNNNNNNNNNNNNNNNNNNNNNNNNNNNNNNNNNNNNNNNNNNNNNNNNNNNNNNNNNNNNNNNNNNNNNNNNNNNNNNNNNNNNNNNNNNNNNNNNNNNNNNNNNNNNNNNNNNNNNNNNNNNNNNNNNNNNNNNNNNNNNNNNNNNNNNNNNNNNNNNNNNNNNNNNNNNNNNNNNNNNNNNNNNNNNNNNNNNNNNNNNNNNNNNNNNNNNNNNNNNNNNNNNNNNNNNNNNNNNNNNNNNNNNNNNNNNNNNNNNNNNNNNNNNNNNNNNNNNNNNNNNNNNNNNNNNNNNNNNNNNNNNNNNNNNNNNNNNNNNNNNNNNNNNNNNNNNNNNNNNNNNNNNNNNNNNNNNNNNNNNNNNNNNNNNNNNNNNNNNNNNNNNNNNNNNNNNNNNNNNNNNNNNNNNNNNNNNNNNNNNNNNNNNNNNNNNNNNNNNNNNNNNNNNNNNNNNNNNNNNNNNNNNNNNNNNNNNNNNNNNNNNNNNNNNNNNNNNNNNNNNNNNNNNNNNNNNNNNNNNNNNNNNNNNNNNNNNNNNNNNNNNNNNNNNNNNNNNNNNNNNNNNNNNNNNNNNNNNNNNNNNNNNNNNNNNNNNNNNNNNNNNNNNNNNNNNNNNNNNNNNNNNNNNNNNNNNNNNNNNNNNNNNNNNNNNNNNNNNNNNNNNNNNNNNNNNNNNNNNNNNNNNNNNNNNNNNNNNNNNNNNNNNNNNNNNNNNNNNNNNNNNNNNNNNNNNNNNNNNNNNNNNNNNNNNNNNNNNNNNNNNNNNNNNNNNNNNNNNNNNNNNNNNNNNNNNNNNNNNNNNNNNNNNNNNNNNNNNNNNNNNNNNNNNNNNNNNNNNNNNNNNNNNNNNNNNNNNNNNNNNNNNNNNNNNNNNNNNNNNNNNNNNNNNNNNNNNNNNNNNNNNNNNNNNNNNNNNNNNNNNNNNNNNNNNNNNNNNNNNNNNNNNNNNNNNNNNNNNNNNNNNNNNNNNNNNNNNNNNNNNNNNNNNNNNNNNNNNNNNNNNNNNNNNNNNNNNNNNNNNNNNNNNNNNNNNNNNNNNNNNNNNNNNNNNNNNNNNNNNNNNNNNNNNNNNNNNNNNNNNNNNNNNNNNNNNNNNNNNNNNNNNNNNNNNNNNNNNNNNNNNNNNNNNNNNNNNNNNNNNNNNNNNNNNNNNNNNNNNNNNNNNNNNNNNNNNNNNNNNNNNNNNNNNNNNNNNNNNNNNNNNNNNNNNNNNNNNNNNNNNNNNNNNNNNNNNNNNNNNNNNNNNNNNNNNNNNNNNNNNNNNNNNNNNNNNNNNNNNNNNNNNNNNNNNNNNNNNNNNNNNNNNNNNNNNNNNNNNNNNNNNNNNNNNNNNNNNNNNNNNNNNNNNNNNNNNNNNNNNNNNNNNNNNNNNNNNNNNNNNNNNNNNNNNNNNNNNNNNNNNNNNNNNNNNNNNNNNNNNNNNNNNNNNNNNNNNNNNNNNNNNNNNNNNNNNNNNNNNNNNNNNNNNNNNNNNNNNNNNNNNNNNNNNNNNNNNNNNNNNNNNNNNNNNNNNNNNNNNNNNNNNNNNNNNNNNNNNNNNNNNNNNNNNNNNNNNNNNNNNNNNNNNNNNNNNNNNNNNNNNNNNNNNNNNNNNNNNNNNNNNNNNNNNNNNNNNNNNNNNNNNNNNNNNNNNNNNNNNNNNNNNNNNNNNNNNNNNNNNNNNNNNNNNNNNNNNNNNNNNNNNNNNNNNNNNNNNNNNNNNNNNNNNNNNNNNNNNNNNNNNNNNNNNNNNNNNNNNNNNNNNNNNNNNNNNNNNNNNNNNNNNNNNNNNNNNNNNNNNNNNNNNNNNNNNNNNNNNNNNNNNNNNNNNNNNNNNNNNNNNNNNNNNNNNNNNNNNNNNNNNNNNNNNNNNNNNNNNNNNNNNNNNNNNNNNNNNNNNNNNNNNNNNNNNNNNNNNNNNNNNNNNNNNNNNNNNNNNNNNNNNNNNNNNNNNNNNNNNNNNNNNNNNNNNNNNNNNNNNNNNNNNNNNNNNNNNNNNNNNNNNNNNNNNNNNNNNNNNNNNNNNNNNNNNNNNNNNNNNNNNNNNNNNNNNNNNNNNNNNNNNNNNNNNNNNNNNNNNNNNNNNNNNNNNNNNNNNNNNNNNNNNNNNNNNNNNNNNNNNNNNNNNNNNNNNNNNNNNNNNNNNNNNNNNNNNNNNNNNNNNNNNNNNNNNNNNNNNNNNNNNNNNNNNNNNNNNNNNNNNNNNNNNNNNNNNNNNNNNNNNNNNNNNNNNNNNNNNNNNNNNNNNNNNNNNNNNNNNNNNNNNNNNNNNNNNNNNNNNNNNNNNNNNNNNNNNNNNNNNNNNNNNNNNNNNNNNNNNNNNNNNNNNNNNNNNNNNNNNNNNNNNNNNNNNNNNNNNNNNNNNNNNNNNNNNNNNNNNNNCUUCCUCCACUGCUCUCCUCCUUUGCCACAUAAGCCUUUCCAUGAGUAGGCUUCCUCACUUCAUCGUCUUCUGAGUCGGUUGACCAAACUUCCACGCUACCGAACUCGUCAUCAGCAACCGAACCCUGCACAAUUAGAGCAUUCAUGGAAGGGUUAGCGGUAGACUUCUUCUUUCUCAUCUCAUCAAGCCUUUUCUGCAACAAGGCUUCCUCAUCCUUUUCAUCAUCCUUUUCAGCCAUCAUUUUAAGGACACAAUCUUUAGCAUAGUGGUUUUUCCCACUACAGUAGUAACAUCUUACUCCAGAAUUACCAUCCGCCUUUGGUUCCUUCUUGGGCUCUUCAACCUUCGGUUCAUUGUUAACCUUUUCUGAACUAUAACUCCCCUGCCAGUUUUGGUUUUUGUUGUUGGGGAAUCUCUUCUUUAUGAACCUCUUGGGGUUAGACACCAUCAUAGCAUAAUCCUCAGACGUGAGGUCAUACUCCUCCAAGUUGAGAUCUUCAUCCUCCAUCACAACUUUACUUUUUGACAGGAGGGCCAGCGAACCAAGGCUUGAAACAACGUUCUUUUCCUGCAGCACAAUCUUCUCCUGGGACUUGAGAAUACCCACCAGUUUCGCCAAAGAGUAUGAUUUAAACUGCUCAUGGGCUUUAACUGUUGACACCACUGCUCUCCAUUCUGACCUUAGACCAUUUAAGAACGUAACCUUCUGCUCGAUAAGCUUCCUUUCGAUGUCAUGUUUGAUCAUCCUGCUGAGAAGAUGAUUGAAGCGAUCGAACGUCUGGGUCACUGUUUCUUCGGCUCCUUGCCUGAAUUCUCCAAACUCAGAUAAGAGCAAGGUUUGGAUAGAAUGUUCAAGAUCCUCGUCUGUAGAGUACAGUUCACGAAGUCUAUCCCAAACUUCCUUUGCCGUUGUGCAUGAGCUGACCAACCUGAAGGUGUCGGACUGAAGGGCGAAUCUUAUCAAUCUUAACGCCUUGAUAUUGCACUGGAAUUUAUCCUUUUCAUCUUGCGCAAUAUCUUUAACAUCCUUCAGCAGAUCAUUGUACUCCUUUUGAGUUUUAAUAAUCCUGGACGUUGCAGAAUGAGAAAAAGGUCCAUUAAUGAUUGCUUCCCAUAUGAGGUAUCCAUUAUCCUCAGAUCCUAUCACGUAGUCUUCGAAGUGAUGCGCCCAGACUUCAUAGUCAUGGGUAUAUAGGAUUGGAAUCUUCGUGGUUGAACCGAUGCUGUUGGAAAUAUUGAUGGGAUUUGAUUGCGACUCGUCCAUUAUGGUCGAAAAACCUGUUCAAAGAUCAGACUUUGUAAUAAAGCAGAUUAGGGCAAAACAAUAAAUAUCAAGAUACGUCAAUAAUGAGAUGACGGCUCAAUAAAUAUCAGUAAUUGCGGAAAAACCCUAAUUGAAACCUUUUCACAGAAAAGAUGUGUAUCGAUUACACAGCCUCCUGCUCUGAUACCAAUUGAUGAGAUUAAAACUUUAAUCUUUGAAGAUCGAUUAGAUCUUAAACAGGUAAGUAAAUAUAAAACAACAAGAACACGAAAAUAAGAACAAGUCAAGAAUGAAUCAAACGUAUCGAAUGAUUAAAACAAAACACUCAGAAGAGAUCGAUUAAGAACAUCAACUGUAGAGGAUUACUAGGUUUACAAGAACGAUAAAGAAAGAAAACGUAAUACUAUCAUAAUGCUAUCGUUUUCUCUAGAUCGUUUUCCUAAUAUGCAUGCAAGCAUAUACUUAUAUAAUAAACCUAACGGGCUCUCGGUUGGACAGGCCCAAACCGGAGUACAAAAUAAAUAGACAAAUAGCCGGGCCCAAAGACGCAACCCUUGAACGAAUCUUCAACCCAACACUAUUUAUUGCAGAUGUGGUUCUUGACCUAUACAAAAUGGCUUAAAAAUUUUGGACUUAACUUGUAACUUUGACUAAAUCACAGGGACUAUAUCCACUGUAAAAAGCAAAGUUAUGAUAAAAAUCCAAAUUUUGGAAUUUUAAGAAAAACACAGGGACCAAAUGUGUAAUUUUAUCUUGUCAUAAUGAAAAUUUUCUUGGUUGUAACAUGUAAGUAAAAUUUGUGAACUAAAUAAUUUGGAGAAAUAAAAAAUUAGAUAGAAAGAGGAUUAUACGUAUCAAAUUGUGCUUGGCUUUCACUAUAAAGUGAAGGACAGUUUCGAAAUGUUUAAUAAAAUUAGAUUACCUGCUCUGCUUCCCCAAAGAUAUGUUCUCCAGCAGCUUCCCAAACCUCCUUUUAAUCUUCCAAAAAACCAUAACCAACUCUCCUUAAACCUGCAAUCAGAAAAAAUCAAUGAACUUUUCUACGAAUCUAAUAAUAAACAAAUCUAUUAAAAAUCAGAACUGACCAGACGUUCAUGGAGUCGCAGUCCGUUGUUUUAAGUUAAGCUCAAGACACGGAGACUGAAACAAUCAAAUCUCUUGGAACAGAAAAGGUAAGAGUGUGAUCGAUAACGGAGGCGUAACCUGUUGGAAGCCACAAAGAAGCAUCUUUUCCAUCAAAAACUUCAAAACCUGCAUAGUAUAAUAAAUGUUUAAUCAUCAAUAAGCUGAGACACUUAACAGAGAGCUAACUUUGUUCAGACAAUAAAAUAUGAAACACAAACACAUACAAAAAGGGUGAAAAUCUUACUCGGUUUCAGGGGCUGCAACACUGUAAUAACAUUUUUGGCUGCUAACACCUCCAACAAUUGGAAUAUGAAUCUCUUGAUUGAAAUGUAGUGUACUUGAAGUGCUAUUAGACCUGUUUAAAAAAAUCAGUUUAAUAAUGUUUAAAUAAGAUUAAAAAACGGGUCUUGUGCAGAAAUACUCCAUAGUCAAUUUAAAAAAGGUCCCUAUGGCAAAAAAAUUACCAUGAAUUUCUAGUUUCACCCUUGACAACGUAUAUGUUGCCAAUCAACUGGUAAAAGGGGCUAAUUAGAAGAAACAAUUCAUUCAAAAUCGUCGCAGAUAAUAUCUUGAGAUUGUAACUAAUAGAAAUGGGAUGAACUUUUUGGGAACAUAGUAUAUAAUUUUGGAUAAAAUUAUGAUUCUGAUUCAAGGUCAAGUUCUGCUCUAAUCAAGAUAAGAAAGUAAAGGAAAUCUUUGUGAAAAGGGUAUAACAAUCCAUUUGUUUUAUUGUUAAAAAGGGAAUUAUAAAUUCAUACGGAAUACCAUGGAUAGUUAGAAACAAAAACCUUUAUUUUGUUGCUUUUUUUUUCCAAGCCCUGUUCUUCGUAUUUAACUAUAAGAAAUCGAUUCUCCUGCAAGGAGGAAAAACACAUUAGAAGCCUCAUUAGAGCAAACAACAAAUUAGUCAAUGAAAAAUUGAAGAAAGAUUCAAGAUUGCAGGAGAAAGAUGCAAGCCUCAGUACACCUUUGUUGCCCUAGUCCACCUGAGUAGCAUGUAGGUAAUUGGUCAACAGACCAUAAAAUUAUAAUGAUGUUGAGAUAAUUUAAUCGGAUUGAUUGUCCUAUAGUGAAUUGAACCUUUUUGUACAAACGAUUACAAAACAUCAAAAAUAAAAACCCCUAAACCAGAUUUAACCGGCAGUGUGAGAGUGAUUUACCGUUGCAUGUUUUUUGCCAAGACAUCUAUAUGAUCUGACUCGAAGAACAACUGAAAUCUUUGAAGAAAGCUUUAAAAAGAAAGGGAAUCAAAGACCAUAUAACAGGGGAGAAGCAGCACGAAAGCAAAACUACUGCCUGAAGAGCAACCAUCAAUUCAUGAGUCCAAACCAUUGAUAGACAAAACUAAACCAAUGACAUAACAGAUGGAGAGAAAAUCCAUGUAAUCAUCUAAAAAUAAAAUGAAGAUAAAAGUGAAUAUGAAGGAAAGGUCAUAGAAAGAACCGAAAAUAGGGUUGAAGUUCAAUACCUGAACCGAUUGCAGGUGUGGGUGCUAUCUAGGGGUCGAGUGCGUCGAUACAUCGAUGUUAUCUAGGAGGUGGAAGUAGUGACUGUGAAGAUGAGCAAUAGGCGUCGACCUAUUCGGUUGAUCGGAAGCCAGAAAGUGGAAUUGAUAAAAGAAUAGUUUUAAUGAUCUCCUUCAUAAUCGAUCAACCUAGGGCCUCCGGGAAUAGACGCCUGCGAGCCUUUCUUUCCUUCCCCUCGCGAAUCGCCAACCACCGUCAAAACCCCAAAUCAGAUAAGCCUUCGUUCGAUCAACUCUACCUUGCAAUUCAGGUAGUCUUCUAUCUUGCUAAUAUCAAGGUCCUUGUUCAAAAGUUGGGUGAAACCAAAAAAACAACACAAACUCAAAGUCUAAGCUACUUGAAAUUCGAAAAUAGAGGCGAGAUACCUGGAAUUCGGAAGUCGUCGCUGAAACCCCUUUCAAAUUCGUCGAAACCUACAUAAGAAUGAAAUGAAAUUAGACCCAGCUAGCCGAUGCAAAACCGGAACAAAGCAGAGUGUUGUAACCAAGAAACAAUGAAGCGGUGGGGGAAGUGGUGGGUUUCUUGGACCGGUGGCGGAAGCGGCGAUGACAUGAAGCGUUGGUGGAGCGAUGACGGUGAGGUGUUGGGAGUCAACUACGCAUCAGUGUGACACGUUGGGCAAUUAACACAAAUCAGAUAUUGUUGAAUGGGUGAUGAGAAAGCGGGUGGGGGGAAGGCAGAACGAGUGGGGGAGACGUGGGAAUGACACAUAUCAGCCCCAUCCUUAUCUUUACACCACUGCUAAUAAUUCAAGGGACCAAAUUGUCAAUACAACAAACUUUUGUGCAAAAAAUCUGAACCAGUAAAAAUAUGAAAACUUAUGGGCCACUUUUGCCAAAAGACCAGCAUGUUUACUAUUCAUGAAUGUGGUCAUCUUUAAUAUNUUCUUAAUUUGUGAGAACAAUACACAACUGGGAAAACAUGUUUUCUCCUAUAGAAAUUUAUCCCCCCGAAAAUAUUGACUGUAUAUCAAUGAAAUACCAAUAGUAAAAAGACCAUAAAUUAGCAAGGGAUAGAUAAACUGUGGGAAACCAUUAGAAUUAGUGAAGAAAAUGUUAAUUUUUGGAUUAGUUAUCAGUUGAAAUAACAUUAUCUUAUACAAAUAAUUGUGUUUCUCAAGACUAGUCAUCAUGAGCUCUUAAAUAACACAUUUUGACUAUUUGUAAAAUAGUAAGUCUCAUUCAAUUAUUUCUUCGAUUUCUUAAAUUGUAUAUUAUGUCAUCCAGUAAUUAAAUGAAUGUUCAUGUUUAUAUGUUUUAUUUUCUAACAUUUUUUUCUUUCAAAUAAGAUAGUUAUUACGAUAUUAUUCGCGAUUUUGGUUUAUGCUAGACGUAAAAAAACUAUAAUGCCCUUAUAUCAUUAUUUUUCAAUUAAUUUAAUAUUUUGUUUAUUUAUAAUUAUAGAAAAAAUAUGGCCAACCUGUAUAUAACACAUCUCUCACAUCUUGCCACUCUCACAUCCCACUUAUGGAGAAUCAGCCAAUUCUCUACAACAAUUCAACUAAUGAUGCUGAGAUACCGUGCAAGAAGAAGAUAGUAAGAGUGAACCCAUUUGGAAAAGAGUCAUUUAUGGUGUACAAGGAUAAACACAGAGUAGAUUCUGGCAUCAUUUCCCUGAUGAAAGCCAGAUAAUGUUUGUCUAAAGGAUGCACAUCAUACUUGGUAUUUGUAAUCAAUGUAAAGAAGGAGAAGAAGGAGAUACAAAGAAUAACAGUGGUGUGUGACUAUCCAGAAGUCUUCCCCGAGGAUCUUCCUAGAUUGCCCCUGAUAGACAAGUAGAUUUUCGAAUAAACUUGUUACCAGGAUCAACACCAAUAGCGAAAGCACAUAUUCAAUCUUGGCAACAAAAUCUUCAAUCCGAAUAGAUGAGCCAACUCAUAGUCGCGUCGACAAAAUUCCGCGACAUAAUCUUUGAGGAAGCUCAGAGCAGCAUGGUAAGCACCCAUGCUGAUAUCAUCAUUUUGGAGUCCUCGAAAGUGAGCAGCUAAAGUGAGAAUAUCAUUCAGAUUCAUUACCGGGAUGUCAACAUCAGUGAUGGUUUUAUAAGUUGGUUUGUUUCUAACAACAUGGUACCGGAAUAGUGGACAACUGAGUUCGAAUUUAAAGAGGACCUUCCUUCCGUACCCAUAAAUCUUUGUAAUCUUCUUCCUCGUCCAUACUUCCUUUAGGGGAGGUGCAUUAUUGGCAUAGAAAGUGUUUAACCUUUCUCGCUCUAUCCGGAUGGUGACCUCUGGAUUGUCAUUGGGAUGGAGAGUAGCGAAUUUGAUGUAAAAUUUGCUGAAGGGAGAGAGUGGAAGAUCAAGUUGUUCGGAAUCAUCGAUAGGAAUGUCAUAGUACAUAAUGGGUACUAUAUCGACAUCCUUAAGAAUACCUUCACGGUAGAGAGGAAAAAUGCCAUGCAUCGGAUCAAAAUUAUCUUUGAGCGCUUGGAUCUGGAUGUUGUCCUCUAAAGCUUUGUUAAUUUCAUCCCGAGACUAUCCAAGUUUUCGCUUUGGUGGAGGUCCGGAUUCCUUGAUAGGCUUCUUACCUUUGUCUUUGCCUUUGUUUAGGACGGAGAUCACAUGCAACAUGUUCUCGUCCAUAGUGAUCUUGGUAGGGGAGGAUGGAAGAGGUUCUCCCGGAAUGUCGUCUGGGGUCCGGAGAGGAGAACCUUCAUCUAUUUGAGCAAUUUUUGGCUCAGGAAUUGGUGGCAACAUAGAAGGAGUGGCUCGGAAGGCUUGAGCGGUAAGGAAAGUUUUGUCCUUGGCCAUUUGAAUUCCCCUUUGAAGAACAUCAGGCAAAGAAGAUGGCCAAGAAACUACAGACCAAAUUCUUUGCUCUUCCUCAGUCAUUGGCUUUAGGAAAAGCUUCCGUGGAGCUUCAAGAGCAAGUACUCCCUUUGUGACAUAUUGUUUUUCUUCACUGUAUUCAUCAUCAUCAUUGUUCCCUAGAAGUCCGGAAAGAAUUUGGACUUCAUCAUCGGAAACAAUAUCUUCAUCUCGGAGUUGAAAAACCGAGGCAAACUUCCAAGGUUGACUUGGACCUUCUCCUCCUCUUGCAUCGGUGGCCUUAUGAACCGGUGCAAGUGUGAAAAAUUCCUUCAAAUCAUCAAAUUUAUCAGACACCUUUUGAAGACCGGUGUUGAGUUGACGAGUGAGAGAAUCAUAAGCUUCGGAAGUUGGCACUUGGGAGGAGAGAUGAUCAAAUAGAUAUCCAAGGAUAACAAGCAUCUCAUCAAACUUGUGAUUCGGAACAUCAACAAUGUUCCAAGUGGAUCAGAGCAAUUUGAUGAGAACUUGCUGGAUGAUCAAGUUCAUUUCGUCUUUCUUCUUAAUUUCCUUCUCCAACCUCUGAAUCUGCUUCUCAUAGUGAACAUGGGUCUGCCUGAUGAGAUCAUUGGUAGCAACAACCAAAUCAUCAUGGACCUUGAGCAUUGUGGGGAUGGUGUUGAGAUAGUGCUAAACUGAAGCAUCAUAUUUUGCUUCAACUUCUUCGAUUGAAUGUUUGAGUCGUAUGGAGAUCAGUUGAUCUAGUUGAGCUUCUCUUUCAGCCACGGAAGGUCCGAACUGAUUUGAUAAGGACUGGAGAAUGGCGUCUAGCUUGGAGUCUAGUCCGGAAACCUUUGUAUCAAUCUUGGUGUUUAGCUUGGCCACAGAAGUCUUGAGAGCGGCGACCUUCUUCAUUGUGUAACAUCCGGAAAUUUCAGGUAUUAUAUUUAUUCUUUUUAUUUUGGAGCUUUGAGGAAGAACUCGGCGAGUUGGUGCGCAGACUCGCCGAGUAGAGACGCGAUUUCUCAUCCGGAUUAAUGAGUUGACUCGACGAGUCGCAAUGGUGGACUCGGCGAGUCAGCGAUGUUUAAUGAAACCUUAAUUUCUCGGGUUUGGGGCCUAUUUAAAGGGCCUUAUAGCCGUCAUUUGUGCUCACUAGCCCCCAGAGUGAAACCCUAGUGCAUGUGAGCGUGUGGAGUGAGAGAAGGAGCCAUUAUCAACCAUUGGAGGUGUUGUUUAGUUGGGAAGGGAAGUUUUAGCCAAGAGGAAGCAAGAGGAUCAACUUCCUGAAGAUCUAAGGUCCAGAACAUCACGUUUGAGGUACGAUUUUCAAUCCAUUUUCUGUUAAGGUGAUGUUCAUGUUGAUUUAGGGCUUAUUGAGCCUUUUUAUGGCUAGAUCUAGUGCUCCCUUGGUCCCUUAAGCGAGUUAGGUUAUGGAUCUGGACGCUUGGAGGUCCAGAGAGUCCUUUUGUCCAAGCUUUUUAUGAAUCCAUGGAGGUUUUGGUUUGGGAUCUUUGUGCUUGAGGUCAAAACACCAUUGAUGAGUCAUUAGAUGUGUUAUGAGCGCCAAGACAUGAACUUUACGUGAUAAAUAAGCUUCGAAGGACUGGAUCUAUGAGUUAGUGGAUUGGAUCUGACCUCAGAAGGUCGUUUGGGAUUGUGCAUGGAAUGCACUCGCCGAGUCCAUUGCCAGACUCGACGAGUUGGUGCGGGUUGUUCAGUGAUUUCGAACCAGGGGUUCAGUAACCGAGUCGAGUGAGUGACUCGGUGAGUCAGAAGGGACUCAGAGGAAUCGGGUCCCCGUAGAGACUCGGCGAGUCCACACUAGACUCGGCGAGUUGAGUUGACCGUUGACUGUUGACCAAGAGUUGACCGAUGUUGACUCGAUAGGGUUAGUCAACCUUAGUUGGGAAAGUGUUAAUUAGCGAUGUAUUGUGUUAUAGGAGGACUAUAGCUCGGGAGAUCGAGCACUAGUGAUUUCAGGGAUUUACGAGUUACCGAGAUACGCGAGGUGAGUCUUCUCACUAUACUUUACCUUGAGUAGGUAAAUAGAGUUAUGUGAUGCAGUGGUUGUAUGCUAUAUAUGUGUUAUGUGUUGCACUGCAUUCUUCUAUGUGAUUUAUGCUGUACAUGUUUAUCAGAGUUAGAACCUGAGGGUUCACAGAGUUUGGGUGCACGGACCCACAGAGUUAUAGCCUCGAGUGGCUAAUAUGUGUUAUAUGUGGGAUUUUGGGGAACUCACUAAGCUUUGUGCUUACAGUGUUUUGUGUUAUGUGUUUCAGGUACUAGUAAGGAUCGCGGGAAGGCGCCGGCUUGAUCAGUACACACACUGGAUUUUAUGAUACGAGAUCUUGGGAUAUUGUUGUAUGUUAUACAUUGAGUUUCAAACAAUGAUGUUUUUAUGAUUUACAAAUGAAUUAUGUUUUUAUAAAUGAGAAAAAUUGUUUUGGAAAUUUACGGUGUUACACAUUGUUUCUGAAACAUUGGAUUGAAUAUCCAAAAGAGCAAACAGAUCAAUAUGAUUUCCUGCUGAGGAUCCGUUGUCUGAGCUGGAAGGUUGAGGAUUGUGUUUCGGAGAUGCCGGAUUGAUUGGAGUGAAAGAAGGACUAGGUUUUUUGGUAGUUGCAUCAUCAUGGGGUUUGUGCGUUGAAUCUGAUUCAUUCUGAGUGGAAGAUGGGGAUGCGAAAUCAAAAGCAGGCUUGGACGAAGAUUGCUUUGAGUGAAGUUGAAGUGAGGAAAACAUAUUAGCAUCAGCAACGUGUGCAACAUCUGUGGUCAACAACACCUCUUCGGAAAUUUCAUCAUCCGAAGAUGAAGGAUUGGAAGCAUGAGGAUGAGACUUUGGAGUUUCUCCGGAUGUGAACUCAAGAUCAGCAAGCUUAUCUGAAUGAGAAACAUAAGGAAUGUUGCUAUGAAUGGCCCGGUUUUGCAUGAAGAUGAGAGUGGCUUCAACUUGGGAUCUUGUAAGUUUCGGAUGCCUAGAGUGUCACCUGUUCACAAAAUCUUCCCACACAAGGAUCAUUAGUUCCUGGUCGUCCUGUACCCUUACCAGGUAUCAGACCGGUUGAUGCACCUAAGGUUGGAAGGACAACUCCAGCCUCGAAAUGCUUGGGGUUCGGAAUAGGGGUUCUAGAGUGUGUGCGUGUAGAAGGAGUUGGGAUAGCAAAUGUGACACGUGGGUUUGUUCCCGGGGCAAGGAACUUUGUUCAGCACCGACAUUAUCUUUUUGAGAAGGUGAUGGUGGAUUAUGUGUAGUCUCCUCGUGACUGUGUGCCUUUGUUUUUGAAACAUCGAGGAGUACCUUGGAUGAGUGGGUAGGAGGGGCGUUCGGAAGGCCAGAGUCAGCCUGAAUACCAUGAGUUCCUUCUUGUUGAGAGGAAAAACUGACUUUGGUUCUCUUUUUAGGCUUGAACUUAGAAGGAGAAGUCUUCCUUUUGGCAGACUUUUUAAUUUUUGCUCCGGACACAGAAGGAUUGACCUCUUUCGGAGUGGGAUCAACAGAGACUGGGGCAGGUUGUGUUGGCUCAAACAUAGUCGAAGUCUCUAAAUGAUGUUUCAGAUAAAUGGAAUCGAAAGGAAUUAGGGCCAACAUAUGGUCCAGAAGACGUCUAACGGGAAAAAAAGAAGAUUGGUCCGGAAUUCUAUAAUGCUUGACAAUUUUAAAGGUUAGAUAUACCUCCUUCAGAAUGGUGGCAAUAGGAAUGGGUUCGGACCUUUCUCUAUAGAGUUGCUGAAUUGUCAAAGCCCAGAACCUAGAGCUUGAAAUCUCAUUGGUAUUCCUUUUGAUUGCGAAUUUCCAGAAGUCCUGCCAUAGCACCUCCGGAAGAUCGACAACAUUGUUCCGUCCGGAAUAGAUGUUGUACACCACUUAUAGCUAGUCCUUUCUUAGGGUAUCCAUACCACCAUGAUUUCCGGACUGCCCUCGAAUGAUGAAGUGCAUAAGGAUGGUCCACAGUCCGAAAACGACUGAUUUCUAGAAAGACCUUGGCCUUGUAAUCCUGGUUGUACCCAAUAUGGUUCAAGAAUAGUUGAAAUUCUUCUGCAUAGGGUACUUGUACCUUAAAACCCUUGGGGGUUUCUUUUACACCAAUAGCCUUAAGAAAUGCCGAUUUGUGGAUGGGCACGAUCCUAUCACCCGUGAUUUUGAUUUCGAGAACACCAUUGUCGAUUUUGAUUCUUGUGAAAGAGGUGUGUAAGAGACUGAGUGGUACAAGGGGGUCUGGGAUUUUGGUGAGAGUGAUGGAUAUGGGAUGAUUUGCGAUGAACUCAAUCAUCACCCUAAUGGGUUCAUCGAAAUCCAGAUGAUUCAUCGAGAAAAAUUGGGUCGUAUCCCUAAUAAACGACUCAGGUGAUUGAGAAAAGGAUGAACCUUUGGAUGAAUUCUUCUUAGGGACAAUCUUCUUUGGUGAUGAAGCAAUUACAAGCAGUUGCUCAGUUGAAGAUUGGGACGCCAUUGAAGAGAUGUUAUGAGAGCUUCAAGAACACGAUGAACACAAAGAUUUUUGAAGUUUUAUAGAGUUUGAGCAUGUAAGGAGGUAAAAGAGGGUUUAGGAAGGUUUAUAUAGGUAAUUGAAAUAGGUUGGGUUAAGAAAGGUAAUGAUGAGGAUCCGAAGCCAAACCGGGUGGCAUUUAAUGAAUAACCGUUUUUGGUAGUGAGUUGAAUUGGGAAAGAAAAGGUAGGUGUAACGCCCUAAAUCAGGUAUGACUUGAAAACCCUCGAUGAUUUUCAACAUUGGCACCAAUGGUCCCUUGGAUUACGCCGGGUGUACUCAUGGGUACGCUUAGCGUACUCUGCAUAAGUGAUCGCGGGGACAUCUUGCGUAAGCGGGGCGUAUGUAAGGUUACGUCGGGCGUACAAAAUUGAAGGCCAAAACCCUAAAUCCGGACUUGACCCCCUAUUUAAACACCUUUUAACCUCUUGGACCAAACCCUAUAAGCGUCUUUAGCCCCAUUUCGUCUACUUUUAGCUGAGUUUGUGUGAGAGUUUGAGCUUAAGAAGAAGGUUUUGGUGGCCAUUUUGGAGUCCUUUCAAGAAGGAGAGUUGCUAGGCAAACUUGGGACGAUUUGGUGCCUCAAGAAUCUGCAUUGUGGUCAUCUUACAAGACUUAUGGAGGUAAAAAGCUUGCACCUUUCCAUCUAAAUACUUAGAUCUAGCUAGGAUUUUCUAGUUUAGUCCCUUUGGUUGAUUUUGGACUUUUUUUUUGGUGAGUUAAGCAACUCCAUGAGAUAGGAAUGACAGAUCUGAGGUCCCUUGGUCAUUUAGAAGCAUAAAAAUGGAGUCUUGGUGGAUGUAUUAGUCUCAUGCAUGGGUUAAAGACCUUGGAAAGGUCUUAAUGGAGAUGUUGGAAGUUUAUGAGGCAUGCAAGGGCAUAAAGUUGGCAACUUCAUGCCUUAGGACGUUUUAACAAGCCUAGAUCUGACUUUUGGACAUGAAAGAAUCGAACAUUAAGCACUUAAUGGAGGAAGUGCUUAAUCUGGUCGUACGUUGGGCGUAGCAUGUUGUACGCAUCGCGUAGUCCCCAAACCCUCAGUAUGCAGCGCGUACCAGGAUGGUGCGCCGAGCGUACGCAGCACAGUUGGGCCUUAAUCUGUUUUGGGCCUUUGAGUCUGUGGGUCUCAUUUGGUUAUAGGGCUUGGUUGUAUUCUAUGAGUUAUAGGCUUUUGAUGUGUUUUAGCCAUAAGAACAUCCUAUGUGAUCAUACAAACCCUAAUGCUUGGAUCUAGGUUUCUCUAUUGUACAUGCAAUGUAUCCAAGACUUACAAUCUUAGAUCUAACAUAUUAUAAACUGAAAUUAGGGUUUAGAGAAUUACCUUUGAUUGUUAUGUAGCAAUAACAAUCUCAAAUCCUCCUUGUAAUGUGUCACACCCCAAAGCCGAGAACGGCGGAAUACGUUCUGGGGUGGAGGACGUCAUGUACAAUAUCAUAACAACUGCAUAAUAGUAAAAACAAGAGACAACAACCAUUUCAUUUAUAUAGUAAGUUUAAUUACAAGCGUGUUCUGUAUAGUUUAAUAGACACCAAAAGUAUAACAAAAUAAAAGAUGGGUCUUGUAUGUGCUCCAUCUUCUCCAAAAGCUACACCAGUACCUGUCUAUCUUUGACCUGAGGAUACAAGUUAUUUUGAAAACGAGUAUCAGCAUAAAGCUGGUGAGUUCAUAAGAAUUUAGUGUCGUUGCUUGUGUAAAAGAGUUUUAUGAAUAUGUAAUAUAAAAACUAAAACUUAUGUUUGCGAGUAGUAGAAAUCCUUAGAAAAUCCUAUAUUUUCCAGAAAUGUACAUUUGUAAGUUAAAUCCUUUGAGUGUGUAAAAGUAUUAUCAUUGAAACCUUCAGUUAUAAAAGUACAGUAAUAAAUCUCAUUUAAGUAACAUAGCUGAAGAAAUGUUAUGCCUGCUAACAGUAGUAGUGGUGCAACUUCAGUUAGUAAUAGAUAUUUAUUUACUUUGGGAUGUUAGCUUAGACUUUAAGUCUUAGUGUAUUUAUUUGGAUAUAGGUGUAACCCUUCAUGUAACCAACUGUAUGAGAAUAGAGAGUCCGAUGACCUUCCCGGUCAUACAUAGUGUAGUGAUUUAGUGCCACCCCUGUGCCUGGUCGGCUCAAACUGUAGUUAACAGUCGGGAUGUAAUAGCGUCCGUCCUGUAUAGAUCUAUACAUGUAGUGCUGCUUUUCUUUCGGGAAACCCUGGUCACAUGGUGUAAGCGCGGUAGAGUGCCUUAUAGAGGGAUAGUGUAUUUUACUCUGGAUUAGUGUAUUCUCUUGUGUUAUAGUAUAGUAGAGUUUUAGUAUAGUACAUAGAGUGUUCUCUUAUACGUGCAUUAACUUGUAAUAAUAGUGGUUAUAGUGAGUAUAAUAGUAGUAGAGGUAACGAGCAGUAGUCUUAACUAUACCUAUUAUAGUUAACUAGAGUGUAUGAUUUCAUGCCUUUGAAUAACAAAGGUAUUGCAUAAGAUGAAGACUUUCAUAUCUAACACAAAUAUAUAUGAUAUAUAACUAAGAAAUCAACGACAGUCGGACGGACAACAGAUACCCUAAGACCACAUCAAACAAGAAUAGGAAAUAAGGUGAGCUAUCGGUCCUAAGUCCUUCAAGUCUUACUUAUAUAAAUAUAUUAGUGUAGAUAUAUUUUAAAAGAAAAGUAGUUUAAAUACAGUUUGAAAAUAGUUUAACAACAAUUUAACCUUAAAAUGCAUUUGAUAAUUAUUUAAAACAGUUUUAUUGAUAAGUAGCUAAAAGUAUAGAAAAAUCCCUUUUUGAUGGUAAGUUAUGAAUCACAUAUGAUUUGAUAAUAAAACUUGUAGCGUUAUACUUGUAUACCCCCUAAAACAUGUAAAAACAUUUGAAAAGGUUCAUUAAGGGGUAUGAACUCACCUGCAAUAAGUAGAUCGGGUGGAAGUGUCGGACGAGCGUUUGGUGUCAAGUAAAGACUUGUACACCCUUUAUGACCCUAGUAACAUAUGAAGACAUAUGUUUACAAGUAAUUAGUGAUUUAAACUCUAAUUAAACACAUAUAGAUAUCCUAAUGUGAAUAGAAGUUCUAUGGUUGAGUGCUAGAAGGCUAAUGGGUUGCAAGGAAGGAGUUUUAGGCCUCACUAUGGAGUUUACUCCUCCUAAACCCACCUUUGGUGAGUUUACGGCUGGGAGACCACCUUCCCCAUGAGUUUACGGCCGUAAACUCAUGGGAGGAAUGUAAUUGAGUGAUUUCAAGACUCUUGUGGUUCUAGAAGUGAUUCUAAGGCAAUAUACAAGGCUAUAGGGGUGUUUAAGGUUCCAAAAGAGUACUCCAUUGGAGUUUAUGGUCCUAGGACCACUCCUUGGGAGUUUACGGUCGUAAGCCCCAUGGCUUAGGCCAUGAACUCUUGGGCACCUUCCAAUCUUCGAUUUUGAGGUCCUUGGCUCAUUCUUAACAAGUUCUAGUGAGGGUAUAAGGCUUUUUAGGGGUUUAAAGGUUCAUUUGGCAUGUUUAAAGGGAGUUUACGGUCUAAGCAUAUGCUUGGGCUGUAAACUCUUGUUUUCCCUUCAAAUGACAAGAUUUAGGUGUUCCAUGUCCGAAAUUGUAAGUCCCUAAGUCAUAUCUAAGCCUAAAUGUGGUUUGGAAAGGUUUUGGGCUUGAUUUGCAUGUUUAUAGGGAGUUUACGGUCUAAGCAUAUGCUUGGGCCGUAAAACCUUUUUCAAGCCCCCAUACUUGUUGAUUCAUGACUCAAACACUUCUAGGUUAAAUCCAAAACUAGUUUCUAAGCCUAAAGGGGUGAAUUUGGGCAUUUUUGGCACCUUUUUAGGGGUUUAUGGCCUAAGGAGGUUCUUAGGCCGUAAACUCCUUUUCUUUGGCUUUCUUGAAUGAUUUUUGAGCUAUAACAACAAUCAAUGAUGUUUAGAACAAGUUAGGGUAAGGGAACUUACGUUUUGGAGGCGGAAACUUGCGGUUUUGGGAUGAAAUCAGACUUGAGGAGAGAGAGUAGAGAGAGAAAGAGUGUCUAGUGUGGUAAAAAGGUCCUAAGGAGUGUCCACCCACCUUUAUAUAGGGCUUGGGUGUUGUACCCGAUAUACGACUACCCAAUACUUAUGUUAAACGAGGUUUAAAGUUUUACCCGGUUAAAUGGUCGUAAUUAAAAAUAAACUUUUUCCAACUAAAUGGAAAAGUAAUUUACGUGUUUUUUUUAAUUUAUUUCAUUACGAUGAUAAUAAGAUAAAAUGAAAAUAAAAUAAAACAUUUAUUGAUUUGUCUACCCAAAUUAACAGAACUUUUAUAAAAUAGAAUAUUCUAUUAACGGAAACGGGUUAUAACGGCGGAAUAAAUUUUGGGUUGUCACAUAAUGACUUUAGAAAGCUUAGAGUCACAAUUGUCACUCCUCUAAUGGCUCACAAACACCAAGAGCAAGAGGAUGAAGAAUAGGGAGAGAGGAGGCUGCCCAAAACGUCCAGAAACCCUAGUGGAAAUCUUAGCCCCGUUUUUGGGGUUUAAGGGUACUAUAUAUACAUGUAGGCUAUUAGGGUUUUCAACUAAGAAACCCUAAUUUGACUGCUUAAGCCCUAACCAGCCCAUGGACUCUUUUAGAAUAUCCCUUGGGCGAUUUCUAAUGGGUUUCCCCAUAGAAUUCACCCAACCUAUUAUUCCAAGGUAAUCCAUAGCCCAAAUGCAACUAUCUUAUAAUUAAAGUUCCAGUCCCUUAAAUUUAAUUAAUCUCUUUUAGCCAUAAAAUUAAUUAUCAAUUAAUUCUUGACCAAUAUUAAUUAAACAAUAUGAUUUCUCCUUUAAUAUAUUAUUCUCAUAAUAUAUUAAUAAAUCAUAAUUAAUCCUUUCUCUCCAUAAUUCAUCCUAUCAAGUUUCUUUGGUGAAGGCAACCCAAAAGGACCAUGCACCAUCGGGUCAAGUACAUACCAAAAUAGUUAUGGACUUAGACACUAAUCCAACAGUCUCCCACUUGGAUAAGUCAAAUAACUAUUCUGCGUAUGACUUCAGAUCCUGAUUUGCAAUCGUAGCUUUCAAAAUCCGCUUUGAACUUUGAUCUUAUCAGAUCCACGUACUUUAGAUAAGGGAUCAUAUAUUCCUCCAUUAUAGAUAUCGUAUAGACUGAGACAUGGAUUUAAAUCAUUCUCUCUGUCUAAGUAUUGUUUCCCGAUUUCUGAUUUAUGACGACUGACAACAUACUACAAUUGAACACAUCAAAUUAGUCCUGGCUUGGCCAAGCGUUUAGGUGCCAUCACUAAAUCAUCGAGGGUCCCACAGAUAUCGCUUUCCUCCUACUUUGGAUAAAAGGAACGGAUAAACUUUGAUUCAAUGCUUUCUUGCACUCACUCACCAAAUCACACACAAUAAUAUUGUGACAACCCGAAGUUGUUUCAUCGCUGUAACCCGUUCCGCUAGUAAAACCCGUCUUUAGCGAUUCGUUCUGAUUUCGUUUUUGGGCUAAGUUAUUUAAAUUUAUAUGUUUAUUAUAAUCUCAUGAGUGUCCAAACUCCUUGGAAACUCAUGUAACGGCCUAAAUCAUUAAUAUAAGGAAGGUAUAGGAGCUUACGGGCGUAAACUCCUAGUUUAGGGCCGUAAACUCCCUUUGAUGGUUCCUUUGGUGGUUUAACUCCUUCAUAUGCCUUAGAUUAAAUCCUAGCAACUUUCCCCAAGUGAUAUUUGACCAUUUAGCACCUUAAAACCCAUCAACCAUGAGUUCACGGCCGUGAACUCAUGUGGUCAUAGUCUUAGGGCCGUAAACUCCCUAAGGAGUUUACUCUUGAAGAGCAAACUCAUUAUCUAAGCCCUAUACGUCCGUAGAUGUCACCCGGGCCACUCCAAACACUUCAUUUGAAGUGUUUUCGCGUCUUGGAGUGUAUAAUCAUAUCUAAUUAGUAGUUCAAAUCCUAAUUAGAUACAAAUGUGUAUCUUUUCAUAUUACAUAGGAAUCUUGUGCGUUUGCAAGCCCCGAUCUGACGUUUAGGAUCCAAACUGACGCGUUCCUCAACCGGUGAGUUCAUACCCCUACCCUUUUUCAAUGUUUUUCAACGUUUUUAGGGGGGAAUACAAGCAAAAGUACAAGGAAAUCUUGUACUCAAACUUAUGAUUUUAUUUGAUCUAUUUCAUAUUUCGUAUGCUUUUAACACGAAAAAACUGUAUUAACCAAUCGUUCAACUUGCAGAGUAAACUGUCAUGUUAUUUGUGAAGCUCGUUUUAAAAUGUUAUAUUUUAUAUUUCACAAAUGAAUUUCCAUAUAAUUGUUGUUAAAAGCAUGAAUCUUAAAGCAUUAAAAUGUUCUUGAUAAAACUCCCCGUAGAUACGAGAGUGAAGGAAUAAUAACAUUAAACUUAGAACUUUACCACUCCACGUAGAUAGAGAGUGAAGGGAUAAUAACACACAGUUAGGACAGAACGAAUACGAAUACGAAUGCGAAUACGAAUAUGAAUAUGAAUACGAAUACGAAUAGGAAUAGGAAUAGGAAUAGGUAUACGAAUACGAAUACGAAUACGAAUAGGAAUAGGAAUAGGAAUAGGUAUACGAAUACGAAUACGAAAGCACGCCUUUGGAUGACGCCAAGACUUCGGAAAUACAGUUAGUGUACGCCUUGAGUGCCACCAGAGUUUCGAAAAUAAUUCGAAAGUACGCCUCUGGACAUCGACUGAGUUUCGAAAACAUAUGCCUUUGGAUGUCGACAAAGUUUUGAAGAUACGUCUAAUGUACUCUUUUGGAAAUCACCAGAACAUCAAAUAUACAAUUAAUGUACGUUUCUGAGUGUAUCCAAAUAUUCAAAAAUACAACUAAGUAUAGUAGAUAAUCGACAUUCGAGUGUAGGAUAACUAAGAUAUCAGAAUACCUAACUAAUACUAUAAGUAUGGUAGAUACUUGACAUCGAAACCCGAACUAAGAACUAACCGCAACGUUUUGGAAAAUAUGGGAUUUUCCUGGGAUAACAUAACAACUCGUAAACGAAUGAUGUAACGAAUGGAAAACUAAACUAAUAGGAAAAUAUGGGAUUUUCCUGGGAUAACAUAACUGCUCAUAAUCGAAUUGUGUAACGAAUAAUAACUAAACUGUUUUUAUAUAAGAAAAUAUGAGAUUUUCUUGAAUAACGUCUUUUUCAGAAAACCAAAGGGAACUCAUUCUUUUCAAAACUAAACUGCUUAUGAACUCACCAGCUUUAUGCUGAUUUUCAAUUUACUUGUAUUCUCAGGUCCACAUUAGACAGGUACAUCGUGAUCUUUUGGAGAAAACGGAGCGUAUAGAAGACUCGUCUUAACUUUUUUUCAUAUGAUAUAUAUGUAUAACCUUUGUAACUCUUUGUUUUCAACCAAUGUAAAUAUUUCUAUGUAAUGUAAUGUUUUGUGUUUACUAUGCUUACUAUGUACAUUGGUUGCGAUAUUCAUGACGUCCUCCGCCCCGGAACGUUUCCGUCUUCGGUUUCGGUGUGUGACAGAUUGGUAUCAGAGCCCUUGUUUAUAGUGAACUAGUAUACCAAACCUUACAUGGUAUAAGACUAUAAACACUAAGGGGCCCAAGUGCUCUGAAUUAAAAGUAUACUUUAUAAUAUAAGUAUUUUCAAAAGAAUACAAGUAUACCUAACCGUCGAAUCCGUAACUACAAGUAGAACAAAACAUAAGUAAAUGGGUGUUGUACGUUGCGGUUAAACCUGGGCAGUUAUGUAGUCGUGUGUAGGAUCAAUAUAGCAUGGCCAACUAUAUUCAUUCGAGACACGACCAACAUGUGCUUGGGAGUGAAUGUGGUAUGCAGCNAUGCUUAAAACUUACCCAAUACCCAAACAACGAGCCGUCGUUGCAGCGAAUCAUGAAAUACUAUGGGAGUCUUUCUCGAGCCAAAUCCAUUAUAGAAAUUUUCAUUCCAGCGUUGCUCCUCAAUCAUUCCUUUAGCGAUAGUUUAUCUGCUUUGAUAACUCUUUCCUGCUUUAUUGCUUAAUAAAAUUCUAUAUCUGUCUUAAUGAGAUAUCCCCUGUUCCAUAUCUCUUGAUUCAAUUCAAAGGACUUAUGAUCCUCUCUUUCCUAGCUAUUCUAGAUCAAGAUGCCUCCUAGGAAAAGACCCAGCUCAAAGAAUAACAACCCUCCACCACCACCACCUCCUCCUCAAUUUGAUCAUGUCGUGUUCCAGACAGCUGUUACUGCCGCAGUGGCAGCCACCAUGUCUCAAAUAAACCCCGGUGGUUCAGGAGGUGGUCUCCAACCCCAAAACCAGGAAGGUAGCCAGGGACACCGGAAGGAGUAUUCCUAUAAGGACUUUAUGAAUGCAAAACCCACAUUCUUCGAUGGCACAGGGGGUGUCAUUGCUUUAACUCGGUGGUUAGAGAAAAUCGAAUCUAUCUUCGAGAUCUGUGCCUGUUCAGAAUCUGACAAGGUGCAAUUCGCUGCCUGCAUAUUCACCGAUAAAGCUCUGACUUGGUGGAACGGCCGAGUCAAAUCCUUAACUUUACCUGUAGCAAAUGCUAUGGGUUGGGAAGGUAUGAAGGAACUUCUGUUCGCGGAAUACUGCCCUCGGGGUGAAAUACAAAAGCUGGAGCAUGAACUCUGGAACCUAAAGAUGAAGGGUUCCGAUAUCGCCGCCUACACAUCCAGAUUCGAUGACCUGGCAUUACUCUGUCCGGGAAUGGUUACCUCGGAGAGUAAGAAGGUUGAGAGGUUCAUCUGGGGAUUGACCCAGCCAACCAAAGGGAACGUUUUAGCUGCGAAGCCGGAUACCUAUGACAGCGCCAAAUGCUUAGCGCAAACCCUGAUCGACCAUAGCGAUGACCCAGAGGAAGCGGCCGCCACUCCUGAGCCAACAGAGAAGAGUGGUGAGAAAAGAAAGUUUUGGAAGAAGAAGAAGAAGUGUCAGUCUUCCCCGGAGUCCUCGAAGAAACAACAGAUAGUGGCAGUCCAUGCUGCCACUACCCCUGUUGCUGUUUCUGUUAUCGAUUCCUCAGCCCAAGCACCUAUCACCGGAUAUGCUGGUAUCCUUCUGUGAUGCAAUAGGUGCAGUUACCACCAUCAUAUCUGUGGCCCUUGUUGAGCAAAGUUUUGUAAGAAUUGUGGCCAAGAGGGUCACCUCGCACGAAGCUGCAGAGCACCAACCCAAGCAACUAGUCAAGCUUCUGGAACGGGUAUCGGUCAGGCCUGCUACAGUUGUGGGGAAUUCGGACAUUACAAGCGAAACUUCCCUAAGGCAGCAACAUCUGGCAACACCGGGAGAGUCCUAGCUAUAGGACAAAAUGAGGCAGCCACCGACCCCACCGUUGCCACAGGUAUAUUCCUCCUCGAUGAAUCUUAUGCCUGUGAUCUUUUUUCGAUUCUAGUGCUGAAAGAAAUUUGCUAACUAUCCAUUCAAACACCUUUCUAAACUUAAUCCUUUGUUAGUAUCCGAAACGUGUAUCGUAAGGAUAACUAACCAGUGAGAAAGAGAACGUUAACGUCAUACCCAUAGGUUGUAUCCUUAAUCCGAACGAUUAUUCUUUUCCAUUCGAUCAAAUGGAAAACUUUUCAUGAAAUGCUUUGAUGCUAUCAUUGGCAUGUAAUGACCGGGUCUCAUUCAUGCUGUUAUUCUUGGUUUUGAAAAGGUCGUCCGUCUAAAUCUUUCCUCUAACCCAAUUCUCAUAAUCUUCGGCAACAAACCUAAAUCCAACCUUCGCAUCAUUUCGUGCAUCAAAGCUUAAAAAGUUUCCCUAAAGGGAGUACCAUGCAUUCCUCGUCCGUGUGAUCAUCGGGAAACGGGAAGUCUGCAACUCUUUCCCUGAUGUCUUUCUCGAAGAUUUCCUGAGAAUUCCUUCUGAACGUCUAGUCGAGUAUUGCAUCGACCUAAUCCCUGGAACUAUCUCGUAGCCAAACCUUUGUGAGGAUGAUGUGUCCAAGACAGCAGUCAGGACUCGAUAUGGUCACUACGAGUUAAUAGUGGUGCCCUUCGGUCAAACCACUUUCCCUGGUCAUGUAGUAAGCAAAGCAGUUAUACCCGUAGACCCUUCCAAAAAUCAAGGCGAGAGAGACUUAGUCGGCACCGAAGAUACCCAUAGAAACCCGUCAAUUCUUGGGUCCCGCCGGCUAUUAUCGCAGACCCACCUAGAAAUUUCUUUCAGAAUCAUCAAAACCUUAGCUACUCUGCCACAUGAAGAUAUACCCUCUUGUUGGAGCUUAUGUCAUGUUGAAGGUCUUAUCCCAGAAAAGCAUGAUAUGCUUUGGGAAUACGCGGAAAACUUCACCCGUGAUACAUCGGACUUUUCGAAAUCCCCGCAAGAAUCGUAAGGGUGAACUACAAACUUCGGCUAUCUCAAGGACUUAGUAGUAUCCAUCCUGUCUUCCACGUCUCGAAUAUUUAGAAGAGCCUGCCCAACGAAAUCCUGGUAAUCCCUUUGAUGAUACCGAAAUCAACGAAAGACUGAACCCCCCAUGGAAGAACAAAUUGAGAUCAUGGAUCGAGAGAUCAAACGUACGAAACGAAGCCGCAUCCCGAUAGUGAGGGUUCGUUGGAAUGUCAAGCGGAGACCCGAUUCCACUUGGGAGCGUGAAGACCCGAAGCAGUAGAUUCAUCCAUACCUCUUUUCAAUUCAUGAUCUGUAUCUUAAUCUCUGAAUUUCGGGACGAAAUUCCCUCUAACGGGGGAUAAUGUGACAACCUGAAGUUGUUUCAUCGCCAUAACCCGUUCCGCUUGUAAAACCCGUCUUUAGCGAUUCGUUCCGAUUUCGUUUUUUGGCUAAGCUAUUUAAAUUUAUAUGUUUAUUAUAAUCUAAUGAGUGUCCAAACUCCUUAGAAACUCAUGUAACGGCCCAAAUCAUUAAUAUAAGGAAGGUAUAGGAGCUUACGACCAUAAACUCCUAGUUUAGGGUCGUAAACUCCCUUUGAUGGUUCCUUUGGUGGUUUAACUCCUUCCUAUGCCUUAGAUUAAAUCCUAGCAACUUUCCCCAAGUGAUAUUUGACCAUUUAGCACCUUAAAACCGUCAACCAUGAGUUCACGGUCGUGAACUCAUGUGGUCAUAGUCUUAGGGCCGUAAACUCCCUAAGGAGUUUACUCUUGAAGAGCAAACUCAUUAUCUAAGCCCUAUACGUCCGUAGAUGUCACCCAGGCCACUCCAAACACUUCAUUUGAAGUGUUUUCACGUCUUGGAGUGUAUAAUCACAUCUAAUUAGUAGUUCAAAUCCUAAUUAGAUACAAAUGUGUAUCUUUUCAUAUUACAUAGGAAUCUUGUGCGUUUGCAAGCCCCGAUCUGACGUUUAGGAUCCAAACUGACGCGUUCCUCAACCGGUGAGUUCAUACCCCUACCCUUUUUCAAUGUUUUUCAACGUUUUUAGGGGGGAAUACAAGCAAAAGUACAAGGAAAUCUUGUACUCAAACUUAUGAUUUUAUUUGAUCUAUUUCAUAUUUCGUAUGCUUUUAACACGAAAAAACUGUAUUAACCAAUCGUUCAACUUGCAGAGUAAACUGUCAUGUUAUUUGUGAAGCUCGUUUUAAAAUGUUAUAUUUUAUAUUUCACAAAUGAAUUUCCAUAUAAUUGUUGUUAAAAGCAUGAAUCUUAAAGCAUUAAAAUGUUCUUGAUAAAACUCCCCGUAGAUACGAGAGUGAAGGAAUAAUAACAUUAAACUUAGAACUUUACCACUCCCCAUAGAUACGAGAGUGAAGGGAUAAUAACACACAGUUAGGACAGAACGAAUACGAAUACGAAUGCGAAUACGAAUACAAAUAUGAAUACGAAUACGAGUACGAAUAUGAAUACGAAUACGAAUAGGAAUACAAAUACAAAUACGAAUACGAAUACGAAUAGGAAUACGAAUACGAAUACGAAUAGGUUUACGAAUAUGAAUACGAAAGCAUGCCUUUGGAUGACGCCAAGACUUUGGAAAUACAGUUAGUGUACGCCUUGAGUGCCACUAGAGUUUCGAAAAUAAUUCGAAAGUACGCCUCUGGACAUCGACUGAGUUUCGAAAACACACGCCUUUGGAUGUCGACAAAGUUUCGAAGAUACGUCUAAUGUACUCUUUUGGAAAUCACCAGAAUAUCGAAUAUACAAUUAAUGUACGUUUCUGAGUGUAUCCAAAUAUUCCAAAAGACAACUAAGUAUAGUAGAUAAUCGACAUUCGAGUGUAGGAUAACUAAGAUAUCAGAAUACCUAACUAAUACUAUAAGUAUGGUAGAUACUAGUACAUCGACAUCCGAACUAAGAACUAACCGCAAUGUUUAGGAAAAUAUGGGAUUUUCCUGGGAUAUCAUAACAACUCGUAAACGAAUGAUGUAACGAAUGGAAAACUAAACUAAUAGGAAAAUAUGGGAUUUUCCUGGGAUAACAUAACUACUCAUAAUCGAAUCGUGUAACGAAUAAUAACUAAACUGUUUUUAUAUAAGAAAAUAUGAGAUUUUCUUGAAUAACGUCUUUUUCAGAAAACCAAAGGGAACUCAUUCUUUUCAAAACUAAACCGCUUAUGAACUCACCUGCUUUAUGCUGAUUUUCAAUUUACUUGUAUUCUCAGGUCCAUAUUAGACAGGUACAUCGCGAUCUUUUGGNUCUUUUUCAGAAAACCAAAGGGAACUCAUUCUUUUCAAAACUAAACCGCUUAUGAACUCACCUGCUUUAUGCUGAUUUUCAAUUUACUUGUAUUCUCAGGUCCAUAUUAGACAGGUACAUCGCGAUCUUUUGGAGAAGACGGAGCAUAUAGAAGACUCGUCUUAACUUUUGUUCAUAUGAUAUAUAUGUAUAACCUUUGUAACUCUUUGUUUUCAAACAAUGUAAAUAUUUCUAUGUAAUGUAAUGUUUUUUGUUUACUAUGCUUACUAUGUACAUUGGUUGCGAUAUUCAUGACGUCCUCCGCCCCGGAACGUUUCCGCCUUCGGUUUCGGGGUGUGACAAAUAUGUUUUAUAACACCAAGUUACUAGUGCGUUUACAUAUUAUCAAUGUGUAACCGACUCGCAAGAUACAACUCACACAUCUCGGUUUCAAGAAUAUAAGAUAUUAUCGUCUCACCAAUCACUCGUGAUAAGAUCCAUGAAGUGAUCCAAGUGAGCGUGGGUUUAAUCCAUUGCUCAAACUCAUAUUCAUAAGCACUCAUGAACGUUGCAGCAAACAUUUGCUUAUGUUUAAUACACUUUAGACAAUCCACACACCAAUUCACGACAGUCUUCAUUCAUACAUACUUCAAACAUAUAAACGACUGUGGUCCGUUCGAAUAAUUUGAUUGUUCUGAACCAAUUUAAUUAUUCAGGAAGUCAAAACAUGCAAAGUGAAACACAAGAAUAAUACUAAUCCCAUAUGGCCCCAAACUCUGGGUAUAAAUAAAACAUUUUAUUUAAUCACCAUAUUGAUUACUCAUUAUUUGUUGUUUCGGGUAAUCAACUUCUUACUUGAAUUAUAACAACAAUUGUCCCAUGCUCUUAGCAUGCACACAAUGUUUACCUACGGUCCUUACUUUGUGAAAUAGAUCAAAUGAACACAUUUCCAAUCAUACUCAUUUCACAACUCCCAAUCCUUAUCAUAAGUAUAAGAAUAUCAAAUUCUUGUUACUUAUGCUAGAUUCUAACAUUUUAUGCAAUGAUUCUUUCGUAAAUUCAUAGCUCAAAAUCAUCAAGACUUGGCCAAUCUCUAUCAGAAACAAUUCUAUAGAUAUGAUGUCUCUCACUCAAAGUACAUUCCUUUGAACAUCCUUCUUGCAUAAAAGUUUCUAAUCUAGACAUAGAUUCUCAAUAUCCAACUCCCAAUAUGGAAACAUUUCCAUAUUUGCCAUAUGACAACUCAUUCUUAAUAGAAUCUUAUCUAUUCAUAAUAAUGUCGAUAUGGUCCAUCCAAUACCAUACUUCCAACUACUCACAAGCGACCAAUCCUCAGCGAGCUUUGGAUCGUCCUUUGAUAGUUGUUUAAUUAUUUUAGUCAAAACCGAUUCUAGUCCUUUUUCCCUCUAAAUGCGCUAGACAUUUGGAAAAUUUUAGAAUGGUCAAAUAUAAUAGCACUGGCAAUCAAUCCUAUACCCGAAGCGUAUGGGAUACUAUGCAUAAUGUCUUACAUAAAGAUAUGAUACUUUAUCAAUCUUCUGCCAUAAUAUUUUAUGUGUCACGUUCUCACAAUUCGAACUAUGAAGAGGGAUGCCAUAAUCAUAAUCGAAAUUUGAGAACACACUAUGUAUCCUUGACUAAAUUUAUUAACAUUCCACAACCUAAGCCUUUAGAUUUGAAAUGAAGCAUAAUAUUCUCUCCCUUAAUUAUAGCAAAACAACUAUUCAACCCUUACGACUUUGCAAAGUAUAACUCUUGUUUUCUAUAAUUAAUAUUGCUAACUUGCAAUACUUGCCUUAAUAAUCAUACAAGCACAACAUUUAUGCUCCCACUAUCAUGAUGAUUAUUAUCAUAUAAGCAUAACACUUAUGCUCCCACUAGCUUUGACAUGUUUUAGAAAACAACUGAACUUCCAGAAAACAAUACUUAUUGAAUUUCUGAAGUUCAUAUUUCUAAUACCUAAUGCUUUGAUAAUCCUUUAUCUAAGCUUCUUAAACUUAUACACCUUUGCCUUAGAUAGCUCAUAUGUGUGUCUAAACAAUUCAGACUAAUUGCCAAAUCUCACAAUUCGAAUUAUGGAAAGGGAUACCGUAACCAUAAUCGAAUUCGAGAAUACAAUUUUCACAAUCAAUAUCUUCUUAAAAUCUCUCUUAGUGAAAGCAUUUCCUCACAAUCAUUUUCAUGAAUGGAGGGAAUCUUAUGACACUUAGAUUUUAAUGGUGUAUGUGUUCCUAUCCAUGCAAAUUUGUCAAUACCAAAGUUUACGAGAAACCCAAACUCAUAUGGACCGAACCUUCUCAAUCUUGAUUUCUUGCCUUAUGGUAACACGAGUGGCCACCAUGUCUUCCAAGCAGCUCAUCCUUUCUUAUCAAUGUACUUUUCAUUGAUCAAGGUGCUUGCCUUUUAUGCAUUCAAAUGAGAACUCAUAGAACUCACAUGCAUAAUUAACUCAAUUGGAACCGCACAGAAACAAGAUAGUGUCAACACGAUGGGUUGUAAACCUCAACUCGUGUGCUAGUGAUGAUCGAUAAGGUUUAUUCUUGAUUAGUUCUUGAAACUUUUUGAGACCGUUAAGACUCCCACUGACUCCUUGACAUAUAAGAUUCUCUUGUCAAUAAACAUUUCUCGACAAACAAAUAUUCAAGAGUUAGUGCAACUUUUAUCAAGACAAAACACUUCACAAAAUUGGUCCUAGUUGGUCUUUGUCUUAUCCAAGACAUCACAACUUUCCAAUUUCAAAUGUGCAAGAAUAAGAAAACCUUUUUCAAAUUCUACAUUUGAUGAAUGUUAUAAACCUUCUUAAGACUUGUCACUCAAUGUCACAAUCUUAGCUCUAAGACUUGGUUUUGGAACGAAGUAUGAUUGACUUCUUGAUUUAACCAUUUCUUCAAUUCUUGAUUCCUCUUCUCAGACAUACAAUUGCACUGAGACUCACUUAGAGGAUCAAUUGAGAUAUGGUUUUUAAUCAUUAAGACUUAUCAUAAAACAUAAUAAAAGUACUCUCCCUUCUUCUUAGAAUAGAGAAACUUUUAUCUUUAUGCCUACUUGAUUUUUCUUUAUUCGUUCUGCUAUUUAUUGAAACUCUUUCAAUCAACUGAGAAUUACACUUAUUCUCAUAAGUAUAAUCAUAUUUACUUAACCUUAGUAAAUCAUGAAGAAUAUCUUUGUUACUCUUGUGGUAGACAUGAUCAACCCAUAACCUUGUGUACUCGAUCUCCUAGUCCUUCACUUGACACUUUGUUAAUGAAUUAGUCUAAUUUCCAAAUAUGAAAUUUCUCAUUCAUCAUGCAACCAAGUUUUAUGAUUCCAAGUUUCUGUCCAAUUGAAACUUGGGCGAUGAGAAACUUUCCCUAUUUGGUAAAUUCUUGACAUUUCCACAAAUAACAUAAUAAGAAACAAAUCCAUUAUUGAUAAUAACAGAAACAUUCAAACAUCAAUUUUUUCAUAGACGCCAAUGGAAGGAUAAAUAUAAAAUCAAAAUCUAUUUUAUUGCUGAAAAAUUUGUCCUUACAAUGCAAUUUAUUGAAAAAUUUUUAUAAUACAUAUUUCUUAGCAAUCUAUUCUAACUCUAAGUAGUAGCUCAAGAAUCCAAUCUUCAAGCAAUGCGAUCGAAAUCCAUUUCUUCACGAUUAGAUUCUGUUCACUUCUUCCCUUAAGUUUCCUUUCCUUUCUACAUCAAUUACAAUCUUAUCACAUCAUGUAUCAAGAAUCUAGAAUAAGAACUUAAAAGAGUUAGUUAAUGGAUUUUACAUAAAGCAGAGCCAUACGUUUUGACUCUCCCAUCUCUUAGAUCUCUUAGGUAAAAAGGGAAGCUUCGUCUCUAAUGCCCCUUUUCUUGGCAAUAAAAGCAAAUUGACUCUUUUGGAACAGCGCAUGGAACUACUUCAGACUUUGCCUUUCUCUUAUGAUCAAACCCUUCGAUCAUGGCAUGCCUUUCGUUUCCUAUAUCCACAGAGGUCUGGAAGGCAGAUCCACCAAUCAAAUAAUCAAUCUUUAAUCAUAUAAGGAAGUUGAUCCUCUUGCUUCAGGGACUCCUAAAGACCGCAAAAUCGGGUCUUAAAGGUAAGUCGGUUGUGACCACUCCUGCUACUACUACUCCAAACUCAGCUCUUGUCCUGGCAAUCAGGAAAGGUAGAGGGAAGAAGAGAAAGAACCCUUCGAAGGGUACCAAGGGUAAGACCCUUGAUGGCUCCUCUUCUAGCGGAACCAAGAAAGGUUUCGUUACACCUUCUUCUGAUCCCAAAGAGGCUGAAUGCUUCUACUGCCAUGAAAAGGCGCACUGGAAGCGUAACUGCCCAAAGUACCAGCAAGAUUUGAAGGAUUGGAAAGUUAAACCCAACCAUGCAGGUAUUUACACUAUCUCAUCUAAUAAUUCACUCUAUUCUAACUCUUGGGUCCUUGAUACCGGUUGCGGUAUUCAUAUUUGUUCUGAAAUGCAGGGACUAAGAAGAAGUGAGAAUGUGGAGCAUGGAAAGAUAAACUUAAUCAUGGGGAAUAGGAAAGUUUCACCUGUCACGAAGAUUGGAGUUUAUACUUUGUUGCUUAGUAGUGGAUUUACUUUAUAUUUGAAUAAAUGUUGUUACUCGCCAGAAAUGGCAAGAAAUGUUAUUUCCUUUCAUGCUUUGUAUAAACAAGGUUUUACCUUUUCUUUUGAUAAUGAAACUGGUGGAAUAAAUGCUUUCUUUAAUAAUAUGUUUUAUUUUAAAGCAUUACCUUGUGAUGGUGUGUAUGAAGCUUUGUCCGUUGUAGAUAACUUAGGAAAUAAUGUAUUGUGUAUUGAUUCUUCUAAUAGUAAUAACUUGGAUAAAGCAUCAUUAUGGCAUUGUCGUCAUGGGCAUAUAAGCAAGAAACGCAUAGGCCAACUCCAAAAGGAUGGAGUCUUGGAGUCAUUUGACCUAAGGUCAGAUGAUAGCUGCAGAUCAUGCUUGCUUGGAAAAAUGACAAAGUCACUCUUCACUGGUUCGUGUGAGAGGGGUGAAGGUUUGUUGGAUCUUGUACACAUGGAUGUGUGUGGACCCUUUAAACAUGCCACAAGGGAUGCUAAUCGUUAUAACGUGACUUUUACGGAUGAUUAUAGUAGAUAUGGAUAUGUCUACUUAAUCAAGCAUAAGUCAGAGACUUUCGAAAGGUUUAAGGAAUUUAAACAGGAAGUCGAGAAUCAAUUGGGCAGGAACAUUAAGAUGCUUCAAUCCAAUCGAGGUGGUGAGUAUCUUAGUUCAGAGUUCCUCGACUUACCUUUAAGACCUGAUUCUGCGGUCACAACCGACUUACCUUUAAUCACAAUAUUUAAUUGUACCUCAAAUGUGAUGUUCUGGACCUUAGAUCUUCAGGAAGUUGAUCCUCUUGCUUCCUCUUGGCUAAAACUUCCCUUCCCUUGCUAAACAACACCUCCAAUGGUUGAUAAUGGCUCCUUCUCUCACUCCACACACUCAAAUGCACUAGGGUUUCGCUCUGGGGGCUGGUGAGCACAAAUGACGGCCAUAAGGCCCUUUAAAUAGGCCCCAAACCCGAGAAAUUAGGGUUUCAUUAAACAACGCUGACUCACUAAGUCCACGAUUGCGACUCGUCGAGUCAGGUCAUUAAUCCGCAUGAGAAAUCUCGUCUCUACUCGGCGAGUCUGCGCACCAACUCGCCGAGUUCUUCCUCAAAGCUCCAAAAUAAAAAGAAUAAAUAUAAUACCUGAAAUUUCUGGAUGUUACAAUUCUCCCCCACUUGAAUCCGACUUCGCCCUCGAAGUCUCAACCCUGAAAUAGCUCCGGAUGCUGCACCCGCAUCUCACGCUCCGGUUCCCAAGUCAACUCAAAUCCUUUCCAAUGUUGCCACUGAACUUGUACCAGAGGCACCUCCUUGUUCCUCAGAACCUUGAUCUUUCGAUCCACAAUCGCAACUGGUCUCUCCGCGUAAUUCAGGCUCGCAUCCACCUGAAUGUCCUCUAACGGCACUACCGCCAACUCAUAAGCUAUACACUUCCUCAACUGAGACACAUGGAAGGUAUUAUGAAUCCGAUCGAAUUCCGCAGGUAGCACCAAGCGAUACGCUACCUUGCCCACCCUCGCGAUCACUCUGAACGGUCCAAUAAACUGGGGCCCUAGCUUGUCCCUCUUCCUGAAUUGAAUCACUCCUUUCCAAGGAGAUACCUUCAGGAGAACAUAAUCACUGACCUAGAACUCGAGCUUGGAUCGCCGCCUAUUCACAUAACUCUUCUGGCGGCUCUGAGCGGUCAACAAUCUCUGCCUGACCCGCUGUAUCUGCUCUGUUGUCUGCAGCACAAUCUUCGUACUACCCAUAACACGCUGCCCGACCUCUCCCCAGCAAAUGGGGGUCCGACACCUCCUCCCAUACAACAUAUCAAAGGGUGGCAUACCAAUGCUCGAAUGAUGGCUGUUGUUGUAGGAAAACUCUGCCAAGGGCAAAUACGUGUCCCAACUCCCCCUGAAGUCCAACACACAUGCCCGAAGCAUGUCCUCGAGCGUCUGAAUCAUCCGCUCACUCUGUCCGUCAGUCUGGGGGUGAUAUGUGGUACUAAAAUGCAGCCUAGUAUCCAACUCCUCGUGAAACUUCUUCCAGAAUCUGGAAGUGAAACGCACAUCUCAGUCUAAAACAAUCGAGAUCGGAACUCCAUGCCGUGAUACCACCUCCCUCACGUACAUCUCUGCUAAUUUCUCUGCGGAAGAACUCUCACUGAUAGCAAGGAAGUGGGAGCUCUUUGUCAACCUGUCCACAAUCACCCAAAUUUCAUCGACUCCCCUAGCAGUCCUUGGCAAUUUGGUGAUAAAAUCCAUGGUAAUCUGUUCCCACUUCCAUUCGGGAACCUCCAACGGCUACAACUUACCAUGUAGUCUCUAGUGCUCGGCCUUAACCCUUCGGCAGGUCUUAAAGGUAAGUCAAGGAACUCUGGUGCUCGGGCUUAACCCUAUGUGCUCAUGCAAAUCCUAAUGCUUGGAUCUAGGUUUCUCUAUUGUACAUGCAAUGUAUCCAAGACUUACAAUCUUAGAUCUAACAUAUUAUAAACUGAAAUCAGGGUUUAGAGAAUUACCUUUGAUUGUUAUGUAGCAAUAACAAUCUCAAAUCCUCCUUGUAAUUGUUGGAUAAGGUUUCUAAGUCCAUAACUAUUUCUGGUAUGUACUUGACCCGACCCGGCAUGGUCCAUUUGGGUUGCAUGGCACCAUGCAAUUGGAUAGACUAAAUGAGAGAAAUAACACUUGUGGUUAUUAAUAUAUUAUAAGUUCUAAUAUAUUAAUAAUAUUAUUUAAUUAGUUUGAUCAAGAAUUAAUUUUAGAAUUAAUUAAGUGAUCAAAAGAUAACUAAUUAAAUAUAUGGUUUGAUUAUGUAAAUCAUCCAUAACUUAUAUAGUGGGCUAAGAGGCUCCAUGGAUAAUCAAGUUGGGUUAAACCCAUUGGAUGCUCCAUGGAGGCUCCAUGGGAGUUACAAACCCAUGGGUCAUGGAAAUGAAGAGUCAUGACACAUUAGGGUUUACAUGGUGUAACCCUAGAUGUGUCAACACUAUAUAAAGCUCAUGUUUCUCCUAAAAUCGGCUACACAUGCAUGCUUGAGGGCUAGAGCCGAUUUUUAGAGUGUUAUACUUUCUCUCCAAGUUUACUCCAUAGCAUUUGGUGUUGUGUGAAGCAUUUGAGGCAUCACACUUGGGGUGCUAGGCUCACAAGGUUUCAAGGAACAUUUACAACAACAAGGUAUGUAAUUCUAUCUAUUAUUUAAGUUAAAAUUGUUCCCCAUGUAUGCUAGAUAGGAUCAUAGCCUUGGAAAUCAACUUUGCAUGAUAAUUAGACAAACAUAGAUCCAAGGUUAUUAGGGUUGCAUGUACACUUAGGAAGUGUUAGAAUGCUCAAAACCCAUCAGUAAUGACUUUAGAAAGCUUAGAGUCACAAUUAUCACUCCUCUAAUGGCUCACAAACACCAAGAGCAAGAGGAUGAAGAAUAAGGAGAGAGGAGGCUGCCCAAAAUGUCCAGAAACCCUAGUGGAACUCUUAGCGCCGUUUUUGGGGUUUAAGGGUACUAUAUAUACAUGUAGGCUAUUAGGGUUUUCAACUAGGAAACCCUAAUUUGACUGCUUAAGCCCUAAGCAGCCCACAGACUCUUUUAGAAUAUCCCUUGGACGGUUUCUAAUGGGUUUCCCCAUAGAAUUCGUCCAACCUAUUAUUCCAAGGUAAUCCAUAGCCCAAAUGCAACUAUCUUAUAAUUACAGUUCCAGUCCCUUAAAUUUAAUUAAUCUCUUUUAGCCACAAAAUUAAUUAUCAAUUAAUUCUUGACUAAUAUUAAUUAAACAAUAUGAUUUCUCCUUUAAUAUAUUAUUCUCAUAAUAUAUUAAUAAAUCAUAAUUAAUCCUUUCUCUCCAUAAUUCAUCCUAUCAAGUUGCUUUGGUGAAGGCAACCCAAAAGGACCAUGCACCAUCGGGUCAAGUACAUACCAAAAUAGUUAUGGACUUAGACACUAAUCCAACAGCUUUUUCAUCUGUAUGGGCCAUGGAUGCAAUGGUUGGGCCUUAUUGGGCCAAGAGGCCCAUUAAGGAUACUGGAUGUGGACUUUGGGUCCCAUUAACAAGGAAAGGGUAUUUGGGCCUUGGGGAGGGGUUUGGAGGUUGGGUUUCCCCUUGGUUAAGUUAAGUCCUAACAUUUAUUAUAUUACUAUUAUUAUUAUUUAGCUCGGGAGAUUGUGUAACGCCCGGGUUUCAGGGCUAAGCAUUUUUGUCAAUGUAAUAGUCUAGGUCAACUCUUGUAACUCUUUUUGAAGUAAUAAAGAUGAAAUAUAUGAGUAUUAUGUGAAUUAUGUGUGUUUAUGUGUUUAUUAUUUAAUUAUAAAUGUAUAAUUAAUAAAGAAUAAAAAUAAGCGUCAAAAUUAAAGUGUGAGAUAAGCCCGAUAUCUCUACAUAAAGUUGUAGAAUAUGUCUCAAGGUUUCCGUGCAUAUAAGGAACCCCGAAAUCCGAGUUAUAACGAAGAAGUUAUGACUCGUCGAAGUUUUGCGACAGAACCGACACGAUACCGGGAAGCGUAAAUAGUGAAUUUAUGAUAGAGCGAGAUUUAGCCUUAGUGCUCUAAACGAAAGUCGUAGAAUAUGUUAAACUAAGAACAUCGAUAAAAAGAACGCCCAAAUCUGACUUCGUAUGAGGAAGUUAUGAUUUUUCUAAGAUUUAGCAUAGCAGUGCACAGCCCGAAAUCUGAAUUUUAGAUCGGUCGAUUUUUAGCCGACGGGAUCUAAAUGAAAGUGGUAGUACUCGUAAAUACCAACACGUGGAUAUAAAGAACGUCAAUAAUAGAGCUCGUAUGCGAAAGAUAUGGACGAAGCUUAGUCCCUACUUUUCGAGUGCGACGAAUUCGAUACAGUUUUGUAAAUCCGAGAUAGAAUGAGAAUUAGCCAACGAGGUCUAAAUGAGAGUUGAAGAUCUCAUUAAUAGGAACUCAACGGUAAAAAGACAGACAAAAACGGAACUCGUAUGCGAAAGUUAUGGACGAAGCUUAGUCUCUACUUUUCGAGCGCGGCGAAUUCGAUACAGUUUUGUAAAUCCGAGAUAGAAUGAGAAUUAGCCAACGAGGUCUAAAUGAAAGUUGAAGAUCUCAUUAAUAGGAACUCAACGGUAAAAAGACAGACAAAAACGGAGCUCGUAUGCAAAAGUUACGGACGAAGCUUAGAGACUACUUUACUAUAAAACUCCUAUAAAUACAAGGGUGAACUCCUCAUAUUUUCUUCACACCAUAAGCCUCUCUUUCUCUCUCUAACUUCUCUCUAGCCUCCCUAAACCCCUCCCAAGUCUAGGGAACCUCCCUAUCACGAGAAGAAAGCCCCGGAGCGCCCGACGGCUCCGAGAAGAAAAGCUUUCGGCUCGGAAACGCUGCUCCAGCGAAGCCCGGUUUUUAAUAAAAACCCAUUGUAAGUGAGUUACGCCUAUACUAUAUUUAAUAUAGCUUUUAUUUAAUUAUAGUAACAUUAUUAGGACCUUAAAAUAAUUAUUUGGGCUAUUAUUAUGAGUUAUAUUGAGUGUUAUUUAACGCUUAUAUAAUAGUAAUAAUAGCUAGACUAUUAAUUAGUCGCGAUUAACGUUAAAACUAAACUCUAGUGGUAUUAAUACAAGGUUUUGGUCAAGGAAAAAUUGUUUUAAGAAGUAACGAAGAGCUGUCCGAGUGCCGAGUCACCACCUUACCAGGUGAGUGCAUAGUUACUUUCAGCUUACACAUAGAUAUGAAGUAUUUUAUAUAAAUUACGUGCUAUGUGUGCAUAUUACCUGAAUACUUGCUAUCUAUGCUAGAUGAACAUUUUUAUACAUGUUUUCAAAGAUUUAAACUGUAUAUUUAUUUUAUAUCUACGAAAAUGUUGGGGUAAAACAUGGGUAGAUGUAUUAGUUGCUGUGUGAUAAAAUGAAAUAAUGAGAGGCCUCGUUAUAGAUGUUAUUGAUGAUCUAGUCAUCUAGCGGAGUAUAGAUGACGACCACGGACUAUUCUAGACAGUCCAGUGGAACACUAGCAGACUCGCAACCUGUAGGUGUUUAUUCGAACUGUGUGUUUAUUUGAACUGUGUGCUCACCAGAUGUACUCCAUCCCCCACAUGGUUGCCUUAAGGACAUUUAUUGUUGAGGAAUCCCCUUAGCAGUAGUGUCCGUCCCGAUGAUAAUCCUUAGGAUAGGUCCCUUAUGAUAGAUGCUUAGGGACGUAAUGUGAGGAUAACGGGAACGGGUAAUCGGGUUUGUUUAAUUUAAUGAAGUUAAUAAACUUAUUUAUUGUGGGUUGAAAACCCUAUGUGCUCACCAGGCUCCCAAGCCUGACCCACUCAGUUUUAUGUAUUACAGGUAGUGGCGCUUGAGCAUAGAUAUGAUGUUGGACGAGGGAUUACGGAUAUAGGCCUGUAGAUAUGAAAUAAUGUAGUAAGGCUUAUAUUGUACUGUUUAUGCUUUUGAUCUAUACGAACAUGACAUCCCAAGUCUUUUAAUGAAAUACAUUUCUAUGGAAAUGCUUUUGAUAAAUCUUUAUCAUAUUUUGUUUUGGGACAAAUUCCUCAACACUUUCAUUUAAAAUGUUACUCUGAUUUUUAAACAAAACAUAAACAAACCGGUCUUUUCUGGCCGUGAUUUUGGGGAUGUCACAGAUUGCGGACUGUUAGGAGAGCAGUGUUUAUAUUCAUCAGACUGAGGUGAGUCUCCUCACCAUACCAAUGGGUCUAAGGUACCAAGGCCGGCCCAUUAUGUGAUUAUCAUACAUGUGUUAGACAUUCUAUGAUUCGAUAUGCUAUGUGAUUAUGUUUGUAUGCAAGACCUUGGGGGGUUCCUGAGGCACUUAGGUGUAAGACCUUAGAGGCUUUCCUUGGCAUCCUAGUUCAAAGACCUUGGGGGGUUCUCGAGCCAUUGGGCUAAGACCAUGCGGGGGUUCCCAUGGCACUCGGAGUAACACCCUGGAGGGUUUCUAGGGCUUCCUUAUGUGAUUGGGAUGCAUGGUCUAUGUGUUUUGGAUGGCUUUUUAGCUAGUUUGAUAUGCUAUACGUGUUUGUGUGUGGGUGUGCUCUGGGGAACUCACUAAGCUUUCAAGCUUACCGUUUGUGGAUUUAUUUCAGGUACAUCUGAGCCCAAGGGAAAGGGGCAAGGCGUGAUGGUGCGGUGUGCACUCUAUCUCUCCUUUACUAGUGUGUUUUGGGACGCUCCGAUGUUUUUAAAAGAACAUAAUGAUGUAAAGAAUGUGAAUUUAAAAACAAAUGUUUUUGGAAAUUUAUGGUUUAUGCAAAUGGCGUGAUUAUUGAAAAAUGAAAAUUUUCUUUGUAAGAUUUGGGUUGUUACGGUAGGGAUGGUUUAGAGCUUAGAAAGGAAACCUCUUAACGGUGAUUUGAUGGUUGCUUUUGGAGACGUGCGAUUGUGGCACAUCUUUCAAGGAAGAUAGGGAUCCUCAAAAGUUACCAUUACAAGAAAACCGUUUCGUCUUAUGGACUCUUAGGUUUCUGAAUGAUCGAUUCCGGACAGUUUGAGAUCCGGAGGGUAAAAGGUUGAGUUCUAGAUUGUGAAAAAUUGAAGAAAUGGUCCGGAAUGAGAUCAGUCCGAAGUGAAGCUUUGAAAUUCCGGAGUCAAAAAUUGUUUGUGAUUCUGGAGUAAAAAUUUGAAAAAUCCGGAGUACAUUUUGAGAGAAGAAUCCGAAGCAAAAUUCCGAAAUGAUAAUUUUUGAGUCCGGAGUGCAAAUUGAAAGAAUUUCCGGAAAAGGAUUUGCAAGACAUUCCGGAACAAGGUUUGAAAAACUUCCGGAGUGAAAUUUUAAAAAUUCUGAAGUAUAGAAUGCAAUACCUUUUCGGAUUUGAAUUCCGAGAUGACUUUAUGAAGUAAGUUCCGAGAAGAAAAUUUGAUCAUUGUGACUGUGUGGACUAUAAACAUCAAGUGAUAAGAUGAACUGUACAAAAAAAAUCAUGUGGUGGCUAGUGAUAAAGACAAGUAAAAUGAUCCUAUGUAUUUUGAGAGACAAUUGUUCCGAGAUAAAAUGAGUUUUGAGUUCUGAACCAAAUUUCUAAAUGAUGUUACCAUCAGAGAGAGCAAGUCUAUUGAAAGAACUGAGGAUCAGGCAUCAUCAUACCCAUCUUGUUAAGAAAACCAUUGAAUUUGGUUUCGUCUAAUGCCUUAGUAAAGACAUCAGCAAUUUCAUCGUCAGAUGGAACAAAAACAAGUUCAAUAUUGCCAUUUAAAACAUGAUAUUUUAUGAAAUGGUAUCGAAUAUCGAUGUGCUUCGUUAUGGAGUGAUGAAUUGGAUUGUGUGAAAUUGCAAUGACACUUUGAGAAUCACAGUAAAUAGGAAUGCGUUGAAAACGGUAACCAUAAUCCAAAAGUUGAGACUUCAUCCAUAGAACUUGAAAGGUACAACUAGCAGCAACAAUGUAUUCUGCUUCGGCUGUAAAUAGAGCAAUGCUGUUCUGCUUCUUGGAUGACCAACUAACCAAUUGACCACCUAAAAAUUGACAGCCACCUGAUGUGCUUUUUCUAUCAAGUUGAAGACCACCAUAGUUUGAAUCUAAAUAUGCUUGAAGUAGGAAACUCUCAUUUGUUGGAUACCAGAUUCCGAGACUCUUUGUACCUUUGAGGUAUCGGAAAAUUUGUUUCACAACCAAGAGGUGAGACAUCUUUGGGUUGAAUUGAAAUAUGGGACAAAAACAUGUUGUAAACAUGAUGUCUGGAUGACUUGCUGUGAGAUAAAGCAGAGAUCCAAUCAUUCCUCUGUACUUCUUUUCAUCAACUGCUACACCUGAUGGGUCGGCAAAUAUUUUGUGUCCGAAGCCCAUUGGUAUCUUGGCUGAGGCCCAGGUGUCGAUUGAGUAUUUUUUGAGGAGUUCCGAAAUUUACUUCUCUUGGUGAAUGAAAAUUCCUCUGUUAGUCUGUUUGACUUGGAGACCAAGAAAGAAGCUUAGCUCCCGAUUCAUGCUUAUUUGGAAUCGAUUGAUCAUUAGUUUUGCAAAAUCAACAACCAUUGAUGAAUCUGUAGAUCCAAAAAUGAUGUCGUCCACAUAAAUUUGAACCAUCAUGAGGUGCUUUCCAUUUGAUCUUCUGAACAGGGUAGGUUCUAGAAUACCUCUUUGGAAAUGGGAGUGCUUGAGGAAGUCAGUGAGAGUCUCGUACCAUGGGCAAGGAGCUUCCUUGAGGCCAUAGAUUGCCUUACUGAGUUUGUAGCUAUUGAAGAUAUACUUCAGUGUCAAGUUCACCAUUAAGAAAAGCACUCUUAACAUCCAUUUGGUAAACCUUGAAGCCUUUGUGAGCAGCAUAAGCAAGAACGAUUCUGAUGGCUUCAAUAUGUGCAACAGGAGCAAAAGUCUCAUCGUAGUCGAGGCCUUCGAUCUGAGUAAAUCCUUUAGCCGCCAAUCUUGCUUUAUUUUGAAUAAUAACUCCUGCGUCACCUAACUUGUUGCGAAACACCCAUCUAGUACCAACAAUAGGGUGAUCUGGAGGUGCAGGCACGAGAGUUCAUACUUCAUUUCUAUAGAUUUUUGCCAAUUCUUCUUGCAUGGCUGUAAUCCAAUCAACAUGCUCUAAUGCUUCCUUGAUGGAUUUGGGCUCAACCAUGGAGAUAAAUGCCGAAAAAUGGCAUUCAUUUUGAACACUUGUGGCAGAGCGAGUUUGAACACCAACAUUAGGGUUUCCAAUAACUUUGUUUGGAGGGUGAUCCUUGGUCCAAGCAUGUAACCUUGGAAGUUCUUGUGCAACAGUCGAUCCAAUAUCAACAGUAGGAUUGAGUUGCUCCCCCUGAAUGGUUUGAACUUGGGGGGGUGAUGCUCCCCCUGAACUUCUGAACCGGACAGGUCGACAUCAUCAUCAGAAGGGAAGUCAAGGAAAUUUUCAUUGUCAUCAAUGUUUAUAGGAUUGGAGUCGUUGAAAUCAGCAGCUGCGUCUAGAAAAUGGAGAAAUAGAGGGUAGAGGACCGGAAACAGGUUGUGAGGUGGGAAGGGAUGAGGAAGAUUGACUUGAUCGAGAUUCUGAAUCAAGUGCUGUUUCGGAAGGUCCAAACAGAGUUUCAAAAUCAGCUUCAUGAAAUAUCUGAACAUUCGGACAUUUUGAGGUUGGAGCAUCGGGCUCCAUAAUGUCAGUUGUAACAUGCAAGGGACCAGAGUUCCGAACGAAGUUGUCAUCAAAGGUGAUAUCAAAAUUUUCUUCAAUAAAUCGAGUUCGACAGUUGAGAACUCGAUACGCCUUUGACUUUGAAGAGUACCCAAGAAAGAUUGCUUCAUCAGCUUUGGGUUGGAACUUUGUAAGCUGAUCACGAUUAUUUUUGAUGAAACAUCGACAUCCGAAGACAUGAUGAAACGAAAUACUUGGCUUCCGACCAUUCAUUGCUUCGUACGGUGUCAUGUUGAGGCGUCGAUUGAUGAUACUCCUAUUUUGAUAGAAGCAUGCAGUUGAUACAACUUCAGCCCAAAGAUAUAGUGGUAGAUUUGCGAAGUUUAGCAUGGAUCGAGCAGCUUCAACAAGAGUUCUAUUGCAUCUUUCAACUACACCAUUCUGUUGUGGAGUGUAAGGAGCUGAAAAGUUGUGGUCAAUUUCUUUCUUGGUAAGGAAUUUUUCAAUGGUUGAGUGAGUGUAUUCCGAGCCAUUGUCACUUUGGAUUCUCCUAACUGGGAGUUUGAUGAGAACUUCUAUUCCUUUGAUAAAAUUGAUGAGCUCAGAGGCUGUUUCUGAUUUCAGCCAUAGGAAGAAGACCCAAGUGAACCUUGUAAAGUCAUAAACAAUCACAAGAAUGUAUUUCUUAUGAUGAAGACUCUCUAUAGUAGAUGGUCCACAAAGAUCAAUGUGUAGAAGCUCCAAUGGUUCCGAGAUUGAUUUUUCGAUAAUAACAGGAUGACCCUUCUUCGAUUGCUUUCCAUACUCACAAGCAGCACACAAAUGAUCAUUUUCAAAUUUGAGAAGAGGUAAACCUCUCACCAUUUCACCGGAUACGAAAUCAUUCAUGUACGAAAGUUCAGAUGAGCGAGCCUUUGGUUCCAUAACCAACUGACAUCAAGAACGGAUUUGGAGAGAAGGCAGAGUUGCGGUUUGCCAAUAAUCAUGUUGAUGUCGAGUGGGUACAUGUUCUUGUUAUGAUUUGACUUGAUUAAACACUCUUUUCGGUCUUCAGUCAUUACAUAGUUGUGCUUCUUGCAAAAUUCUAGAUAUCAAUUUGAAUCAGUGAGCUGAGCAACACUUAUCAAAUUAUGUUUCAGAUCAACUAUAUAAACCACAUUUGAGAUAGAGAAAUUUCCAUUGGUGAGAAUUCCAUAACCACGAAUUUGGGAAUUGGAGUUAUUUCCAUACGUCACAUAAACAACAUUUGGAGAAAGCUUGAGAUCCCGUAGAAAAUCUUUCUGCCCCGUCAUGUGCAUGGAGUAAGAACUAUCAAUAUACCAUAUUGUUUCUUGCUCCGAAGCACAAAGUUCCUGCAAAAUUAGUGAGUGGUGGAGCUUUUAGGCUCCGAGUUAGGUUUAGGGACAUAGGAACGGGCUUUGGACUUUGAUUGUGACCUUGGAACAAUUUUGUGUUUCCUGGAAAUGUCUUUUGAGUUCUUAGGAAAUAGAUAAAAGGUUAAUGUCUUUUCAUCUAUCCAGUAGUCAUACUCGAUGACUUGAGGGUUCGGAAUGGCUUUCUUCGGAUCGAAUAUUUCAGAAGUAGUGGAGGUCACUUUCUCAUUCGGAGUCACGAACCUUUUUACUUUCCAAACAAGGUUUUGUUUUGAAGACUUUGCAAAAUUUGUUUUCUUGACAUGUUUCUGUUUGUUUGAUGACACAUUUGAUUGUGAAAGUUGAGUUCUAAAAGUUGUGCCAUCAGAUUUUACAAUAAAAACAGAUGAAACAGUCCGAAGAGAGGUGUUUCGAAUAGAUGUGGGGUUUACUUUUGACUCUUUCUGAGUGGAACUAGUUGCCUUCUUUUGUUCCAUGGGACUAGGAGGAUUUGAGGAUCUUUUGAGUAUCUUAUUGGGAAUAAAGGAUUUUUGACUAUGGAUUGAUGAGUAAGAAUUCCGAGAUACACACUUUUUGGAGGUCUCAAGGAAUCUUGAAUUUUGUCUAAUCUUAACUUCCUUUUUGUGAGCAUUUUGAGCUUCCACCUUAGGGUCUACUAUAUACUUCCUAUUCAACAUUGGCUUUCUUUUGGAUUGAGACAAGGGUUUCAAAGUCUGUCCUACUGAAGGAUUGUUGAACACAGGCUUAAUGCGAACCAUAUUUGUUUUUGAAAUUAUCUAUAGUUCAAAAUCACAUGAGAUUGUCUCAUCGAAUGCACUAUCUAGGGAUGCCAAAAAACACUCUAAUGGUUCAGAUGAAGUUGAUUCUGGAAAGAUUUCCUCAACAACAUAGUUGUUAGGAGGGCUGAGGUUUGGAUUUUGAACAAUAGACUUUUGAGUACUAGAGGUUCGAUUGAGGUCUAGGUUUAUCAGAAGCAGAAAUUACAUGGAAUCGGGACUCUUAACAUCUAUGGGUUGAAACUCAGGAAUCAAGGAUGCGAACUUGUCAUUAGUCUCAAGAAGGGGUGACAAGGGAGAGACACGUACGUCUGAGUGUUGAUCGUUCGGAACAUCUCCCAUAAAGGUCAAACUUUGCAACUCCUUCAAGGGACUAGCUAUUGGUUUUGGAAACUCACUUCCGAGACCAAGAGCUUUUGAGCACAGAUGAUGAAAGUUAUGAGUCAUUCGUUGAUUCGCUUCAAGUAUGUCAAUGGAAUUAUGCAAGGCAUCUAUUUUUGCAUUGAGACGUUUGUUAUCAAAAAUUAAAAUGUUUCUUUCAGAAUAGGUGAUUUCACAUUUGUCUUUUAAAAUGAUACAUUCAUCUUUUGACAUUACAAGCUCAUGCUCUAAAGACUCGAUUUUUAACUUCUUAUCCUCACAAUGUAACCUAAGACAAUUUAAUUCACACUCAUUCUCACUGGCUUCUAUGGCGGACUCAUAGACUUUAUAAAUGGUGCUCAUAUCUGUUUGGAUAUAUGUUAGGUAUGGUUCACAAAGAGACAAAUCAAAAUUAUUAUUAGUAAUCAUAGAUUUUACCUGCUGAAUGAUGCUUCGACUAGGUGGAUCGUUGGUGGCCAUGUAGCAGUAGUAUGGUUCAGCAGCAUCAUCUUCAUCUUCUGACCCAGAAGACCAAUAGCCUUCAUCACAUUAAAUAAUUUUUCUUGCCAUCAAGCACAUGUUCCUUCCAAUUACCAUGUCAUCAUCAUCCCCGGAUGACCAAUAUCCUUCUACAUCCCUUGAUACAGUUGUUACAAAAGCUUUUUCACUUUCUGCCAUCUCUUGAGCUCUUCACGCGUAGUAUGUAGAGUCCUUGAUUUUUGGUUUUUGCGGAACUUCAGCCAAGAAAUCUUUUGCAAAGUGGUUUGCAUGUCCACACUUGUGGCACACUAUUUUUGGCUUGUCGGAUUUUGGAUUCUGUGGUGGUUCCAAAGUAGAGUUUGGUUUUGAGAUGUUCGGUUUGUAUGACUAAGGAUUUUCCAAAGUUGGUUGAGAUUUCGGAGGAGAGUAGGGUUGAGAAUUAUUUUGGUGAGGAGCAUGGAAUCGAUUUUGGUAUGGUUUAUAAGAUGGAUUGAAAGGACAUUUGUAUUUCAUGGAGAGUAGAGCAAAUUCCUGUUGGAAACGAAGUUUAGAAUCUAUGGCUUCAGAAUCAUCUAUCGGAUAGUUCUGUGUGGGUAAGAUAGGCAAUGAGGACUGAACAGGUGAAACAACAAGUUUGAGGAGGUCCGAAGUGGAUGUGUUCGGAAUGGUUGGUUCAAAGGAACUGAAAAGAGAAAAAGGACCUUUGAAGAGUUCUCUUAUGGUCUGAGCAACAUUAGAUUCAUGUCCUUGAAGUUCAUUAAAAAGUUGAUAAAGCUUUAACUUUUUCAAGGAGCCAUUACUUUGGAGACAAGAUUUCACAUUUCCCCAUCCUUUACCGAGGCUGUUAAUGAACUUGAGAUUGUACUCCAAGGGAUUUUGGACAAUCCCAUUCACAAUCAUGUUGUUGACUACGAUUCGGUAACGGUUAGAGGUUGAGGCCAUUGAUUCACCAGGAGUGGUAGUGAAGGUGUCAAAGUCAUUGACAACCGAAGUGAGACGCUUGUCUUUCAUGUUUUCCCAACCUUAUCAAAUCUUAGAGAUUGUCCCAAAUUUCUUUUGCUGAUUUAGACAACUUAAUGUGUUCAAAGAGUGAAGAAGCAACACAAAACACCAUUUCAGAGAAGGCAACUUGAUCAGCAUGCAACUUCUCAAUAUCAUCAGCUGUCAGAGGAGCUGGACGUGUCUUGUCUUGACACAUAAGCUGAGCAGCGGCAUAUCUUACAACUGUUCUUACAGGAACAUGAGGGCCUUCUUUGAUGGAUCUCCAAAUAGCUUCACCUUUCUCUUUCGCUAAUAAAAAUCUUUCCAUUCUAACUUUCCAGUGAUCAUAUUCUUCCACAACUAGCAAUGGGGCAUGUGUAGGGCUACCCACGUUAUUUUCGAUUUGCAUUGAAAUCAUUUGUUGAGUAUUAGAAGCAGCCAUUGAAGUUAAGAUAUCUUCAACCAAAAGUGGUAUAUAGAAGAACUUUUAUCCUUAACACAUAAAUGGUUAAAACACCAAGGUAAUUUGAAACCAACUAUAAUCUGAUCUUAUGGAUUCAAAGGACAACCACUCAAGCUCUGAUACCAAUUGAGUGAAAAAAUUGAUCUGGUGUGCAGGGAAAAGGUUUGAAAACUCAAACCUUGUGUUAAUACUUUAAGAUCAAUGUUUGUUUGCUAAUGAAUGUUCCAGUCAAGUCUUGAUAGACCAGUCAAGUCUGAGUUAAUGUAUUCAACAAAUGAUCAAGCCAUAAAUGAAGAAUGAGAACUAAGAUCAAGGUAAAGCUAAUAAAUGAAGAACAAAGAGAAUGUUGUAACAAAAGUGAAGUAAAAGGAAUAUUGAUUAAAGAGUUUGAAUGAUCUGUCUUUUGAUUUAACAUCGUAUGCUCCUAUAAAUAGGAGAAUGAAGUACAUGGUACUAACCAGUUACAUUGAUAGGACUAGAAAAAAGAGUUAUAUCUGACACCCUGAAUACUCAAGUUGACAAAAGAUUAAGUCCUAUGACUAGUUAAAUCAAACAAAAGAUAAAUACAUUAAAUGCAUCAAGACAAAGUAUAGAUUCCGGAACAAGAAACAUUUCGGACACAAAAAUCCAUUCCGGAAUGCCUUCACUCUCAUUCUUCUCAUCGCCAACUUGUCUUCAGGUCCGGACAUUAACGAAUUCCGGAGCAGACUUCACUUCGGAACUAUAGCUUGACUUCGGAAUCGACAAAAAGAUUUAGGAUUGCUAGAGGUUCACUUUUAGGUUCCAACACAACCUUUAUGUGUGUAUGAUAUCGAUCUAGCCUUAGUAGCUUUAUGAAACCAUUUUUUGUCCCAAAAGUCCCAAGUUGGUGCAUGUUAUGGUUUUAAUGUAAUAAGUUGUCCUUUCAGACCCUAGAAAGGGUCCUAAGUGAUAAAAACAAUGUCCCAAUGGCUUAAAACGUCCCAUGCAUAUAGUAGGAAGGUCUUAAUGGGUUAAGACCAUGUAUUAAUAACUUUCUGGACGUCCAAAGUUUAAAGUUUGAGACUUUAUGGUUCAAAGACACAUUUGAUUGAUGGAUCAGGAAUUUAGGCUUAAGUGAUUAAGUCAUUAAGCACUUAUUAGAGUCUUGGUGAAACUCACGUACGCCCCACGUAAUUUCAAUAUACCCAGCAUACUAAGUCAACCACCUCGAUGGUGGUCAACGAAAAACGGAAGUACGCCCAGCGUACCAGUGGAGUACACGUCGCGUAUGCCCUUUGUUGGGCUUUUGACGAAUUGGGCUACCUUUGGACUAGUUGGAUUUGGGCCUUGCUGGACAUUCUGAAUAAUUGGGUUUGGGGCUAGUUUUGAUAAUGGAUCCUAGGAUAAGGCCCAAUUAGGGAGUUGGGCCUAAUUGGGAAAAUUGAGCCAUUAAUGGGCUUUGGAUAUAUGGACUUUUAAGAUGAUGGAUUUGGCUUUGGGCCUUGGCCCAAAUUAGAGAAAAGGCAAUAAUGGACAAUCACUCUAUGCGGGACCCUUAGGCAAUAUGGAGAUCCCAAUUAUUGACUUAGUAUUUUUUAUUUUGGAUAGUUCGGGAUUUUCGGUGAGACUGCGAUCGGAGACUUUUAGUCCAGUUCAGCACUACUCGUGAGGUGAGUUCUCCUCACUAUAUCAAUAGGGUCUAAGGCACCAAUGCCGACCCUUUUCGGAUUCAUAUCCGGGUUUAUUGCAUAAUAUGCUUUAUGAUUUGUAUCCUGGUUAUAGGAUGGUUGCCAUGUUAGUGAUCUGUUAGAUCGGUAUCCUGGUUACAGGAUUAUGCUAUGUUAGUGAUCUGUUAGAUCGGUAUCCUGGGUAUUGGAUGGCUGCUAUGUUAGUGAUCGGUUAGAUCGGUAUCCUGGUUAUAGGAUGGUUGCCAUGUUAGUGAUCUGUUAGAUCUGUAUGACUACAUGUACAUGCUAGCUAGCGUAUGAUAUUUAUGAGCACAUGGUUGUUUGAUUGAGGGUUGAGUUGAGGUGGUCAUGUUGUGUGCUUAGGCCAACACACCCAGGGAGGACCAGAUAGACUGUAGACCCAGGAGGGCAUACUAGUCAGACCGAAGGCCCGACAAGCGGUCCGAAUAAGCUGAAGGCCCACAAGACGGUCUAGACAUGCCGAUGGAUCGGAGAGCGGUCCAGAUAGACAGUUGGCCUGCCAGGUGGUCCAUUCAGGCUGAUGGCUCAUUAUACAUGUUGUUUGUUUGUUAUGAUAUGGUUAUAUUUGUAUGGAGUUGGUAUUUUAGGGAUAAAUCACUAAGCCUUCGAGCUUACAUUUAUAGAUUAUUUUUCAGGUACUUCUGAUUUUCGCGGGAAGGCGAAGGCGUGAUCGUUCACCUCCUUAUAUUUUUAUGAUUUGAUUUUGGGAUACUCUGACACUAAACCGUUUUGAAAACAAGUUUCGUAAUAAUUAUUGGUUUUUCAAAUCUUUUAAAAAGUUUAAAUUUGGCAUGAUUUUUAUAGAUGUUACAAGUUGGUAUCAUAGCCUUGGUUUGAGUGAAUUGGAGGAAACAAUCGUGUGUCUCCAGUCUCAAACUAAGGACAAGAUUUUAAAAAUGAUUUUUCAAAGGGUUUUCAAAAUAAUAAAGGAGGAUGCAAGUGUACGAUCAGCCGAAGCUCGCGAAUAGACCCCAUAAUACCUUACGAAUUAUUUGAUUUUGUGAUAUGUUAGAACAACAUGCUAGUAUUAGGCUAGGGAUCUUCAGGAAUUGCUGGAUAGAAAUGCCUGAUUAUAUGAUGCAUGGUAGCCUAGGGUUUCCUUAUAUGAUAUUGACAUCAUUAUUGUAGUUGUUUAGUGUAUGCAUCACGACUGUACAUAAUUAAGAUCUUAUAGCCUGAGAAUGUUUGGUUUGGCCUUAUUUCCUAUUCUUGUUUAAUGAAGGGCUUAGGGUAGGAUUAGGUAUUCGAAAGUCCAUAGGGUCCAACGUUAUGUAUGGCUAGCAUACACGAGUGCUACAGGGUUGGUGAAAGUUUCGUGGGUGGGUCGUGCGAGGACGGGAGGCCAGUUAUGAGAUAUUUAGCAUUCCUCUAGGAGUGAGGAUUGAGCGCUCACUAUAUUUAUGUAUAUUGUUAGGGCGUUGUGAUGAUACUUGAGACAAAUAUGGGAAGGUAUGGAAGGUAGUAUGGGCCCAUACUACUGAAAGCACAGGACCCAUAUGCAUAGCAAGGAAGUCACAACCCCUAGGGUUUAGUUAGGAGUUGGUUCCCCAUUAUUUAUAUGAAUUAUCUGAUAUUUUCUUGGUAUAUUUUCAGUAUGGUGGUUACGAGAUGCUUUGUGACUAGAUCCGGAUCAGGACCAAGAUCAAGAGAUGGCGGUCAGGUGGGACCGACAAUACUUGAGGUUUUUGGUCAGAUGAGGACGGUUGAGUUAGAAGCCAGGAUUCGAGAAAUCCUGCAUGAUGAGGUUGCAACUCUGUUCUAGGCACAACUGCCGGAGAUUUUUGGGUCUAUUAAGACCGCCAUGGUUAAGUAUUUCGACGAGCGCUAUGCAGCCCUUGUGGAGACGGCUGCCACAACAACUGCGUCAGCUGUAACGGCGACAAGGGGAGGAGCCGGUUGGGCUUUUCAAUAUAGGGACUUCGAAAACACAAAGCCCCCUACUUUUGAUGGGACUCAGGACCCCAUCAAAGCCAUUAGGUGGAUUUAUGAUGUGGAGGGGUGUUUCUGUAGAUGUUCAUGUCCUACUGAUCAGAAGGUCAGAUGUGCCCUGAACCUAUUGAGGUCCGGGGAAAAGGACUGGUGGAGGUUGAUGACUGGAUCUCACACUGAUGAUCAGAGAGUUGCGGUUACUUGGGAGCAGUUCAAGGAUAUGUUCCGCGCUUGCUACAUUCAACGCGUCAAGCGGGAACGGUUAGCUCAGGAGUUCUUGGAGUUAAGACGGGAUGGUGAGAUGGUGAUGGAGAUCACCUGUAUGUUCACGGAGAGGGAGAUAUUCUUCUCAGAGUUUGCUUCUGAGCAGGCUCAGAUAACACGUUAUCUGAACAUGCUCAAGACUGACAUAUGUUAGAUUUUUGCAACCCAAUGAUGUGAUACUUUGUUGGAGUUACAGGAGGCCGCUAGGCGGCGGGAGCUUGAGAUUGAGUUACAACGGAGAGAGCAGAGGUAGGCCCCAACAUAGUCACAGUCGGCGCCAAAGCGAUCUAAGACCACCGAUUCCGGAUCAGGGGGACACCAGGGUUGCACUUGUGGCAAGUGCGGGAAGGGUCACUCAGGGGUGUGUAGAUCGAGCGGUGCGUGCUGCAAAUGCAGAAAGGAGGGAAAUUUUGCAAGGGAUUGUCACCAGACAGUCCCUGUUCAGGAUUUGAGGAUCUUCUACCACUGUCAUCAGGUUGGUCACGUGAAGACCAACUUUCCACAACUCGCUUCUAGGCCGGUUCAGGCUCCAGCGCCGGCUACACUGAGGAUUACUGACGGGAGUCAGGGUUGAGAAGUGCCCCCGAGGGCCCAGGGAUGUGCCUUCCAGCUUACAACAGAGGAGGCCAGGGCAGCACCCGAUGUGGUUGUUGGUAUGUUUCUAUCCCUUAUCUUACUGAUUAUAUCUGUUUUAUGCUUAUAUGUUUAUACCUGUGAUUAGGUACGAUUUUAGUGAAUGCCUUACCUGCUUUCGUAUUAUUUGACUUAGGGGCGAGUCGAUCGUUUGUCUCCCAAAAAUUUAGUAGUGAGUUUGGUGUGACAGUAGGAGAGCUAGAGUGUCCGUUGUAAGUCUCUAUUGCCAACGAACACGGGGUUUACGCUUCUUCAGUCUAUCGUGGUUGCAUGUUGGAGAUCUUCAGGGUAUCUUCUCCGAUAGACUUGAUUCCGAUUCCCAUGGGGGAUGUGUGUGUGAUCGUGGGUAUGGACUGGCUUAGUCGCUUCGGUGCCAUGCUUGAUUGCAAGGGUCAGCGAGUGGUAGUUCGAACCCCAAGUGGGGGGAGAACUGAUUGUUUAUGGAAAGGGUAGCAGAUUGGGAUCAGGGUUUUGUUCAGCUGCCAGGGCUCGACAGUACAUUCAGUACGUGUGUGUGCAGAUUAUCUAGCAUAUGUGGUGGAUACACGGGUCAGGGAUCAGGUUUCAGUAUUAGAGGUUCCAGUGGUCAGCGAGUUUGCAAACGUGUUUCCGGAGAAGAUACCCGAAGUGCCUCUAGAGAGGCAGGUCGAGUUUAGGAUCGACCUAGUGCCAGGUGUGGCCCUUAUCGCCAAGGCGUCGUACCGGUUGGCACCACCAGAGAUGCAGGAGCUGUCAUCACAGUUGCUGGAAUUACUGGGCAAGCAGUUUAUUCGUUCGAGCAGUUCUCUGUGGGGAGCGUCGAUUCUCUUCGUCAGGAAGAAGGAUGGUUCACAACGGAUGUACAUUGACUACAAGGAGUUGAACAAGUUGACGGUGAAGAACUGUUAUCCACUCCCAAGCAUAGAUGAUCUUUUCGAUCAGUUUCAGGGAGCAUCUUGGUUAUCCAAUAUAGACCUGAGGUCCGGGUACCAUCAGGUCAGGGUUAGGGAGGAAGAUGUGGAGAAGACCGCGUUUCAGACUCAUUAUGGACAUUACAAGUUUGUGGUGAUGUCGUUUGGGCUCACCAACAUGCCGGCGGUAUUUAUGGACCUAAUGAAUCGGGUCUGCAGAUCGAUGCUCGAUCGCUCGGUUAUUGUAUUCAUAGACGAUAUCUUGGUGUACUUCAAGACCCGAGAGCAGCAUGAGGAGCAUCUAUGGGAGCUAUUGGGAGUUUUGAGACGAGAAUGGAUUUAUGCCAAGUUCUCGAAGUGUAAGUUUUGGUUACGAUAGGUUCGGUUCCUUGGAUACCUCAUUAACCAGGAAGGGGUUUUGGCCGAUUCAGCCAAAAUCGAGGCGGUGAAGCAGUGGGAGGUUCAGAAAUCUCCCUCGGGCAUCAGGAGCUUCUUAGGAUUGACAGGGUGCUACCGAAGAUUCAUAGAGGAUUUCUCCAAGAUUGCACUACCUCUCACUCGUCUGAUGAGGAAGGGGUGGAUUUCCGGUGAGGCCCCGAGCAGCAGAGGGCAUUUGAGACCCUCCGACAGUGACUUUGUGAGGCUCUAGUCUUGACUCUCCCAGAGGGAGUUGAGGAUUUUGUGGUGUUUUGUGAUGCAUCCAUCGCAAGACUGGGAGCGGUCCUCAUGCAGAGAGGACGGGUGAUAGCCUAUGCGUCUUGGCAGUUGAAGUCGCAUGAGAUGAGAUACCCUACUCAUGAUCUGGAGCUGGGAGCGGUGGUAUUCACUCUCAAGAUUUGGAGACAUUACCUAUAUGGGGUUCGUUGUACCAUAUACACGAACCAAAAGAGCCUGAGACACACCAUGGAUCAGCCGAACCUGAACAUGAGAGAAUGCAGGUGGAUGGUUGUAGUCAAGGACUACGACUGUGAGAUCCGUUACCACCCAGGUAAAGAGAACGUGGUUGCAGAUGCUCUAAGCCACAAGCUAGCAGGAUCUUCUACUCUGGCGACAUGUAAGUGAUGGGUUUUGUUCAUAAGACAUCCUAUGUGCUCGGAUCUAGGUUUCUCUAUUGUACAUACUUUGAAUCCAAGACUAUGAACCCUAAUUCUAGCAUAUGGAAAUUAGAAUUCACAUGUAAAUAGGUUUAAGAACAUACCUUGAUUGUUAUAUAGCAAUAACAAUCCAAUUCCUCCUUGAAUUGACCUUGGAAAGUUGAGAGUCACAAGUGUCACUCCUCUAAUGGCUUACAAACACCAUAAGCAAGUGGAGAAGGUAUAAAGAGAGAGGAGGGAGGUUAGAAUUCGUCCUUAGGACCUCUUGGGAAAGGGUUACACGAAUUCAUGACCCUAGGGGUGUUUAUAUAGGUGUAGAGAUAGGGUUUCAGUCAUUAUCCUUAUCUAGUUGCUUAUCCACCAAGCAACCAAUAAGAUAAUCCUUGAAUCCUUAUCAUACUCGAAUUCUAAGGCUCUUUAAGUAACUAUCACAUAAUUACAAAUCAGCCCCUCUAGUUUAAUUAAUUACAUUUGAUCACAAAACUAAUUCUUAAUUAAUUAUUGACCAAUAUUAAUUAAACAAAUAUGAUUUCUCCUUUAAUAUAUUAUUCUUAUAACAUAUUAAUAAAUCAUAUUAUCCUCUCUCUCUAUAUAUUUCUCCAAUCAACUUGCUUUGGUGAAGGCAACCCAAAAGGACCAUGCACCAUCGGGUCAAGUACAUACCAAAAUAGUUAUGGACUUAGACACUAAUCCAACAGUCUCCCACUUGGAUAAGUCUAAUAACUAUUAUGCGUAUGACUUCAGAUCCUGAUCUGCAAUCGUAGCUUUCCAAAGCCGCUGUCAACUCUGAUCCUAUCAGAUACGCGUGUCCUUAGAUAAGGGAUCAUAUAUUCCUCCAUUCUAGAUAUCAUAUGAGAUAUGAUUUCAAAUCAUUCUCUUUGUACUAUAUCUCGAUUUCCGAUUUAUGACGACUGACUAAUUGAACAAAUCAAAUUAGCCCUAGCCCGGCCGAGCAUUUACGUUUGUCAUCACUAAAUCAUCGAGGGGCCCAAAGAUAUCGCUUUUAUCCUACUUUGGAUAAAAGGAACGGAUAAACUUUGAUACAAUGCUUGCUUGCACUCACUCACCGAAUCACACACAACAAUAUGUUUUAUAACACCAAGUUACUAGUGCGUUUACAUAUUAUCAAUGUGCAACCGAUUUGCAAGAUACAACUCACACAUCUCGGUUUCAAGAAUAUAAGAUGUUAUCGUCUCACCAAUCACUCGUGAUACAAUUCAUGGAGUGAUCCAAGUGAGCGUGGGUUUAAUCCAAUGCUCAAAUCAUAUUCAUAAGCACUCAUGAACGUUGCAGCAAACAUUUGCUUAUGUCUAAUGCUCUUUAGACAAUCCACACACCAAUUCACGACAGUCUUCAUUCAUACCUACUUCCAACAUAUGAACGACUGUGGCCCGUUCGAAUAAUUUGACUGUUCUUAACCAAUUAAAUUAUUCAGGAAGUCAAAACAUGCAAAGUGAAACACAAGAAUAAUACUAAUCCCAUAUGGCCUCAAACCUUUGAGUAUAAAUAAAACACCUUUUAUUUAUCACCAUAUCGAUUACUCAUUAUUUGUUGUUUCGGGUAAUCAACUUCUUACUUGAAUUAUUACUACACUUGUCCCAUGCUCUUAGCAUGCACACAAUGUUUACCUAUGGUUCUUACUUUGUGAAAUAGAUCAAAUGAACACAUUUCCAAUCAUACUCAUUUCACAACUCCAAAUCCUUUUUCAUAAGUGAAAGAAUAUCAAAUUCUUGCUACUUAUAAAAUAUGCUAGAUUCUAACAUUUUAUGCAAUGAUCCUUUCGUAAUGUCACUGCACCAAAGUCACAAAGACUAUUGCCAAUGAUAUUACAAAGUCCUCUAUCGGAGAUUGUUACAAGACAAUUCCUUAGAUAUGAUGUCUCUCACUCAAAGUACAUUCCUUUGAACAUCCUUUUGCAUAAAAGUUUCUAAUCUAGACAUAGAUUUUCAAUAUUCAAUUCCCAAUAUGGACACGUUUCCAUAUUUUCCAUAUGACAACUCAUUCUUAAUAGAAUCUUAUCUAUUCAUAAUAAUGUCGAUAUGGUCCAUCCAAUACUAUACUUCCAACUACUCACAAGCGACCAAUCCUCGGCGAACUUUGGAUUGUCCUUUGAUAGUUGUUUAAUUAUCUUAGUCAAAACCGAUUCUUGUCCUUUUUCCCUCUAAAUGCGCUAGACAUUUGGAAAAUUUUAGAAUGGUCAAAUAUUAUAGCAUUUGCAAUCGAUCCUAUACCCGAAGCGUAUGGGACACGAUGCAUAAUGUCUUACAUAAAGAUUUGAUACUUUAUCAAUCUUCUUCCAUAAUAUCUUAUGUUUCACUUUCUUAUGAUUCGAACUAUGAAGAGGAAUGCCGUAAUCAUAAUCGAAAUUUAAGAACACACUAUGUAUCCUUGACUAAAUUUAUUAACAUUCCACAACCUAAGCCUUUAGAUUUGAAAUGAAGCAUAAUAUUCUCUCCCUUAAUUAUAGCAAAACAACUUUUCAACCCUUACAACUUUGCAAAGUAUAACUCUUGUUUUCUAUAAUUAAUAUUGCUAACUUGCAAUACUUGCCUUAAUAAUCAUACAAUCAUAACAUUUAUGCUCCCACUAUCAUGAUGAUUAUUAUAAACAUAACACUUAUGCUCCCACUAGCUUUGACAUGUAUUCAGAAACCAGCUUAACUUCCAGAAAAACAAUACUUAUUGAAUUUCUUAAGUUCAUGUUUCUAAUACCUAAUGCUUUGAUAAUCCUUUAUCUAAGCUUAUACACCUUUCCCUUAGAUAGCUCAUAUGUGUGUCUAAACAAUUCAGACUAAUUGCCAAAUCUCACAAUUCGAAUCAUGGAAAGGGAUACCGUAACCAUAAUCGAAUUCGAGAAUCCAUUUUCACAAUCACUAUCUUCUUAAAAUCUCUCUUAGUGAAAGCAUUUCCUCACAGUCAUUUUCAUGAAGGAGGGAAUCUUAUGACACUUAGAUUUUAAUGGUGUAUGUGUUCCUAUCCAUGUGAAUUUGUCAAAACCAAAGUUUACGACAAAUUCAAACUCAUAUGGACCGAACUUUCUUAAUCUUGACUUCUUGCCUUAUGGUAACACAGCUGCCCACCAUGUCUUCCAAGUAGUUAAGCAGCUCACCCUUUCCUAUCAAUGUACUUUCCAUUGAUCAAGGUGCCUGCCUUUUAUGCGUUCAAAUGAGAACUCAUAGAACUCACAUGCAUAAUUAACUCAAUUGGAAUGGCACAGAAACAAAAUAGUGUCAACACGAUAGGUUGUAAACCUCAACUCGUGUGCUAGUGAUGAUCGAUAAGGUUUAUUUUGAUUUGUUCUUGAAACCUUUCAAGACCAUUAAGACUCCCACUGACUCCUUGACAUAUAAGAUUCUCUUGUCAAUAAACAUUUCUUGACAAACAAAUAUUCAAGAGUUAGUGUAGCUUUUAUCAAAACACUUCAUAAAUUGGUCCUAGUUGGUCUUUGUCUUAUCCAAGACAUCACAACUUUCCACAUUUGAUGAAUGUUAUAAACCUUCUUAAUACUUUUCACUCAAUGUCACAAUCUUAACUCUAAGACUUGUUUUGGAACGAAGUAUGAUUGACUUCUUGAUUUAACCAUUUCUUCAAUUCUUGAUUCCUCUUCUUAGACAUACAAUUGUACUAAGACUCACUUAGAGGAUCAAUUGAGAUAUGGUUCUUAAUCAUUAAGACCUAUCAUAAAGCAUAAAAGGUACUCUCCCUUCUUCUUAGAAUGGAGAAACUUUUAUCUUUCUGCCUACUUGAUUCUUCUUAUUCGUUCUGCUAUUGAUUUAAACUUUUUCAAUCAAUUCAGAAUUACACUUAAUCUUGUAAGUAUAAUCAUAUUUACUAAACCUUUAGUAAAUCAUGACGAAUAUCUUUGUUACUCUUAUGGUGGACUUGAUCAAUACACAACUUUGUGUACUCGAUCUCCAAGUCCUUCACUUGACUCUUUGUCAAUGAAUUAGUCUAAUUUCCAAAUAUGAAAUUUCUCAUUCAUCGUGCAACCAAGUUGCAUGAUUCCAAGUUUCUGUCCAAUUGAAACUUGGGCGAUGAGAAACUCUCCCUAUUUGGUAAACUCUCGACUUUCCAUAAAUAACAUAAUAAGAACCAAAUCCAUUAUUGCUAAUAAUAGAAACAUUCAAACAUCAAUUUUUCAUAUACGCCAUUGCAAGGAUAAAUAAAUAAUAUAAAAUCAAAAUUUAUUUUAUUGCGGAAAAAAUUUGUCCUUACAAUGCAAUUCAUUGAAAAACUAUGCUAAUACAUCUUUCUUAGCAAUCUAAUUCUAACUCUAAGUAGUAGCUCAAGAAUCUAAUCUUCGAGAAAUGCGAUCGAAAUCCAUUCCUUCACGGUUAGAUUCUGCUCACUUCUUCCCUUAAGCUUCCUUUCUUUUCUUCGAUCCUACAAAACAUCAAUUGUAAUCUUAUCACAUUAUGUAUUAAGAAUCUAGAAUAGAAGCUUAAAAGAGUUAGUUAAUGGAUUUUACCUAUAUUAGAGCCAUACGUUUCGACUCUCCCAUCUCUUAGAUCUCUUAGGUAAAUGGGGCAGCUUCGUCUCCAAUGCCCUUUCUCUUGGCAAUAAAAGCAAAUUGACUCUUUUGGAACAUGACAUGGAACUACUUCAGACAUUGCCUUUCUCUUAUGAUCAAACUUUUCGAUCAUAGCAUGUCUUUCGUUGCCAUUGUCUAUAUCCAUAGAGGUCUUGAAGGCAGAUUCACCAAUCAACUUUGCUUUUCUAUUGCGCCAAACCAUUGCUGAUUCAGCAGCAAUAAGCAUAUAGGUGAGAUCUAUAAGGGUCACGUCGCGGUUCAUCAUAUAGUACUCUCUUACGAACUCACUAUAUGAGUUAGGAAGUGACUGAAGAACCCAAUCAACAGCCAUUUCCUCACAGACAACGGAUCCCAACAUUCUUAACCUAUCAAUGUGUGACUUCAUCCCUAGGACGUGUGCACACACCGACUUUCCUUCUUUAUGUUUACUUGCCAAAAGGGCUUGAGUGAUCUUGAACUUUUCAAGCCUUUGAACUUGUGGGUUAGGGAGAAUAAUUGGAGGAGGAGGAGGAAGUGAAGCAUGAUUUCUUGUUCCUCGAUCGAAUCGUGGAAUAUCAUCUUCAUGUGGAAUGCUUGUUCCACGGGAUUUGGGAAGACCAUAGUUGUCGAACUUUGACAUCUACAAAACGGGAGAAAACGAAUUCAAGUUAGUUGAUUGAUUGAGUCCUUAGUAAAUCACCCAAAUGAGAUACUAAGGCUAGGACCCAACACAAUAUUCUACAACUCGGGAGAGGGAUGCCGUAACCCUAAUUGCAGAAUAUUUGAAGGUAAGUGAAUGACGAUUCACUAAUUUCCACCAUGAAAAACGAAAAAGAAAUUUAAGUUUUAAAUCUAUGAAAACUCCUAGAUCCUUUGAGAUUCAUUGAACUUUCAAUGGCAUGUUUAAAUCUCGAUAUGCCCCUCUUGUUUGUGACUGGGAUGCCGAGGAUCACAAAGCGGGUGUGAAUAACCAUGCAAACUUACAUGGUGCCCUCACAUGUUACAGUCACCUAUUCGAUGUGCCGGUAAACCACACACGCUCCACCGAACUAUGACAAACAUUGAGUCACCCUUUGCUACCUUUGCUUAGACCCAUUUAGUGUGCCGGUUAACCACACACGCUCCACUAACGUCUUCGCAAGGGCACAAAGUGUAAUUUCAUGGAAUUGCAUCAAUUCACUUUUGCCUAAGUAACUAAGAUUGGGAAUUUUAUGAAAACAUUUAGUUACUUUAAUAAUUCAUUAUACUUAUAAUGGAAGGUUUCGUCCUAUCCUACCCGUUCGGCUAACGACCCUCCACUAGUCAAGAGUGCGGUGGGUAAGAGUGGAUACCCAUUCAAUCGCCAUUUUAUAGGCAAUUUCCUUAAACACCCCUUAUAGACCAGCUUCGUGAAUGAGGCCUACUAACGGUAAGACUGACUUUUACUCAUACAUAUAUAUAAUGUUAGACUUUUAAUGUUAUAUAUAGUAUAGGGUGUAUUUUAUACUUUUAAAAUACUAGGUGGUCUAAUUUAACAAUUAUACUUUUAAUUCAAUUAAAUUGUAAACCUAAACUUUUAUGGAUUUAUUAAACCUCUUUUAAUUAUACACCUUAAUUAAUUAAUAAAACCAUAAGGGUGUGAUUUGAACUUUUUCAAAACUAUACUAGAGUUUUAGAAUUUAACAUUCCUAAUUAAACUUUUAAUCAACUUUUAAAUUCCAAAACUUGAGGGCAAGUUUUGAAACAUUUCAACACAUUAGGGUUUAGAAUUUAAAUAUGCAUCAAAAUUAAACUAUUUAAUCAAAAUUUAAAUUCCAAAACUUGAGGGCAAGUUUUGAAACCUUUUUCAAAACAUUAGGGUUUCAACUAUUUAAAUUUCAAAACAACAAAACUUUUGGGGUUCAAAUUUAAACUAUAAAACCUAAAGGGCCAAAUAUGAAACUUUUCACAACAACAAGGAUCAAAUAACAAAUAAUUCAAAUUAACAUUUAAUCACAUAAUUAUCCAUAUUUGAUGAUUUCUUGCAAAAUAAUUUAUCAAUUUACUUAAAAUAAUUAAUCAAUUAUCUUAUAAGGAAACAAUUAUCUUAUUAAUUGAUAAAUAUCUUCAAUUAGAUUAAAAAUAUAGUCAAAUAUAUCAUAUAAUCGGAUUAAUAUUAAUCUAACAUGAUAAGGUAAUUAUCCCAAUGCAAAAACAGCAAGAAAUCCCGAGAUAAGCACUGUCUGACGCACCGACUCGCCGAGUCACCCUCUGGAACUCGCCGAGUAGGGCUGACUCGCCGAGUCCAAGAGUGACUCGCCGAGUCAGGUCGAACAGUGAGGCCAAAACACGAUUUUUAGAUACAUCAAGCAUCAAUACAAUAGAAACCAAUCAAGGCUCUGAUACCACUGAUGGGUUUUGGUCAUAAGACAUCCUAUGUGCUCAUACAAACCCUAAAGCUCGGAUCUAGGUUUCUCUAUUGUACAUGCUUUGAAUCCAAGACUUUAAACCCUAAUUCUAGCAUAUGGAAAUCAGAAUUCACAUGUAAAUAGGUUUAAGAACAUACCUUGAUUGUUAUAUAGCAAUAACAAUCCAAUUCCUCCUUGAAUUGACCUUGGAAAGCUGAGAGUCACAAGUGUCACUCCUCUAAUGGCUUACAAACACCAUAAGCAAGUGGAGAAGGUAUAAAGAGAGAAGAGGAAGGUUAGAAUUCGUCCUUAGGACCUCUUGGGAAGGGGUUACACGAAUUCAUGACCCUAGGGGUGUUUAUAUAGGUGUAGAGAUAGGGUUUCAGUCAUUAUCCUUAUCUAGUUGCUUAUCCACCAAGCAACCAAUAAGAUAAUCCUUGAAUCCUUAUCAUACUCGAAUUCUAAGGCUCUCUAUCCUUAAAUUCGUCCAACCUAUCAAUAAGAUAACCCUUACCUUAUUUUGUAACUAUCACAUAAUUACAAAUCAGCCCCUCUAGUUUAAUUAAUUACAUUUGAUCACAAAACUAAUUCUUAAUUAAUUAUUGACCAAUGUUAAUUAAACAAAUAUGAUUUCUCCUUUAAUAUAUUAUUCUUAUAACAUAUUAAUAAAUCAUAUUAUCCUCUCUCUCUAUAUAUUUCUCCAAUCAAGUUGCUUUGGUGAAGGCAACCCAAAAGGACCAUGCACCAUCGGGUCAAGUACAUACCAAAAUAGUUAUGGACUUAGACACUAAUCCAACAAUAAGAGGAUAUCAGUGGAUUGUCCACUAGUGGGUUUGAUUAGGGAAGCAGAAUGAGGGUAUGUGACAGGAGAAUUGGAAGCUUGAGAGGAUUAGGGGUGAGAACACCCGGUUUGUGCAGGAUAGCCGGAGAUUAUUGACCCAUUGCGGUUGGAUCUAGGUUCCAAUGUCUGGUAGGGUCAGACAGACUAUACUGGAGAGCUCGGUGUGGAUCGAUUGAGCAAAAAAUGCUCAUUAUCUGCCCAGUUGGGAGAGCUCAUCGGCCGAGAAACUGGCGAACAUGUACAUACGUGAGAUUGUCGCUCGACAUGGGGUUCCGGUCUCUAUUGCUGCUCCAACUUGUCGUGUAGGAGAGAUCAGCCUGCAUGGAUUUUUAAGAAAACUCAACGAGUUGGAGGGGCCAACUCAACGAGUUGAGGUUGUUUAGUGAAAACCCUAACUUCUGGGGUUAUGCACCCUAUUUAAAGAACUUAUAACGCAUAGUAGCCUUCCUCAUCGUCAUUUCAACCAGAGAAAACCCUAGAUCGAGUUUGGUACCUUCUUGUGUGUGUUUGAGAGCUUAAAAGGUGACAUUUGAGGAGUUUUGGAAGGAUACUUGAAGAUUGAGAAGCUUGGAUCAAGAAGAGGGUGGUAGAUCCAUCAUAUGCUGUGUAUUGGCGAUCAAACUGAGGUAUAAAGUUAAUACCUUGACUUCUUGAUACUUAGAUCUUCUUUUGGGAGUUUUUAUGGCCAUAUUUGGGACAUUAUGGAGUCAUCCUUGAGUUUGAGCUUGUCAUAAGGACAUGGUUUCAGAUCUGGACUCCACUAGGUCCCCAUAGUCACAAAGUCAUCAACUUUAUCAAUCUUUGGCCCUUCUCCAUACCGUAGACCUUUCUUGAGCUUAGUUUUGGGUUUUUUAGCCUUAUGAGGCCUUGCAUGCACGUAAAGUUAGUAACUUUAUGUGGUAACUUCAUCCUAGGAGGUUGGAUCUGAAUUUUGGAGCAUUGGAAUCGACUAGAAUGAGCUUAAUGUGUAAUGGAUGAAGAACUCGAUGAGUUGGGCAUCUAACUCGACGAGUUGAGUCAGGUUUCCCGUUUUUGGAUUCAAAGUAAACUCGAUGAGUUGGUGGAACAACUCGACAAGUGGUUAAGGUUUUCCCCGAUCUUCUGGACACUGCAUGGACUAGAUGAGUCUGCUAGCAACUCGGUGAGUUGAUUGGGGUUUUCAUGAUUUAUUGAGUUCUGAGGAACUUGACAAGUUCUGAGUUGCAUCGACGAGUUGGGUCAACAUUGAAUGUUGACCUUGACUAUUAACUUCUGAUCGAAUUUAGGGUUUUGGUCAAACUGUGGAUUUUGGAGGCCAUUGAGGGGUGGAGUCUAGACCAGCAGUUCGAGUGUGGGAUAUACUGCUUUACUAGGCGAGGUGAGUCUUCUCACUAUACUUACCUGGGUGGUAAUUGUUGUGCGACCGGAAGGUCUUAUCUGUGUUAUUGACCGGAGAGUCUUAUGUACUUAUACUGAGAUAUGUUAUAUUAUGCAUUUGUCUUUGUGAUUUAUGUUGUAUAUUAUUCUGUGUUUUUAUUGAGAUAGGAACAGAGGGUCCAAACCGAGCUGUGAGACCGGAUGGUCUUCAUUAGGACACAUGACCAGAGGGUCCUUAUCGAGAUAUAGCCAUGAGAGGCUAAUUAUUUGUGUGUGGUAUUUUUGGGAAUUCACUAAGCUUCGUGCUUACAGUGUUGUGUGAAAUGUGUUUCAGGUACAUCUCAGGAUCGUGGGAAGGCAACAACAUGAUUGUACUCACCAAGUAGUUGAUUUGUGUUUUGAGGAUUCUAGGAUAAUUGACAAACAGUUUUAUGUCUUGUGCUUGAAACAAAUUAUAAAUUGGAUUUGGGAUAUAUUAAACUGUGUUUUGUGUGGAUUAAAAGUGAAAAAUUUAUUUGAAAAUUUAGAGUGUUACAAGUUGGUAUCAGAGCCUUGGUUUGAGGGAUUCGGACGUACCCUUGGGUAUGUCAGGACUCAAAAUGAGGAUUUAAGGAAUCUGUCUAAAAAUAAAUGAUUUUCUAAAGGAGUAAAAGUUUUUAAGAGAAAAUGAGAAGAAGCAGUGUGUACAAUCAGGCCAGAGUCCAGACGGUGAUUUCCCAAAAUACCCUUACUUGAUUAUAUUAUGAAAUGAGUUGUUUCGAGCUAUUAGCAUUGCAUGCUAGACAAUAGGCUAGGAAUUUCAGGAAUUCAGAGCUAGAAUUGCCUGAUUCAUGAUUCCAUAGCCUAGGAGGUCGUCAUUGAAUGACAUUAUUUCUUGUCAUUUACCUUGUGAGGGAUGCUGGAGGUCUUUACGAGUUAGAGUGGAGUUGAGAAGCUAUCUAGUAGGAGCAUCUAGAUGUGUAAUUUGAGGAGUCUAUUGAGAGAGUAGUUAGAUACCCAUGAGAGGUAGGAUUGCCUGAGUUCGGUGAUGCAUUUUGAGUUGUGGAUAUAUCAAGUGGAGUUGUAUGCUAGAGUGGUUUUAUGUGUUGGUGGAGGUUACUCGAUGCCUGAAUGCUGCUUGCUUUGUGCUUUCUGGAACUCACGAGUGAUGUGAGUAAGCUAGAGUAGCUAAUUGACAUUACGCGGAGUCCUUCAGCAGCUGAUGGCAGAGAAGUGUGAGAACCUAGGAGAGCCUAGGGACUAAUUUUAUUCCUAUAAGUGCGUUGUUUAAAGGUGAGUAUUCGCUGGAUAGCGAGCAUGUGUAAUGGGAUUGGUUGAUCGAGAAGGUUGAGCAACUACUUAGGAAAUAUGGGAUGAUCCGUGUGGAAAGUAUGGGUAGAUGUAGAAGGUAGUAUGGGCCCGUACUACUGAAAACAGAGGAACCAUACUCGAAAAAAGGAGAAUUCCAGAGGUUUUAAGUAGCAGGUUGAGGGGAGAUAACUUGGUUUGGGUACCAUGACUCGUAGCAGAGUGUGCUUCCGUAUUUACUAGUUAUCCCGCUUUGGUUGUUCAGAUCGAGAGUUGAUAUGGUAAAUUAUUGGGACGGAAGGCCAUGUCAGUUGAGCUUAAAUGGAGUAUACCUUACGAGAAAAAUUAAGUUUAGUUCUCGAGGGAUUUGACUGAAAGGUGCCAAUAAGAGUCACAGGACUCUAAAGGGAAGCGGAGAUGAGGUCGCAGUCUGAGUUGAAUGAUCAACUGAUUGAUUGUGAUGGAAAUUUCUAUGACGAGGAUCAUAUUAUUCCCGAUUUUUGUUUUGGAAGGAAGGGUCAGUGAGCUUUUGAUUUCAGAGUUUAGAGGAACACCCCGUUGGGUACCAGAUAGUUGCGGUAUUAGCACCAAAGGGAUUUUUGUGGUAUGAGUGCCUUGAAUUAUUUCGUAUACUGGGAGGGAGUCAUUAGUGGGGAAUGUGAUAGACGAGGACAAGGAUGCGCCGAGAAUGAGCAUGGCAAGGCAUAUUCUAGCAACAGUUCCAUGUAACCGGGGGGAGUAUCUCGGGACAACAACCUUCGUUCUCUAUGCCGCGAAUCGACUGUGAGAGUGAGGUCUCCUGUUUCUAUCUUGAUUCUUGCGAUGGGGUGUUGGUUGAGGAUUCAGAGAAUGAAGUGUGCAAUAGUCCGUUAUUUCCAGAUAAAGAGACAGUUUUAUUUUAGGAUUGUCGAGACAACUUCCUGCACAGCCGAAUGAGAUUCUAGGUGACUGAAGGUAGUCACAUUGGGAGAGUUCCGAGGUUUCCCUCUGAGAUUCAGAAUAUUUGGAGUUAUUUGGUCAUUAUCUGGAAGGUCAUCGAGUGUUGUGUGGUACAUUCCAUGAGUCAGGAAUGGUACAUCUGGUGAGCCAAUCUGUAGUGUAGUUUGUUUCGUAUGUCAACGGGCGAUGGUUCGAACCCUAAGUGGGGGAGAACUAGAUAUUCUAUGGGGAGGAUCCUCAAUCUGGUGCGGUACAAAAUUUUGGUUUAUAUGGAUAUACGGUCCGAGUAUACGAGACUAGGGUCUUGUGGCAGUCAAGCGAAAAUACAGAGUGAGAUGAUGCAUGUUGCAUAUGCUCAGGAGAGAAUGAGUGUCUUCACAGUAGGUGGUCGUUGGACAAGAAUCUUAUUGUGGUCUGUGUUUCUUUCGGGUAUGCCAAUGUUCGAGUUCUGAGGAGGUUGGGUCAUUAAGUUUCGAUUGUUGAGAGAUUUUCUAGUCAACGUGUACAUUGCUAUCUAUACUCUAGGAGGGGCAAUAGUUGAUCAACUUCAGAGUCGGUAUGUGUAGUUUUGCAUGGGUUUUGAUAGGUAGAGGAUAGGCUAUUGGAUUGUCGUCAAUGCGUUCUCAGUCAUUGACGAUUCCUCCAUGCUUCAAAACUUUGAGUUAGAGUACUUCAAGGUUUCGAGUUAGAGUAGCAAGCUAUCGUGAGAUUCUGUGAUGGUGUAUCAAGGUAUCUGAGUAUGAUUCCCUGGAUUGUUGGAUUACUAUGAGACUUGGGGUUUUCAGGCGGCAAGUGGAGCAGCAAGCGACUAUAUUUCCAGUUGUGAAACCAUCAAUCAAUUGUCGCCAGCAGUAGUGAAGCUUGAUCUGGGUGCAGGUGCGCACCUAUCUAUGAUGGGUCGUGGAGCAUGAGUUUGGUGAGCUCAGUAUGGUGAUAGCUUGAUGAUGAGAUUGUGGGGUGAUAAGAGAGUGGAUGGAUCCAGGUGGGAUUAAUCACUUAGGACUGUCAGGGAUACCCGUGGGGUGAGCCCAUGGCGAGUGAGAGAGUGUUGUAAGACUGCAGGGAGCAAUAUCAUUCACUAGUCAGUGAGAGAGUGUUGUAAGACUGCAGGGAGUCGUAGCAUUCACUAGUUAGUGAAAGAUUGUUGUUAGACUGCGGUGAGCCGUAGCAUUCACUAGUCAGCGAGAGAGUGUUGUAAGACUAUGGGAGUCAUAACACUCAUUAGUUAGUGAGAGAGUGUUGUAAGACUGCGGGGAGCCGUAGCAUUCAUUAGUAUGUGAUAGAAGUGUUGUAAAAUUGUGGGGAGCCGUAGCACUCAAUAGUCAGUGAGAGAGUGAUGUAAGACUACGAGGAGGCAUAGCACUAAUUAGUUAGUGAGAGAUAGUUGUAAGACUGCAGGGAGCCGUAACAUUCACUAGUCAGAGUGUGACGCAUAGGGGUUCUCAGGCUUGGGUAGCCUUGUCAAUCGAGUCUUUGGGAACCUGGUGGUCGGACCAGGGGUGAGACUAAGGUCUCAGAGAUGGUCGGGAACCGUUAUGUCUUGAUUUAGGGAGGGGUUGUCACAUAUCGGAAGGAACAAGGUGCAAUGCAUGCAUAGACUCGUGGAACAUGGAUCAUGAGUUGAGUAUCAGCUUGGAUAUUAGUGGUCCCAAUUUUGCUGUCGGACCAAACUCUUGUGUUUGAGUUUGGCUCUAUCUGUGUAAAGGAUAGGCAAGUUGGGAUUUCGGAUUGUCAGAUUGUUGAGUAUUACAGUGUUGCGUCUUUUGGGCCUUUGUAUUUAAUCUUCUGUAUAACCGAGUUGGGCCUAUCCACUCGUGUUUAAUGAUUAGGGUUUUACUAUUUAAGGUGCAUGCAUGCAUCGUAUAUCAAUUAAUCGUGUCAUUGUAAACCCUACACAUCUCUACAGUAGCAGUUCUUAAUAGAGCUCUUUUGAGGUUGUGACUUAUAAUAAUUUGACACAUUCUUCAUUUAUAUUAUGUCUUUAUUCGCUUAUAAUUGUUUGAAUAUAAUCGAUCUUAAGAGUUUUCUACUCUUCAAUUGGUAUCAGAGCAGGAGACUGUGUAAUCUAUACGCAUCUCUUCUAUUGCAAGAAUUUUUAGGGUUUCCACUAUUAUAGGAUCUGUUUCAGCCGUCAUCGUUGUUAUUGACACUGUUCUUUGAUCUUUAUAUUACCCAAAAACCAUUUAGUUUAUACAUUUUAUUCAUACAAGUUUUGUUAAUCUCUAAACAUGGCAGACGACUCUCAUGUUAACUCGAUAAAUCUUUCUAGCAGAAUUGGAUCUACAACCAGAAUUCCCAUUCUUUUUCCCAACGAUUAUGAAGUGUGGGCACUGCAUUUUGAAGACUAUGUCCUUCAGCUUGAAGACAAUGGCUAUUUGAUUUAGGAAGCCAUUAUUGUUCAGACGUUCACUUAUACAUGAACAAGAAGAGAAAUUAAAACUCAGCAAGACUACAAUAAACUUCUUGUUGAUGUAAAAGAUAUAUCACAGGAUGAGAAGGGCAGAUUAAUAAGCAAUGUUAAAGCAAUGAAGAUCAUCAGGUUUGACUUGCCACCAGACACUUUCCGUUUGGUUAGUUCGUAUGAUACUGCAAAGGCCAUCUGGAGAUCAUGUGCACAGGAGACUCUCACAUCUCAAUUUUAAAGAUAUCAACAAGCUCGUUCUUGGAGAUCAUGUGCGAGGAUUACCACUCUUAAAAUUUGACAAAGAACAUCUUUGUGCAACAUGCCAAAUGGGAAAGUAGAGCAGGAAGAGUCAUCGAACAAUCAUGAAUACAAAAGUCAUUAAGCCAUUUGAACUUUUGCAUAUAGAUCUUUAUGGUCCUUCUGCAAUUGAAAGUGUCAGUGGUAAUAAAUAUAUUCUUGUUAUUGUAGAUGAUUUUUCUAGAUUCACUUGGGUACAUUUUCUUAAACAGAAAUCAGAAGCCACUCCUAAGCUCAAAGACUUCAUAAAGCAAAUAAAGUUUCAACUAUGAAAGCUGGUUCAUAAUGUGCGCAGUGACAAUGGUCUGGAACUCAAAAACCAAGCGUUUGAAGAAUUCCUGACUGUGAAAGGAGUAGCUAACAAUUUUUCAGCUCCUUACACUCCUCAACAAAGCGGUGUAGUUGAAAAACAAAACUGUUCAUUGUGCAAGGCUGGGAGAACCAUGUUGUCGUUCGCAAAUCUGCCACUCUACUUCUGGGCGGAUGUGAUAGGAACUGCUUGCUUCACCCAAAACCGGUCUAUUCUCAAUAAGCGAUUCUCUGUCACCCAUUAUGAAAUUAUAAAUAAUAGAAAACUUAACGUUAAGUUUUUCUAUGUUUUUGGUUCCAGGUGCUUCAACUUCAACUUAAAGGAACAGAGGAACAGAUUUGAUAUGAAGGCUGAAGAAGGUAUCUUUCUGGGGUAUUCUCUAACUUCUAAAGCAUAUCGGGUUCUCAACAAAAGAUCCAAAAGGAUUGAAGAAACCUGUUAUGUUACGUUUGACGACAAUUACACGAAGAAGUUUCCGAAGAAUGAUAGUCCAACACAGGAGAUAUUUCGUAAACUGAAUCCCACUACCAUCCCACUUUCCAACCUUUGCAAGGAAUUCUUGAACUUAUUUGAUGAACCAGAGAAGGCAAUCUCCUCAGAUUCCAAAGAAACAGACAACAAAGAAGACGAACUAAUGAUGUUGCGAAAUAAAUGGAACAGGAACACACCAAUACGAAAGAUUUUGAAGUUCCAGUUCAACCUACAGAUGCGAAUGUUACAUCGCAGGGGGAGGGUUCUACUUCAACCUCCUCAUCUGGUAUACCUGUUCAAGGGGAGAAUGAAACCCCUGAUGUCAGACUAGAGCCACCUUUCCAUGGGAGAAUCAGAAUCCAGAAGACGAUAAUCAUACAUCAUUCGAGUGGGAGAAUGGAAAUGCGAAUGAUGAUUCAGAUGUACAAUCAGAAUUUGAAGAAGUGAAUGCGGAAUUGGAUCCACCAUUUGAUCCAAACUAAUCUCCAUUAGUUAAAUGGGCCAAAGAUUAUCCAAAAACUCAAGUCAUUGGAGAUUCGUCUUCAGGUGUUCUUACGAGAGCUCAACAAAAUGCGAAGCGAGCUGCACUAUUCUCUAAAGUGGAAUUUUUCAUGUUCAAUUUGUUUAUCUCCAAACUUGAACCUAAAAAUGUUCAAAUUGCUCUUGAUCAUUCUGAUUGGGUGCAAGAAAUGUAGAAGGAGGUUAAUGAAUUUGAUCAAAACAAAGUCUGGAGACUGAUUCCCACUAUGAAGGAUGCUUCUGUUGUUGGUAUUAAAUGGGUAGUUCGCAAUAAAAUGGAUAAGGAAGGAAAUAUGAUAAGAAAUAAGGGACGGCUCGUAGGAAAGGGUUACUAUCAGGAAGAAGGCAUCAACUAUGAAGAAACUUUCGCACCUGUUGCAAGGUUAGAAUAUGUUCGUAUCUUUCUGGCAUACGUAACACACAAGAACUUUGAAGUCUAUCAAAUGGACAUCAAGUGUGCAUUCUUGAAUGGGUAACUUGAAGAAACAGUGUACGUGGAACAACCACUAGGGUUUAUAAAUGAAAAAUAUCUGAACUACUAUUACAUUCUGGACAAGGCAGUUUAUGUUCUAAAGCAAGCUCCAAGAUCCUGGUACGAAACUCUAACUCAUUUUUUAAAAUAGGCUAAAUUUAAACAAGGAUCUGUCGACCCAACCUUCUUUCACAAGAAAGACAGUGACCAUUUGAUGAUCAUUCAAAUUUAUGUUGAUGACAUCAUCUUCGGAUCAACUAACCCCAGUUUAACAGCCGAGUUCCAAAAGCUAAUGGAAGCUAAAUUUAAGAUGAGUUCCAUGGGUCCGAUUAACUUUUUUCUUGGCUUGAAUAUAAGACAGAGUCAGGAAGGGAUCUUUAUCAGUCAAGAAGCUUAUACACAGACCUUACUCUCCAAGUUUGGAAUGGUGGGAGAUUCAAAAGUGAAGGUUCCAAUGACAUUCAGAAUGAAACUAACUCCAUCUCUGGAUAAACCAGCAGCUGAGAUGACUCUUUAUCUUCAGAUGAUAGGGUCAUUGAUAUAUCUAACUGCUCGUCAUCUAGACAUCAUGUUUUCUGUUUGCUAUUGUGCUAGGUUUUAAGCUAAUCCUCGCGAGCCUCACGUGACCGAUGUUAAGAACAUCUUCAGGUAUCUCAAGUGAACAUCCUCAUUAGGAAUUUGGUACCCUUUGAGUUCAGGUUUCUUUGUGCAAGUGUUUUCAGAUGCUGAUCUUGGAGGUUGUGGUCUAGAUAGAAAAAGUACAACGUAAGGAUAUCAAUUUCUUGAUGGAAAACUCGUAAGUUGGCAAUCUAAAAAGCAAACUUGUGUCUCCCUAUCGACUGUUAAAACAUAGUACAUAGCUGAUGCAUCCUGCACCUCAUAAGUCAUUUGGAUUCAAAUUCAACUUCGUGACUAUGGUAUCAACUUUAAACGAAUCCCCUUAUAUUGCGAUUCUGAAAGCGGCAUUUGCAUUUGUCAUAACCCAGUGCAACACGCAAAGGCGAAACAUAUAGCACAGAGGUAUCACUUCAUCAAAGAUCAUGUGGAAGAAGGAAAUGUCGAAAUACACUUUGUAAGAUCCGCUGAUCAGUUAGCUGACAUCUUCACGAAAGCCUUGGCUGAACAAUCAUUCAAUCAUAUUCUUCAAGGAUUAGGAAUGAUAGAAGCUGAGUCUGUUCCGAAACCACCUUCGCAGUCAUAAGUUUUUGAGUGGCCUGCGAAUUCGUAUAAACGCUUGCAGGGACUCACAGUCAUCUUUUAUCCUGCGAAUCGAUGCGAACGCUCGCAGUGACUCGCAACCAACUAUUCACACUGCGAAUCAAUGUGAAUGUUCGCAGUAACUCGUAGUCAAUUGGUCAUUCGUGGUUUGGAAUUUUCAUGUAUCCUUUGUACAUUUUUUUUUAAAAUUUAUUCUAUUUUUAUUCUUUUUUAGAAAAACGAAAAUCCAAAAAUAUUUUAUUUAUUUAUUUAUUUUUAUUUAUUUUAUUUUUCAAAACAUUAAAAUCCAAAAAUAUUUUAUUUCUUUCUGUUUUUAUUUUAUUUUUUCAGAAAAACAAAAUUACAAAAAUAUUUUCUUUAUUUUCUUCACUUUUAUUUUACUUAUUUCAAAGAUACCAAAAAUAUUGGAUAAUUGAGCAGGUUUCAUGUCAAGAAUCUUGGUGAUCUUAAUUACAAAUGACAGAGCAAGUAUAAAAUUUCUUAUCUAUGCACUAGUUAAGUGUCCCUAGAAGAAUGCUGCUGCAUGUAGACCAAAGCCUCAACAACUUUCUAUGUUGAAGCCUUAAUGAAUCGAUUACACCAAUCGUUUCUCCCCAAUAAGGCUCUUAAUUCGCACAAGUCAUAAGCUACCUGACUCUUCUCAGAUUGAGUUAAGAGUUACCUACUUCGUCACUUUCGCAUAGCAGAGGUACAAUCUUUCUUUAGAACCACCUCAUACCAUUUCUCCAUCAAGUUUCGUAUUCACAAAUGUAUCCCUUGAGACUCUUAGAAAUUACCACUGAGGUUUAUGGUUAUAACCAACUCUGUGUUCAUGAUCUUAAAUUCAUUAUCACCACGAAUUAAGUGAAACCCAAAAUCCAACACAUAUAUACGAAUUGACUCCAAAGGAAGAGACCGUUGCAUGGGAUCCCUUGCUUUGUGUCUUAUAAACACAUCAAUAAUAUCCCACAAAUAUUUUGAUUUAUUUCUUUAUCUUUAACACACUCUUACAUGAAGAUCCUUGUGAUUUUCCAAAGUCUAGUUCGUGGCACUUAAAUUUUCUCUUAGUUUUGCAGAGUUGAUGAUGAGUAUUCGUUGCGAAAGUUCACAAAUGGAUCAAAUGCAAAAGCGCGUAACUAAAACAACACCUUAAUGGAUAAGAUUGGGCGUGAGAAUUUGAAACAACGAGAAUUUGAACAGACGCUGAUUUGACGCCGCCUGACACAUACGUCACAUCUGUUAGUCACGCCUUUUUAGAUGCUGAUCUGUUUACCUGAGAUUGAUGUUGGAUGAACGAUUUAAACAUUUUUUAUGAUUUAAACUGUAUAUGUAUUUUAUAUUUACAAAUAUGUUGGGAAAAACAUGGGUACAUGAAGUGUGAUGAAAUAAAAUGAUGAGAGGCCUCAAUGUUUAUGAUGAUCUAGUCAUCUAGUGGAGUAUAGAUGAUGACCACAGAUUAUUCUAGACAGUCUAGUGAAACUCUAGUAGGCUCGCAACCUAUAGGUGUUUAAAUGAACUACGUGUUCACCAGGUGUACUCCAUCCCCCUCAUGGUUUCCUUAUUUCACUUGUAUUGCUGAGGAAUCCGCAAAGCAAUGUUAUCCACCCCGAUGAAAAAUCCUUAGGCUACGUCCCUUAUAAUAGAUGCUUUAGGGACGUAAAGUGAGGAUAACAGGAACGGGUAAUCGGGUUGAAUGAUUUGAUGAAAAUAAUAAACUUAUUCAUUGUAGGUUAAAAACCCUAUGUGCUCACCAGGCUCCCAAGCAUGACCCAUUCAGUUUCUUGUAUUACAGGUAGUGACACAAGAGCAUAGAUGUGAUGAUCUGAUGAGAGAUCAUGGAUUAUAGGCCAGUAGAUAUAAAUAGAAUAUUGUAAGGCCUGCGUAUUUUUUGUGGCCUAUGUUGUUUUUGUUUAUGCUUUUGAUCUGUAUUGACAAUGACAUCCAGAGGUUUGUAAUGUAAUGAAAAUAAAUUUCUUCGGAAAUGCUUUGAUAAAUUCUUAUUCAUAUUUUUAGGAACAAAUUCCGCAACAUAUUUCUUUAAAAUUACACUCUGAUUUUCAAAUAAAGCAUAAACAAAUCAGUCUUUUCUGGCUGUGAAAUAAGGGAUGUCACACUAGCUUUGUGAACAAAGCUCUUGGGGCCUGUUUGAGGCCAUAUAAUGCCUUGUGUAGUCCGCAUACAUAACCAUGUCGAUUUUUAUCUUCAAACCCUUUUGGUUGCAUCAUGAGUACCUUCUCUGAUAGGUCACCAUUGAGAAAAGCAUUAUUGAUAACUAAUUAACUAAUCAACCAUCCCUGUGAAAGAGCAAUCGAUAGAACCAAUUGUAUUGUGGUUGGUUUGAUAAUAGGGCUAAAUGUGUCAAAGUAAUCAGCACCAUCCUCUUGACUGUAUCAUUGAGCCACUAAUCGUGCCUUGUAUCAUUCAAUCGUGCCAUCUAAUUGCUUUUUGACCCUGUAAAUCCACUUACAACCAACAAUGUGAGAUUUAGUAGGACAAGGAACUAACGACCAAGUGUUAUUUAUCUUGAGGGCAUCAUAUUUUGUUUUCAUCGCAUCAUGCCAAAAUUUGUGCUUAAUGGCUUGUGAAAAAUUACUAGGUUCAAGGGUUGAAGUGGAUGAAAGAACGAUAUUGAAGGUUUUUAGUUUUAGAGAAUUGGUGCGAACCCUUGCAACCAUUGGAUGUUGUGAAUUUUCAGAAGGACGAAAUAUGGAGGUGUUGUUGCGAGCCCUUGAGGACACAAAAAAGUUUGGAGACGGUGGAGCAUUAGAGAUGGGUGUUAGUUUUAGAGGUGAAUCAAAUUGGGCUAAUGGUUGGGCAAUUGAGGUCCUUUAGUGGGCUUGACAAAGUAAUGAGAGAUGGAGGAAAAGAAACUAGUGUUGGGCUAAUAGAAGGUUGAAUUUCGGGCUCAUUUAUGUUGGAUUAGGUGUCUAAGCCAUAACUAUAUUUGGUAUGUACUUGAACCGGUUGUAGCAUGGUCCUUUUGGGUUUCCUUCACCAAAGCAACUUGACUGAAAGAAUAAUUGAAAAAGAGGUUAUUAUGGUUUAUUAAUAUAUUAUAUGAAUAGUACAUUAAAAGGUAAAUCAUAUUAUUUAAUUAACAUUGGUCUUAAUUUCGUGGUCAAAAGAGGUUAAUUGAAUUAAAGGGACUGAUAUUGUAAUUAUGUGAUAAUUGCAAUAUGGGUUGAGGAACCCUAAAGAAGGAUGGACAAAUUCUAUGGGGAAGUCCACAUAGAAAUCGUCCAUAGGUGGCUUUCUGGAAGGAUCCUGUGGACUACUUAAGUUCUAAGGAAUCUAAUUAGGGUUUUGACUGAAACCCUAGCAGCUCAACUAUAUAAGGAACCUCUUGGCUUUACUUUUUCGGCCAACAACAACUCUAGAAGGAUUCCAAGAGCCGCAAAUGACCUCUUCCUUCUCUCUCUACGUUUCUCUAAUUGUUUUGGUGUUUGUGAUUCAUUAGAGGCAUCAUAUUUGAGGUGCUAGGUUCUCAAAAGCUCAAGGAUCUUCAAGCUAAAAUCAAAGGUAACUUUCUAACUUGUUUAUUAGAUGUUAAUUUUGAUUUUUUGUAUGCUAGUAUUAGGGUUUGAGACUUUUGGAUGAAUAUUGCAUGUACAAAUAGAAAAACCUAGAUGCAAAGCUUUAGGGUUUGCAUGUGCACCAUAGGAUUGAUGUCUUGCUCAUAACCCAACAUUGGUAUUCACACUCUAAUACUAUUAUAUUAUUAUAAGAUUUAUUAUUAUAAUAUUCUAAGAUUAAUUAUUAUAUAUAUAUAUAUAUAUAUAUAUAUAUAUAUAUGUAUGUAUAAGAUAAGCUAGUCUUACUGUUAGUAGACCUCAUUCACGAAGCCGGUCUAUAAGGGGGGUAUAAGGUUACUACCUAUAAAAUGGUGGUUUAAUGGGUGUCCACUCUCACCAACCGCUUCCUUGAUUGGUGGAGGUCAUUAGCCGAACGGGUAGGAUAGGGCAACUAAUUCCUCAUUAUUAUGUAUAAUGAAAUGUAAAGUAACUAAAUGUUUUUAUUAAAUCCCCAAUGUUAGUUACUUUAGGAAAAAUGUGAAAUGAUGAAAUUCCAUGAAAUUACACUUUGCACCCUGCCAAGUCGUUAGUGGAGCGUGCGUGGAUAAUCGGCACACUAAUUUGGGACUAGAAAAGGUGGCAAAGGUUAGCUUGAUGUUUAUCAUAGAUCAACGGAGCAUGUGUGGCUAACUGGCACAUUGAUUAGGUGGUAAAUGACAUCGAGAGUAUCAAGUACAUUCGCAUGGUUAUUCACACCUUGUUUGUGAUCCUCGGUAUCCCAGUCACAAACUUGAAAGGCAUAUCGAGAUUUAAACAUGCCAUUGAAAAGUUCAAUGAAUCUCAAAAGAAUCUAGGAAUUUCAACUCAUUUAAAACUUAAUUGUCCUUUUUGUUUUUAUGGUGGAAAUUGGUAAAUCGUCAUUUACCUACCUUAAAAUUAUUUGCAAUUAGAUUACGACAUCCCUCUUCUGAAUUGUAAAUAAUUGUGUUGGGUCCUCCCCCUAAUUUCUCAUUUGGGUGUUUAAUUGGGGAUUUUUAUCUAAUCUAAACUUUGUUCCUUUUCUAUUUCAGAUGUCUACUUCGAACAAAAACAACGAUUCUGGAUCGACCCCUUUCGACUCAUUCUCACUCAUCAACUUGUGUAGGAAGGUGAUAUUCGAUGGGUUUGAUUUUAACAAUUGGAUCCGCAACAUUAGCAUGGUUACGCGUUACGAGGACAAAGAGUAUGUUCUCAACAAGGAGCUGAAGGAAGUUAAUGUGAAUAUUGCCACUCCCGAAGAAAUUGUUGCUUACGAAACCGAUGAGCGAGAUUCUACGAAGGUUCAUUGCAUCAUGCUCGCAACAAUGACUGUGAAACUCCAAAAGUCCUAUGAGGACUAUUAUCCAUAGGAGAUGCACCAAGAUUUGAUGGAAAGGUACCAUCAAAGUACUAGCCAGGAACGGUAUGAGAACAUCACUGCGAUGAUCACUACCAAAAUGAAGGAUAGAGAGUCCAUCACGGCCAACUUGCAGAAAAUGCAGAGAUAUGUGGACCGCUUGCUGAAGUUGAAUGUCAACUUCGAUGAGGAGGUGGCCAUAUAUAUUAUUCUACACUCCUUGCCUCCUUGCCACGACCGGUUUCGUAUGACCUACCACAUGAACAAGGAGGAGGUCAUUCUAAGAAAGCUUUAAGGCCUGCUGAGGACUUCUGAGAGUAGUCUGAAAUGCAAAUCUAUUGCAUCUACUCCUACUACUACUGCCCAUUGUCUUGGCUAUUGGGCAAGGAAAAGGAAAGAAGAGGAAGGCUCCUUCUAAGAGCGACAAGGGAAAGUCUCACAAUGGUUCCUCUUCAAGUGGAACCAAAGAUGGUCCUGCUGCUCCCUCUUCCAACCCUAAGGAUGUAGAGUGCUUCUACUUCCAUGAGAAAGGGCAUUGGAAACAAAGCUGCCCGAAGUACAUGCAGGACAUCAAGGAUGGGAAGAUAAAGCCCACCUUCACUGGUAUUUAUACUAUUCUAUCUAAUAACUCAUCACAUGCUAUGUCUUGGGUCCUUGAUACAGGAUGUGGUUUUCACAUUUGUUCUGAUUUGCAGGGUCUAAGAAGAAGUAGAGAUGUGGAGCAUGGAAAGAUAAACUUGAUCAUGGGGAAUAGGAAAGCGUCGCCUGUCACAAAGAUUGGAGUUUACUCUUUGGUGCUUAGUAGUGUGUUAGGUCUAGAUUUGAAUAAUUGUUGCUACUCGUCAUAAUUGACACGAAACAUUAUUUCUUUUCAUGGUUUGUAUAAACAAGGUUUUAGAUUUUCAUUUAAUAAUGAAACUGGUUCUAUUAAUGCUUUCUUUAAUGGUACUUUCUAUUUUGAAGCAUUGCCUUGUAAUGGUAUAUAUGAAGCUGUGAUGGCUGUAGACAACUUAGGAAAUGAUGUGUUGCAUAUCGAUUCUUCCAAUGGUUUGGAUAAAUCAUGCUUGUGACAUUGUCGUCUUGGACAUGUCAACAAGAAGCGCAUAGCCCAAAUCCAAAAGGAUGGAGUGUUGGAGUCAUUCGACCUUAGGGACGAUGACACGUGCGGGUAUUGUUCUCUUGGAAAGAUGAUCAAGUCACCCUUCACUAGAACUUGUGAAAGGGGUGAGGGUUUAUUGGAUCUUAUACAUACCAAUGUGUGUGGGCCCUUUAGAUCCACCACAAGGAUGCAAACCGCAUUUAUGUGACUUCCACCGAUGAUUAUAGCAAAUAUGGGUAUAUCUACUUAAUCAAGCACAAGUCAGAAACCUUUGAAAAGUUCAAAGAGUUUAAGCAAGAUGUGGAGAAUCAGCUGGGAAGGAAAAUUAAGAUGCUCCGAUCCGAUCGAGGAGGUGAGUACCUUAGUAUUGAAUUCCACGACUACCUCAAGGAAUACGAAAUUGUUUUGCAAUUGACUCCACUUAGGACACCGCAAUUGAAUGGUGUGGCUAAGCGGCGGAAUCGAACCUUGUUGGAUAUGGUUUGUUCCAUGAUGUGUCAAGCUUUGUUACCUAUCUCAUUUUGGGUGUAUGCCUUAGAGACUACCGCCCAUAUCCUUAAUCUAGUCCCAACUAAGAAGGUUGCCAAAACACCUCACGAGAUGUGGACAUGGAAGGUUCCCUCGUUAGUAGAUAUCAAGGUUUGGGGUUGAGAGGCUUUCGUAAGACGAGAGACUCAUGACAAGCUCGAACCUCAUAGUGAGCGGUGUAUUUUCAUUGGCUAUUCACAGAAGUCCUUUGGAUAUCUCUUCUAUAGACCAAGUGACAAUGUUGUCUUCGUUGCAAGGAGAGGGAUUUUCCGAGAGCGAGAACUCAUAUGCCAAAAGGACAAUGGGAGGAAAAUUGAUCUUGAAGAGCUUCAAGAGUCAAGUGACGAAGGAACCCUUAACACUGGGGCUCAACUCGAAGAGGAAACUCCUGUUGAACCGAUUGGCGAGUCCUUACCUCUUAGACGUUCCAGUAGAGUUAGUGUUCCACCUUUGUUGUAUGGUUUCCAUAUAGCAAUUGAAGGUGAUACAUUUAUUAUUGAUAAUACACUAAUAAAUUUGGAUGAACCUAACAACUACAAGGAAGCCAUGGCAGGCCUAGAGUCUAUAAAAUGGAAAGAGGCUAUGGACAGCGAUAUCUAGUCCAUGUAUGACAAUCAAGUUUGGAACUUGUUGCCAAAGUGCCAGGUCGUAAGUUGGUCGGGUUUAAGUGGAUCUUCAAGAAGAAUACCGACAUGGAUGGGAAAGUACACACAUAUAAGGUACGAUUGGUUGCGAAGGGCUUUACUUAAACUCCCGGAGUUGACUAUGAUGAGACCUUAUCACCAGUAGCGAAGAUUAAAUCUAUAAGAGUUAUGCUAGCCAUAGUUGCGUUUCAUGAUUACGAAAUAUGGCAGAUGGAUGUCAAAACCUCUUUCCUUAAUGGGAAGUUGGCUGAAGAUGUUUACAUGAGUCAUCCAGAGGGUUUUGUCAAUGCAAAGCACCCUAAUAGAGUGUGUAAGCUUGAGAAAUCCAUUUAUGGAUUAAAACAAGCAUCUCGCAGAUGGAAUCUUUGUUUCGAUGAGAAAGUCAAAGAGUUUGGUUUUUCGAGAAGCGAGGAUGAGUCAUGUGUAUAUGUUAAAGCCGGUGGGAGUAUAACUAGCUUUCUUAUUUUUUAUGUGGACGACAUACUGCUCAUAGGAAAUGAUGUCCCAACCUUGCAGGAGGUUAAGUUCUGGCUUGGGAAGUGCUUCGCUAUGAAGGACCUCAUAGAAGCUGCUUAUAUUCUUGGGAUAAGGAUAUUGAGAAAUAGGAGUAAAAGACUAAUAGGACUUAGUCAAAGUACUUACUUGAAUAAAGUGUUAAAACGUUUUAGCAUGGAGAAUUCCAAGAAAGUGGAGUUACCAAUCCAAAGCAAUACCAAGUUGAGUAAGACUCAAAGCCCGAGUACCAAUGCUGAGACAGAAGAGAUGAGCAGAGUACCUUAUGCUUCCGCAGUUGGCUCAAUCAUAUAUGCUAUGACAUGUACUCGCCCUGAUGUAGCCUUCACUUUGAGCAUGGUCAACAUAUAUCAAGGGAACCUUGGUAGAGCACAUUGGACCGCAGUGAAGAAUAUUCUCAAGUACCUACGAAGGACUAAGGAAUGGUUCCUUAUCCUCGGUGGGAGUCAUGACUUGAGAGUGCGAGGGUAUAGUGACGCUAGUUUUCAGACUGACCGAGAUAAUUUUCGCUCGCAGUCGGGCUGGGUCUUUACCCUAAUUAGAGGAGCAGUAACUUGAAAAAGUUCCAUGCAGGAGACCGUAGCUGAUUCAACAUGCGAAUCAGAGUACAUAGUAGCGAGCGAAGCGUCAAAGGAGGCAAUAUGGCUAAAGAGCUUCAUUGGAGACCUUGGAGUUAUACCGGCCAUUAAGGAGCCUAUGGAGAUUUUCUGUGAUAACGAAGGUGCGAUUGCCUUAACCAAGGAACCGAGGGAUCAUGGUAGAUCUAGGCAUAUCAAUAGAAAAUAUCUUUUCAUUAAACAUCAGGUAGAAGAGGGACUCCUAGUAGUUAAGAGGGUAUCAUCAUAGGAGAACCCAACAGAUCCCCUUAUGAAGGGACUGAGUAGGGUUAAGCACUUGCAGCACGCUGGGAUCAUUGGGUUGAAGCACGAUAUUAGUUUAAGUGAUUAGAUAGCUUUUAGAAACUUGUAAUAGAUAAAUUGUAAUCAACAUUUGAUGAUUAAAUAAAGGAGUAUUAUUUAUGAGUAACGUUACUGUCUUGUGUUACAUAUUUACUACUGUUUCACUUUGCAUGUUUUGACUUCCUAAAUAAUAAGAUUAUUUAAACUAUCCACAGUCGAUCAUAUGUUGGAAGUAAGUAUGAAAGAAGACUGUCAUAAAUUGGCUUGUAGAUUGUCUAAGCGUUUAGACAUAGCAAAAGCUUGUUGCAAUGUUCAUGAGUGCUUAUGAAAUAUGAUUUGAGUAUUGGAUUAAACGGGCUCACAUGAACCACUUCAUGGAAUUUAUCACGAGUGAUUGUGAGACGAUAAUAUCAUAUAGUCUUUAAACCUAGAUAUAUGAGUUGUUGUUUACGAGUAGGUUGUGCAUUGAUAAUACGUAAACGCAUCAGUAACUUGAUGUUAUAAAACACAUUGUUGUGUACGAUUUGAUGAGUAAAUAGUACAACUAUAUAAGUCGAAGUUUAUCUGUUCCUUUUAUUCUACGAGGUUAAAAGAGAUAUAUUUGGCACCUCGAGAAACAAACUGCUGGACAAUAAGUAUGACUAUGUUCCAUGUAAUUGUCCACACAAUAUCUUGAGAACGGAGAACUAUACGAUCCCUUAUCUAAAGGAAAUGUCAGAGUUCGACAGCGGCUUUUGAGAGCUACAAUUGCUAAUCGGAUUUUGAAGUCGUACUUGCAUUUAUAGUUAUUAGACUUAUCCAAGUGGGAGACUGUUGGAUUAGGUGUCUAAGCCAUAAUUAUAUUUGGUAUGUACUUGACCUGGUUGUAGCAUGGUCCUUUUGGGUUUCCUUCACCAAAGCAACUUGAUUGGAAGAAUAAUGGAGAAAGAGGUUAUUAUGGUUUAUUAAUAUAUUAUAUGAAUAAUAUAUUAAAAGAGAAAUCAUAUUAUUUAAUUAAGAUUGGUCAAGAAUUAAUUUAGAAUUAAUUUUGUGGUCAAAAGAGGUUAAUUGAAUUAAAGGGACUGAUAUUGUAAUUAUGUGAUAAAUGCAAUAUGGGCUGAGGAACCCUAAAGAAGGGAUGGACGAAUUCUAUGGAGAAGCCCACAUAGAAAUCAUCCAUUGGAGGCCUUCUAGAAGGAUCAUGUGGACUGCUUAAGGCUUAAGCAAUCUAAUUAGGGUUUUGAUUGAAACCCUAGCAGCUCACCUAUAUAAGGAACCCCUUGGCUUCACUUUUUUGACUAACAACAACGCUAGAAGGAUUCCAAGAGCCAAAAAUUACCUCUUCCCCCUCUCUAUAAGUUUCUACAAUUGUUUUGGUGUUUGUGAUUCAUUAGAGGCAUCGUAUUUGAGGUGCUAGGUUCUCAAAAGCUCAAGGAUCUUCAAGCUAAAAUCAAAGGUAACUUUCUAAGUCGUUUAUUAGAUGUUAAUUUCGAUUUUUUGUAUGCUAGUAUAAGGGUUUGAGACUUUUGGAUGAAUAUUGCAUGUACAAAUAGAAAAACCUAGAUCCAAAGCUUUAGGGUUUGCAUGUGCACCAUAGGAUUGAUAUCUUGUUCAUAACCCAACAAUUUAUACUUGUGCUAACUAUAGGAGAAUUUUUUAAAUUUGGUGGACUAGGUUGAGUGUCGAUAUGAGCUGGAGGUACAAAAGGAAAUGUGUCUUCAUCAAAAAUGACAUGUCUAGAAAUAUAUAUUUUGGACGUUGGCUGAUGAUAGCAAAUGUACCCUUUGUAAGAUGCACUAUAGCCAAGAAAGGUGUAGGGUUUUAACCGAAAGUCAAUUUUUUGUGGGUUGUAAGGUCUCAAGUAUGGGUAGCAUAAACAACCAAAGGUUUUUAAGAAUCCAUAAUCUGGAAUUCUAUGGUAUAGUCGCUGAUAGGGACACUCAUAAGAUAGAAUGGCAGUAAUUGUUCUAUUAUUUAGAUAAGUUGCGGUUUUAAGCGUAUGUUCCCAAAAAUGUUUAGACAAGGAAGAUUGAGCAAGAAAUGUGAGGCCUUUUUCUAUAGUAAUUCUAUUUCUCCUUUCAAUUUCACCAUUUUGUUCUUGAGUGUAUGGACAUGACACUCGAUGAAAGAACCAUGGUCAUUUAAAAACUUGGAUAUAUUUUGGUAUUCCCCUCCCCAAUCAGUUUGGACGCUUUUUAUAUCACAUGAGAAUUGAGUUUUGACCAUUUUUUCUAAACUCAAGAAACGUUGAAUAGACUUGAGAUUUUUGGGACAAAAAAUACACCCACACAAACUUAGAAUAAUAAUCCAUAAAUAACACAAAAUAUCGAUUUCUAUUCAACGAAAAAACCGGUGACGGGCCCCGAACAUUAGAAUAAAUUAAUUUAAAUGGUUUUGAAGAAAUAACAUAAAAGGUUGUAAGAUGCAACCUAUGACUCUUUCCUAACUGACAGGAAUCACAAACAUUAGGAAACUUAUUUGAUGAAACUGGAAGAUAAAAUGUUGAAACCAAACAAUGAAGAAUGGGCUCAUGUGGAUGAGCAAGUCUCUUAUGCCAUCCAUGCAAGGAAAUACGACUAGUAUAAAAAACUUUUGAUGAUAAAUGAAGACAAGUAUGUGGGAGCCGGUAUAAUCCUUCAUGUUUAUCCCCUUGGAAUAGAGUUUGUCCCAGAAACGUCUUAAUGGAACAAGAUUUUGGCCAAAAUUCCAAGUAAACAUUAUUGUCAUCUGUUAAUUUUGAAACACUAAGUAGGUUUUUAAUAUGUUCAGGGACAAUAAGCAAAUUAGGCAAUUUGAGAUCAGACAAAGAAGAUGAACCAACAUGAGAAUAGACAAAUGGUUACUAUUGCCCACUUGAAGUUUGUCAUCUCCUGUGUAAGGAUCUGUAAUAGUGAGUUUGUUUAUAUCAGGAGAGACAUGAUCCGUUGCUCCAGUGUCGAAGUACCAGGAGGGAUUAACAACAAUUGAUGGACUGUGUUGCUGAGCUAAGUGAGCUUGGUGUGGAUUAUUGCAUUGAUUAGGUUUCCUUGAUAGGAAAUCACUUUAAUUGCCUCUUUGCCAACAGUUUAUUGCCUUAUGGCAUGUUUUGCUACAUAGUUGACAAAUAGGUUGUUGUUUAUGUGGAUCUGAGUUGCGAGGAGAAGAGGAUGAGUUGGAGGUAUUACCAGUAGAACCGUGUUGAUGUCGAGGGUUGGAGCAGUUUACUGUGAGAGCAGUAGCAGUGGCAUUUGUUUGGGUCACUAAAGCAAGGCGAAGGUGUUCUUGUUCAAUUCUGGCUUCUUCCUGCAAUAAAAGACCUACAAGAUCAUCAACAGUUAGUGCCUCUGAUUUCAUCAUGAAAGCUGUUAUGAAAGCUCCAUAUGAUGAAUCUAGUACAUUUAGGAUAUAUGCAAUUAAAUCCUCAUCAAGAACUAGAUGAAGAUUCUCGGAUAACGAAUUAGAAAUUGAUCGUUUCUUUACAAUGUACUCAAGCAUGGUCAUAGACCCCUUAGCUAGAGUCUGCAAUUGAACUUUUAAUUGCACCUAAGUUGCCCUAGUCUGGGCUUGAAAUAGCUUUUCGAUGGUUUGCCACGCUUCCUGUGAGGAUUUGGAGCGGGCCACAAGAGCUUAAGCAUUAUCAGUCAUCGUGGAUUUGAGCCAUAAUAACACAAAAUGGUCAUGUUUCUUCCAGACAACAUACUCUGCAUUUGGUACUGUGGUGGCAACAACAACGACAACAGUAGGAGAGGUGUCGGUGGCUGGGGCCGCUGUAACAACAUGAAUCUCAAUGAUUGGAGAUGGAGGGUUAGGGUUUAAAACAUAGGUCUCCAAAUCGAAGGUCUCUAGUACUGAAACAAUUGUAGUGCGCCAGAGAGAGUAAUUUGUUUGAUCAAGUUUGAUGGUGGUCGCCGAUAUUUGAAAGUUUAGGGUGGAGGUGUUGGUGGUGGUUACCAAGGUGAGUAGAGUUGAAGAUGAAGUCGCCAUUUCAGCUAAGUGAAGAGAAGAGAGAAAAUUGAUGGAUCGAAUGAGCUAGUGCUCUGAUACCAUAUAGUAAAGUGAAUUGAAUCGUAUCAUGAUGUACAUGUAUACAGAGUUUAAAUACAAGAGGAAUAGAACUCGAUGUGAGAUAUUUUCUCUUAUUCCUAUGCUAAUGCUAUUGAUUAAAACUUUAUCAAAUAUGGUAAUAUUCAUGUUUAUUUUAUUAAUGCUAUUAUUAUAAAAAAGAAUCAUUUAUAAAGGUUAGAUUAUUCAAUUUCCCAAUAAUAUUUCUGGAUUUUCUGCAUUAAUUUCUUGUAAUUUUAUAAACACCAAAAGUGCCUACGUCAUUCUGUUCAUCAUUCAUAAUUUGGUUGUUUAAACUUUUAAUUAUUAAUUGUUCAUUGUUUGGAAAACAUAUUCUAUGGGAUUAGGUGGUCAUCAUUGAUUUAAUUGGUAGAUUAAUUAUAUUAUAUCGCUACUCCAUCCUUACAAAGACUAUACGGAAACUUUUCGUUGCUAUCCAUCAUAUCCGGAUUACCGACGCAACAGAUUGUAAGUGAAAGUCAAAGUUUGUUGUAGCGUGUCAUAUGAUAUUUAAUAAGUCUUGCUUCUAUAAAGUUUUUAAUUUAUAUAUAUAUAAUCGUAUAGUCUUCGUAAACAAAAUUUAUAAUAGUAAUAUUUCCCUAUAAUAAUCUUAGUCUUGGUAAACAAAAUUUAUAAUAAUAAUACCAUGUUUAAAAUAUUGGACAUAUUUUGAAUAUUUCAACAUCAUACUUUUAAAAAUACAAUUUAUUACGAUGAAAACAGAUAAAUAAAGUAUGAAAACGGAUAUAAAUAAAAUAUGCAUUUAACUUAAUAAGUUCAUGUUUUAUUUUUCGAUUCAUACUGGUAGUCAAGUCUAUGGCGGCUUUAAUUAUCCUCAUCUCUGUUCUAUAAAUUAAAACGCUUUUGGUAGUCAUUGCAUAGAUCAAACUCACCAAGUUAAACAUGAAGAAAUCUUUUGUCUUCCUCUUGGUUCUAACUCUAGCUCUUUACUUUUCAUCGGCAUAUUCUCAAGAUUUCAUAAGCUGCGUUGAAUCCAACUCUGCCAAUGCGAGCUCCAUUUCUGAGCUCAUUUACACCCCUGGCAAUGCUUCUUUCCAACCCAUUUGGCAAUUCGCAGUCCAAAACACCAGGUUCCUUAAACCCUCCACUCCUAGACCAUCAAUCAUCGUGACACCUACGGAUGAAUCACUCGUCCAAACAUCUCUUCUCUGUGCCAAGAAACAUGGGUACGAGAUCAGGAUCAGAAGUGGGGGGCAUGACUUCGAGGGCCUUUCAUACACUGCCGAUGUUCCAUUUGUUAUGAUCGAUCUCAACAACAUGAGAUCUAUAGACAUAGACGUAGCUAACAGUACUGCAUGGGUGGGGACAGGCGCUGUGCUUGGUGAACUUUACUACAGUAUUGCACAGAAGUCCAACAACACCUUGUAUUUCCCCGGAGGUACAUGGCCUACGGUGGGGAUCAGUGGGUUGAUAGGUGGUGGUGGCACCGGAAACCUGUUAAGGAAAUAUGCUACAGCCGGUGAUAAUGUUUUGGAUGCUCGUAUCAUAGAUGUCAAUGGAA
rnacentral:lncRNA from 1 species